rnacentral:lncRNA from 1 species
AGUGAUAUCCCACCAACUACCUGCCAGCACAAGAUAAACUAAUGUCAGGUCAUGAUCAAGAAAAAUUUGCAUUGGGCCUAAGAGUCCAAUGUCAUAAUCAUGCAUAUAUGAAGCACUUUCAAAUGGUUGAUCUAACAGUGUCUGGUUUUCAUUUUUUGAGCUUUUUACCAACGACGGGAGAGUAGAGAACAACACAUGAUCCCCAUUACAGUAUUGUUGCUUGAAUUUACAGGCUUCAUCAUUCAGUACCUUCAAAUCCAUAUAUGACGAGAUGGAAGAAUGAACUUAAAUUUAUUAUUGUAAUUUCUGCAGUUUUAAAAUGAUAAAGUAACACGCAGCUGGUUCAUUGAAAUUUAAGACAUUCAAAAUGGAGCGCAAGAGCAAAAUAAAAGUUAAGAGCUUUAACUUCAGCAUAAUAAGGAGUCUGCUGCAUCAGGCUCACUUUAUCUGCCUCUAUAGACCACCACCUCUUCAUCUUCAGCCUUCUCAAUAACACUCUCUGCGGUUUCUUCAUUUGAUUCUUGGGCCACCGCAUCUUCAUCUUCAACAUUCUCAGUAGGCUCUGAUGGUGUCACAAUUGUAGUGCGGGUGGUGAGGGGGACAGCCUCAUUAUUUUUCCUAGAUCCAUUAGACCGAGCCAUAUGUUUCUUCCCCAUUUUAUGACCCUCCAUCACAACAGCGGAGUGAGUACCAACCUGAAAAACUUCACACCAGGAUUCGAAGUUCUCUCUAAGGGGAAGUUUUCUCCUCAUCGUCCCUUCAGUUGGUAUUCCAUUUGUUGUCUUCUGAGUGAUUGCAUUCAACGCCUUCUUCUUUGGCAGCUCCUCAUUUUUGUUCUCUGAAUCUUCUUCGCCCCCCACAUUCUGGUCAAAACCCACAACAGUUUUAAUAGCUUUAACUGAUUCUGUUUAGGCUUUCAUUUCUUGGCCGGCGCUAUCUCUGCUUUCGGUAAGCUUAAUUGUCUUUCCAGAUUCUUUUGAUGUUGUUGAAGAUGAGGUAGUGCACAUCUUCUGAGCUCCAAUUAGCUCCACUUCCUUCGCCUUGUGCUUCUCACCUCGAAGAUGCUCAUCUUGACCACCCUCCACUUUCUAUUCUAAAACAACAGCAGUUUUAUUAGCUUUAUCUGAUUCCUUUUCUACAGUAGCCUUAAUUUCUUGGCCAGCACUAUCUCUGCUUUCAGUAGAGUUUUUUGAAGUGGAGUUACUGCACAUCUUCUGAUCUCCAAGUAAUUCUUCUUCCUUGGCCUUAUGCUUCUUGCCUUGAAGAUGCUAAUCUGGAUCUCUGUUGUGAGUAGUGUUGACCUGACAGAGGGCACAACUCCAAUCCAUGGGUUUCCUUGAACUCGUCAAAGGGAGCUCACCAGAACCUGCAGGUAGUGUGGCAGCUUCCUGCUUUGAUCCACAAAGAUUGGGAUAGGGCUUAACCUGCAGGGCUUGACAACCCUCCUCUUUCUGGUCUAAACCAACAACAGUUCUAUUAGCUUUAACUGAUUCCUCUGCUACUUUAGUCUUCAUUUCUUGGCCAGCACUAUCUCUGCUUUCUGUAGAUUUUUUUAUCCACUUCUGAGCUCCAAGUAGUUCUUCUUCCUUGGCUUUCUGCUUCUUAACUUGAGGAUGCUCAUCUAGACCACCCUCCACUUUCUGGUUCAAACCAACAACAGUUUUAUUAGCUUUAACUGAGUCCUCUUGUACUUUAGUCUUCAUUUCUUGGCCAACACCAUCUCUGCUUUCUGUAGAUAUUUUUGACGUGGAUGGAGUGGAGUUAUUGCACAUUUUCUUAUCUCUAAGUAGUCCUUGGCCUUGUGCUUCCUACCUUGAAGAUGCUCAUCCAGACCUCUCUGGGUCGUAGCACUGACCUGACAGAGGGCACAACUCCACUGCUCGGUUUUGGUUGAAUUUGUCGAAGGGAGCUCUCCAGAACCUGCAGGUGGUGCAGCAGCAUUCUGAUUUGUUCCACAAAGAUUGGAAUUGGGUUUAACCUGCAGGGUUUGACCACCCUCCACUUUCUGGUCUAAACCAACAACAGUUUUUUCGGCACCAACUGAUUCCUCUUCUAAAUUAGGCUUCAUUUCUUGGUGCAGUAUUUCUGCUUUCCAUAGAUUUUUUUGAAGUGGAGCUAAUGCACAUCUUCAAAUCUCUAAGUAUUUUUUCCUUGGCCUUGUGCUUCUUGCCUUGGAGAUCCACGUCUAGCCCUCUCUCGGUAGAGCGGCGACCUGACAGAGGGCACAACUCCACUCCUUGGGUUUACUUGAACUCGUUGAAGGAAGCUCUCCAGAACCUGCAGGUGGUGUGUCAGCUUUCUGCUUUGAUCCACAAACACUGGUAUCAGGCUUAGGCUGGAAAUGAUACCCAAACACAGAAACCACAAUGCCUUAUAUUAGUUAUCACAUCAAUGGUAAAAAUGAAAAAUAUUUCCAGUGAGCUCCAUCAUCUGCUAUUGUAGUACAGAUGAAAGAAUUUGUUUACAAAAUGAUAAUGUGCAAAUUUUAUUUUAAAUUGUGAAUUCUCAAAAAAGGUAGGAAUGUAGAAGUAUAUUCAAAUAGUUAAUACAACCAGAAUCCUUGUUUAUUAACAACAUUUCCAGCAUUGAACUAGGAAAAUAUCUCCAUCCCAAAUGGUAGUUUCGUUAAGGUGCACCAAAUUUAAAACUUUAUCACUAAUAUAAAUAAUUAGUACAGAGCGAGUAAGGAUCGAUCCCACAGAGACUAUGCUAGUUAUAUUUAUUAUUAACUCCAAAGCAAGAUUUAAAAUAAAAUAAUAGUAAUAAUACUAAUAGUAAUAGUAAAAAUAAUAUAAAUUAAUCUAACUAAAGAAAAUGCCAAUUAAAAAUAAAAGGGGGGUUUAUGAAUUUUUAACUAAAUAGUAAGAAAUAAAGAAAUUAAAAUUACGAACAAGAAUUUAAUAAAAACUCUAAUUAAAGGAGAAAGAAAUAAUAAUGAUGAAAACUUUGGUUAAAGGAUCAUUCGCCACCACCAAACAUGCACAUAAUAUAUCAAUUCUAUCAUCAAUUUAUAUUAAAACUAUCAACCUUAGACAACAAUAAGCUCUGUUAGUCUCAAUCUUUCCUUAGUGUGUCGUUAGGCAAAAUAAGCUCUUCACCUAAUCUCUAACCAUUAAAUAAUUUAAAACAAGCUCUUUAAAUUUAAGAUAAUGGAAGCAUUAAACAGAUAAAGAUAUUAGGUUGAUCUAGGCAAUAAACACACAAGCUCGGAUUAUUUAACCUAGGUUAUGUUCUUCAAUUGAAAUCACUAAUUCCAACCUGCUACUAAUAAUUAAAAUAUCAAGACAAUUACGGAUCAAGAAUUUUAAUCUAGUAAUAAAAUUUAUUCAAGUCCUAUCUAAUUGGCCACUCAAAUAAAACAAGAAUAAACCAUGUACAUUAAUUAUAGAAGAACAUAAACAAUCUCAAUUAAAUAAAUUGAAUGAUAGAAUUUAAAUUUAAUUGCAUAGCAUGUUUAGGGUUUUGAAUUCACCCUCAACCAAAUAAAAAUCUAGCCUAACAUGAUUGAAUUGGAAAUAAGAGAAUUGACAAAACCAAUCAUGGAGAUCAAUUCAAGCGGCUGCCUUUUUCUUUAAUUGAAUUCCGGCUGCUGAUUUUUUUCUUCUUCUUGCGGCUGUUGAUUUUCCUCUUGCUGCCGAAUUGGAUCUGCCCUCUUCUUUUUUUCUGUCCAGCGGCUGCAAUCUCCUUUUAUAAUGCUAGUUGACCGAAUUCUUCUCCAACAAGAAUAAAGAAAUCCUUUUUCAAUUCUAAUUGAAAUCCUUUUCCAAUUUAACACCACCAAAAGCCAUUAAUUCCAACUUUUGAAAGUCAAUUGCUGGCCCGUUUAAAUGCUUUCUACUUUUGCAAUGCCAUGCACGUGUACUCCAAUUGCCAAUUGGAAAAAAUUAAAUCUUUUAAUUAUUCAACAUUUCUCAAUUAGAUUAAUUAUUUUGAUUUCUUCCACUCGGUUUUAUCAAUUUUUGUCUGUAUUUUUGUCUUCCAAUUUAAUCUUUAUUCCUUCUCAAUUUGAACUUCUUAAUGCCCUUUUUAUUCAUAAUCUCCAAUUGAUUUCCUAUUCAAUAAAAUAAUUUAAUUAAUUAAAAAUAACAAAUAAAAAUAACUAGUAAUUAAAUAAUUAAGGGUAAAAUAUGUAUAAUUUAAAAAUUAACUAAAAUAACUAGAAUAUUUAAGACCAAAACAAGAAAAAGAUGGAGAAGUUAAUAGUAAAAUAUAUGAACAAUAUGCACUUAUCAAAUUCCCCCACACUUACCCUUUGCUCGUCCUCGAGCAAACCUAGAACAAAAAUAAAAAGAAAACCUAAACUAGACCACUUUCGUAGGAAAUCACGAUUGCAUUUACCAUAUGCAACAAGCCUUUAAACCCCUAGGCGGCCCUAGUGGACGAGUUAUAGUCUCGUGAGGGCUUCAGCGAUGAUACCCACAAACAUCAUUGCAUUUUUUAUUUUAUUUUAGCAGAAAAAGAACAAAGGAAUUUAAAAUAAAACUAGCCUCAAAGAUUGCAUAAAUCAUAUAGCUCAAAGAAAAUUUCAAAUAUUAUCGAAGUUCUAACUUUAAUUCAAUAGUCAAUCACAUCUCUCUUUUGAUUCUCAUAGUGUGUGUGUGAAUCAAUUCUAUUAAAAUCCAUUCCCAAAAUCUUCAAUAUCAACAGCCUUUGCCUUGAACAAAGAAAAGAGUAGGUCAAACUAAUCUUAUCAUCUUGAUCUCCAAUUUUUUUUUCUUUUACAGGCAUUUGUGUGCAUUUUCUUUUGAAGUUCUUUUUUUUUUUUUUUUUGUUCAGGAGCUUUCACUCUACCCCUUAAGGUAGUCUUCUUCUCAUGGUAGAUUAUCCUCUACAUACUGGUGGUACAUAGGCCCAAAUUACUCAAGGAUAGCUUCACUCUUAAGGGUUAUAGGUAGCUAUUUCUGACUAUGGUGCCUGUGUAUACUACACUGUAUUGUGGAGAUAAGAAUCAAGACAAACAGUCAUUUACUCAAUCUAAAAUUCUCAACUCAGGCUGCGUCAAUCUCAAAUUCUAAGUCAAAAUUAUAAAAGAAUUUAUAUUAGUGCUCAUGGUUUAAAGAAUCUCAAUUAAGAGGAAAUCAACACAAGAAUCAAGUAUAAACUAAGGUAAUAUUCAACCCUUUCUAAGAACCAUAUUCAUUGUCAAUCAAAUUCUUAUCACUGGCUAAUAUUCAAAACAAUAUUUUUUUUUUUUUUUUGUAAAAAGAAAAAGACGAAGUAACAAAAACUAAGUUCGAAACCCACCCCCCACACUUAAUUCUUACAUUGUCCUCAAUGUAAGCCUAAGCUAACAAAAGACAGAAUUAAACAUGGGAAAAUGAGAUGAGACACACAAACAGAAACAAACAAAAUUCAACACAACGUAGGUAAAGUAAAUGAGAAUGAGAGGGAGAAAAAUCAAAUCUGUUAUGGCGUGCUCUCAAAAUCUUUUCUCCAGCCAUUGGGUUGCCUCCCAAUAAGCGCUUGGUUUAUUGUCCUCAGCCUGACCUGGUUCUCAAGUUUCACUCAUCAAUGUACGCAGGUUCAUAAAGUGGAGCCUCCUCUACAUUGAGUGUUUGAAAAUUUUCAUAGUAAGGUUUCAACCUAUGACCAUUAACUUUGAACUCUUUACCUGUCUUUAAGCUCUUGAUCUCAACUGCACCAUGAUGAAAAACAUUAAUAACAACAAAAGGCCCAACCCAUCGAGAACGUAACUUACCUGGAAACAACUUAAGGCGAGAAUGGAAUAGCAAAACUUUAUGUCCAACUUUAAAAUUCUUUCUCAAGAUCUGCUUGUCAUGAAAAACCUUAGUCUUUUCCUUAUAGAUUCGUGAACUCUCAUAGGCAUCAUUUCGAAUUUCCUCUAAUUCUUGCAAUUGGAGCUUUCUGUGUUGGCUGGCAGUGUUCAGUUCCAUGUUACAUUGUUUCACAGCCCACCAUGCUUUAUGUUCAAGUUCCACUGGAAGAUGACAAGGCUUACCAUAUACCAACCUGUAGGGUGACAUACCAAUAGGAGUUUUGUAUGCGGUCCUAUAUGCCCAAAGUGCAUCAUCAAGCCGUAAGCUCCAGUCCUUUCUAUUCAGAUUAACUGUCUUUUCAAGGAUUGAUUUCACUUCCCUAUUAGACACCUCAACUUGCCCACUAGUUUGGGGAUGGUAAGAUGUAGAUACCUUGUGAGUGAUGUUGUAUUUUCGAAAGAGGGCUUCUAUUGACCUGUUACAAAAGUGAGUGCCUCUGUCGCUGAUAAUUGCCUUUGGUGUUCCAAACCUUGUAAAGAUGUUACUUUUUAUAAAAUCUACCACAACCUUAGAAUCGUUAGUUCGGGUGGCUUUUGCUUCCACCCAUUUAGAAACAUAAUCAACCGCAAGAACAAUAUAGAGAUGACCAAACGAUGAAGGAAAUGGUCCCAUGAAGUCGAUGCCCCAAUCAUCAAAAAUCUCAACUAUAAGAAUGGGAGAUUGUGGCAUCUGAUUUCUAGGUCCCAAAUUACCUAUUCUCUGACAACGAUCACAAGAUUUGCAAAACACAUAUGCGUCCUUAAAUAGUGAUGGCCAAUAAAAACCGCUCGCAAGUACCUUAAGGGCUGUUCUCUUUGGUCCAAAAUGUCCUCCACAAGCCAAAGUAUGAAAAAAGGUAAGAAUAUAAGUAAAUUCAGUUUCGGGUACGCACCUUCUAAUAACUUGAUCAGAACAAUGCUUCCACAAGUAUAGCUCAUCCCACACAUAGUACUUGGCAUCACUCUUGAUCUUGGCCUUUUGUGCACGGGUUAUCUCUUCUGGUACUGUCUUGGUAACUAAGUAAUUGACAAUAUCUGCAUACCAAGGAGUAACUGUACCUACCUGUAAUAACUGCUCAUCUAGAAAGUUCUCAUGCAAUGGAAGUUCAUCUUCGUUAUGGAUAAGUCGACUCAAAUGAUCUGCUACCAAAUUCUCAGAGCCUCUCUUAUCUAGAAUCUCUAUGUCAAAUUCUUGCAAUAGAAGUAUCCAUCGUAUAAGGCGCAGUUUGGCAUCCUUUUUGGUGAGCAAGUACUUAAUAGCUGCAUGGUUAGAGUAAACGAUUACCUUAGAUCCAAUUAAAUAAGAACAAAAUUUCUCUAAGGCAAAGAUAACUGCUAAAAGUUCUUUCUCUGUGGUAGAGUAGUUAAGUUGUGCAUCAUUCAAUGUACGAGAGGCAUAAUAGAUGACAUGAGGAAGCUUGCCCACACGCUGGCCCAACACGGCUCCAACAGCAUAGUCACUGGCAUCGCACAUAAUCUCAAAUGGUAAAUCCCAGUUUGGUGGUUGAAUCACAGGGGCCGAUGUCAAAACCUCUUUUAACUUCUUAAAAGCUCUUUGGCACUCUUCAUUGAAGUCAAACGUUGCAUCCUUUUGAAGUAAGUUGCAGAGAGGUAAAGCUAUCUUGGAGAAGUCCUUGAUAAACCUGCGAUAGAAACCUGCAUGACCAAGAAAAGAACGAACCUCCCUCACACUAGUGGGAGGUGGUAAGGAGCGUAUAAGAUCUAUCUUAGAUUUAUCAACUUCAAUCCCCUUUUCAGAAAUAACAUGGUGAUGGUUGUCGAAGCCAACAAAAAUAAAUUCCUACUCUAAAUAAAUUGUGUAUAGUGAUUGAGCAGGGUCGUGUCCACAGAGAUCGGUAAUUAUUUAAAUCCUUUUGAAACGUAAAACGUAAAAUGGGGGAAUUGUAAACAAUAAUAAAAAUCAAAUUAAAUAACAAGAAUGCAAAUUAAAGUUGUAAUUCAAAUUGGAGAAAGCUCUAGUUGAAGGAAUUAACUAAGCUUGAUUCGACUACUGAUCAUUGAUUCAAAUAUAGAUUAUUAUUACUUAUGAAUAAACCGGUUAUAGCUAUUGAGACCCUCGAAUAGCCAAUCUCUCCUUAACUAGUCGAUAACCAAGGUACGACCGUUGGAAAUUUCCCUAAUCAAUAGACAACCCUAGAUACGAUCAUAGGAUUUAAUCAAUUGACAGCCUGAAAAACCAGAGAGACCCAAAUCCUAAUCAACACAUAUGAUGAUUCAUUUAAAUUAGAUUGUUUAUUCUCACAACACAACUCUCUGCUAUGUUAUUUGUCACAAACAUUAAAUUCUUCAUACGAUGAAUCCUUUAAUUGACAAUAGAUUAAGUUGAUAAUUAAAUAGUGGCCAAUUACCUAAUUAACAAACAUAAUCAUGAAACUAAUUCAGAGAAUAAACAAAUACCCAAAAAGUAAUAAAACAAUUAAAGCAUAAGAAAGAUCUCACAGUAGUGAUGAAUCAAAGCUUCAUUAUCCUUCAACCAGAAAAAUAGGUUUAGUUCUUCAUAGAGAGAAGAGAAAAAUUAGAUCUAGGGUUUCUUUCUUCUUCUCCAAUCCAAAAAUCCCCCCCUUCUUUCACAAUAGAUUCCUCCUUAAAUACUCUCUCUCUCUUCUCUUUUAGAGUUCUAUUUAAAAUAAAAUACUAAUAUCUUAAAUAUUAAAUUCGUAAUUACAAAAAUAGCCAAAAAUACAAAACACGUUAAACUAAAAACUGCAGGUCCGCAGUUGACAGCACGCGCCCACGCCUUAUCAAUAAAGUUCUUCUGCCGCUCAUAAUUUCUCCAAGAGAACAAUCAUCCUUAAAAAUCAUCUUGUAGCUCAAUUUUAUCACCAAUCAAUAGAAUUGCACCUACAAAAGUAAAACACAAGUAAAUUAUUAUUAUUAAGUGCAAAACAUCGAUAUUAAGGGAAGUAAACAAUGCAAAACUAGUGCAUAAAUUGCACUCUAACACAUGGCCUAGUACAAUACCUUGAUUAACCAUAAAAUGACAUUUUUCCCAAUUAAGCACAAGGUUAGUGUCAAUGCAUCGUUUAAGAACAAGUGUAAGGUUAUCUAAACAUUUAUUGAAAGAAUCACUAUAAACUGUAAAAUCAUCCAUAAAUACCUUAAUGAUGUUCUCUACAUAAUCAGAAAAAAUACUCAUCAUAUACCUUUGGAAAGUGGCAGGAGCGUUACAGAGACCAAACGGCAUGCGUCGGUAAGCAAAUGUUCCGAAGGGGCAUGUGAAUGUCGUUUUCUCUUGGUCUUCCGGAGCGAUAACGAUCUGAUUAUAACCCGAGUAACCAUCAAGAAAACAAUAAUGAGAGUGACCACUUAACCUUUCAAGCAUUUGAUCAAUGAAUGGCAGAGGAAAAUGAUCAUUGCGAGUGGUUGCAUUCAGUUCAAACUCUCCACCCAGUUUGAACUCUAGCUGGCACAAGCUCGUUUUCUUCAUUCUUGACCACUGUGAUGCCUGAUUUUUUUGGAACUACCUGCACAGGACUCACCCAUUUACUAUCAGAAAUGGGAUAAAUAAUCCCCACAUUAAGGAGUUUCAGUAUCUCCUUUUUUACGACUUCCAUCAUUGGUGGAUUAAGGCGGCGUUGUGCAUCUCUCGUUGGUUUAGACCCUUCCUCUAGCAAAAUGCGAUGCAUGGAAGGACUAAUUCCCUUAAUGUCGGCAAUGGUCCAGCCAAUCGCCGUCUUGUGAUCCCGAAGCACCCUAAUUAAUUUUUCUUGUUGAACUGGGGUGAGGGUUUUAGCAAUUAUGACUGGAAGUGUUUCAUUCUCACCCAAGUAAAUAUAUUGCAUGUGUUCUGGGAGUGGUUUAAGUUCUAAGGUAGGUGCAUGCACAAUUGAAGGUAAAAGUUUCUCGUUUAAUAAAGGCAAUUCAAGGUAAGAAACAUUAUACCCAUGGGUGCGUAAUGUGACUGCUCCAUCUAAGAUCGCCAUAGCUUCCUCUACCUCAUCAUCCAACUUUAUCAAAUUUGCAUGUUCCUUAGAAUCAUCUUUCGUAAGAUUUUUGCUUAUCGAAAUUUCAAAACUGUCAUUACCAGAUAAUUCAAAGAAAUCUUGCACCAAAGUAUUAAUAUCAUCCAUGGCAAAAACAGAAUGAACAUCACUAGGAUACCUCAUUGCCUCAAAGAUAUUGAAGCGGAUCACUUCACCAUCAAAUUCCAUUGUGAGGGUUCCAUCGUGAACAUCAAUCUUGGUUCGGGCUGUCUUAAGAAAUGGCCGCCCCAACAAAAUAGGAGUGGGAUUGGGCGACAACUCAUCCUCCAUUUCAAGGAUAUAAAAAUCAGCUGGAAAGACCAAUUCAUUGACCUGCACAAGAACAUCUUCCAUAACCUCCUUCGGGUAAGCAUUAGAUCUGUCAGCCAAUUAAAUAAUUAUACCAGUUUCUUCCAUUGGACCUAAAUUCAAGGAGUUAUAAAUCGAGUAUGGCAUAACAUUAAUUGAGGCCCCUAAAUCUAGCAUACAUCUUUCGAAUCUGGUAUUACCAAUAGUGCAGGGGAUAAUGAAAGUACCGGGAUCCUUGCACUUAGGCGGAAGUUUUCUUUGAAGUACAGCAGAAACAUUCUCUCCAACACUUACCUUUUCGUUACCGCUCAACUUUCGCUUGUUGCUGCAUAAUUCCUUCAAAAACUUUGCAUAACGCGGCACUUGUUUAAUAGCAUCAAGUAGAGGAAUAUUUACCUCUACUUUACGAAAGGUCUCAAGGAUCUCUUUUCUUGCUCCUCUUUCUUGGAUUGUUUAAAUCUGCUAGGAAAUGGUGGAGGAAUGGAGAGAGUCUUAAUUCGAGGUGAGGGGAUACUUACCUUGCCAGAUGGAUCGACUGGCAAUGCCGAGUGGGAAUCAUCUUUCCUUGUUAAAGGAAGAACCUUAGGUGAGGAAUUGGUCACAGAAGGUGAUAAUGUUGUGGAUACUUUUGAUGGCUUAGCUAAUAAUGGUUCCAAUUGCUUUCUGCUCCUGAGAGACAUAGCACUAGCAUUCUCAUUUGGAUUAAUUUCUAGUUGAGAAGGUAACUUUCCUGAAGUUCUACCCUCCAUCCUACUCAUAGAUGUGGCUAGUUGGCCAAUUUGAUUCUCUAAAUGUUGGAGCUGUGUCUGGGUAGUCUGUUGGAAUUGCAUAGAGUUAGUAGCGAGAGCUUUUACAAGAUCCUCCAAAGACAUACCUUGAUUUUGAGGAGGUGGAGGUGGCCGAACUUGGUAAGGCUGUUGCACCCGGUGUUGGGGGUAGCCUGGUGGUCGAGACGGUGCCACAUUAGAAAUGCCUUGUUGUUGGUUCCCAUACCUAAAAUUAGGGUGAUCCUUCCACCCUUCAUUGUAAAAAUUAGAGUAGGGAUCAUACCUUUGUCUUGGUUGGCCUAGGAACCCCUCAACUGCGUUGGCUUGUUCAUGUGAACCCUCUUGGAUAGCAGGGCACAUGUCAGUCGCAUGUCCGACCAUAGAACAUACGCCACACGGUCUCAUUUGUUGCCCUAGAGCUAAUUGUUGCACCAAAGAAGUAAGAUUUGAAACUUGUUUUUCUAGAGAAGUAGUACUUACCUCAUUGACUCGCUUAGGUGGCGGCAGUAGAUCGUUCCUAGUGUUGAACUGUUGGGAAUUAGCAGCCAUGUUAGCAAUGAGAUUUCGGGCUGCUUCUGGUGUCUUAUCCACGAGUGCUCCUCCACUAGCGGCAUCAAUCAUACUCCUAUCCAUAGGUAGUAGACCCUCAUAAAAGUAUUGAAUAAGAAGUUGAUCACUUAUCUGAUGGUAAAGGCAACUAGCACAUAGCUUUUUGAAUCGUUCCCAAUAGUCGUAGAGCGGCUCUCCAUUAUACUGUCGGAUUCUACAAAUUUCUUUUCGAAUGCUACCAGCUUUUGAUGCUGGGAAAUAUUUCUCCAAAAAUAGCUGACGCAUCUCAUUCCAUGUUGUGACAGUAUCGGAGGGAAGAUAGUACAACCAUUCCUUGGCUGAAUCCGCCAAAGAGAAUGGGAAGGCCAUUAGCUUAACUUGCUCUUCAGAAACUCCGGCUGGUUUCAUUGUGGAGCAGACCACAUGGAACUCCUUCAAGUGCUUAUUUGGAUCCUCUCCUGCAAGACCAUGAAAAGUAGGAAGAAGAUGAAUCAUCCCAGAUUUGAGUUCAAAGUUUACCUGAGGGUUUGGAUUCUCAAUGCAUAAGGGUUGCUGGUCCAAGUUAGGAGCUGCCAACUCUUUAAGUGUUCGGUUGUUAUUCUGAGCCAUUGGUUCGGGUUCUGGGCUGCUUGGUUAUGUUUUCGGGAGUGAAAUGUGAAUGGCAAAAUCGAGUUCUGAAUAUGAUGAGGUUGCUCUAAGUUGUUCGAGUUUCAAUCGAAUGUCCUCUAUGCUCAUGAAAAUCUAAAUAUAGAACAAAAAAUAACUAAUUAAAAUAAAAUAAAUAAAUAAAAUGAGAAAAUAAAUAAAAAAUAAAAUAAAAAAUAAAACGAGUGAUAAUAAACAAACUAGACGCUAGUCCCCGGCAACGACGCCAAAAAUUUGGUAGUGUCGUUAAGGUGCACCAAAUUUAAAACUUUAUCACUAAUAUAAAUAAUUAGUACAGAGCGAGUAAGGAUCGAUCCCACAGAGACUAUGCUAGUUAUAUUUAUUAUUAACUCUAAAGCAAGAUUUAAAAUAAAAUAAUAGUAAUAAUAAUAAUAGUAAUAGUAAUAAUAAUAUAAAUUAAUCUAACUAAAGAAAAUGCCAAUUAAAAAUAAAAAGGGGGUUUAUGAAUUUUUAACUAAAUAGUAAGAAAUAAAGAAAUUAAAAUUACGAACAAGAAUUUAAUAAAAACUCUAAUUAAAGGAGAAAGAAAUAAUAAUGAUGAAAACUUUGGUUAAAGGAUCAUUCGCCACCACCAAACAUGCACAUAAUAUAUCAAUUCUAUCAUCAAUUUAUAUUAAAACUAUCAACCUUAGACAACAAUAAGCUCUGUUAGUCUCAAUCUUUCCUUAGUGUGUCGUUAGGCAAAAUAAGCUCUUCACUUAAUCUCUAACCAUUAAAUAAUUUAAAACAAGCUCUUUAAAUUUAAGAUAAUGGAAGCAUUAAACAGAGAAAGAUAUUAGGUUGAUCUAGGCAAUAAACACACAAGCUCGGAUUAUUUAACCUAGGUUAUGUUCUUCAAUUGAAAUCACUAAUUCCAACCUGCUACUAAUAAUUAAAAUAUCAAGACAAUUACGGAUCAAGAAUUUUAAUCUAGCAAUAAAAUUUAUUCAAGUCCUAUCUAAUUGGCCACUCAAAUAAAACAAGAAUAAACCAUGUACAUUAAUUAUAGAAGAACAUAAACAAUCUCAAUUAAAUAAAUUGAAUGAUAGAAUUUAAAUUUAAUUGCAUAGCAUGUUUAGGGUUUUGAAUUCACCCUCAACCAAAUAAAAAUCUAGCCUAACAUGAUUGAAUUGGAAAUAAGAGAAUUGACAAAACCAAUCAUGGAGAUUAAUUCAAGCGGCUGCCUUUUUCUUCAAUUGAAUUCCGGCUGCUGAUUUUUUUCUUCUUCUUGCGGCUGUUGAUUUUCCUCUUGCUGCCGAAUUGGAUCUGCCCUCUUCUUUUUUUCUGUCCAGCGGCUGCAAUCUCCUUUUAUAAUGCUAGUUGACGAAUUCUUCUCCAACAAGAAUAAAGAAAUCCUUUUUCAAUUCUAAUUGAAAUCCUUUUCCAAUUUAACACCACCAAAAGCCAUUAAUUCCAACUUUUGAAAGUCAAUUGCGGGCCCGUUUAAAUGCUUUCUACUUUUGCAAUGCCAUGCACGUGUACUCCAAUUGCCAAUUGGAAAAAAUUAAAUCUUUUAAUUAUUCAACAUUUCUCAAUUAGAUUAAUUAUUUUGAUUUCUUCCACUCGGUUUUAUCAAUUUUUGUCUGUAUUUUUGUCUUCCAAUUUAAUCUUUAUUCCUUCUCAAUUUGAACUUCUUAAUGCCCUUUUUAUUCAUAAUCUCCAAUUGAUUUCCCAUUCAAUAAAAUAAUUUAAUUAAUUAAAAAUAACAAAUAAAAAUAACUAGUAAUUAAAUAAUUAAGGGUAAAAUAUGUAUAAUUUAAAAAUUAACUAAAAUAACUAGAAUAUUUAAGACCAAAACAAGAAAAAGAUGGAGAAAUUAAUAGUAAAAUAUAUGAACAAUAUGCACUUAUCACCAAAAAAGAAAAAAAAAAAGGAAUAUGUUUGAAUAGGAUUAUGAAAUACUUUCUUAAUAAGCUGGACAAGGAGAGAUGAUAUCUUAUGAGCAUUAUAAUUCAUAAUUUGAGGAAAAACCAUUUUAAUGGAGCUUCCAGCCCAACGUACAUACACAAACACAAUCAGUAAGAUUUAACAUAAGAAAUUACCGGGAAAAAGAAACAUCACAAAUCAAUCUGUACAAGUUCAUGUGACACUGCAUGGUAAACAUAUGUAACCUCUCUUGGAAACUUAGCUUGUGACAAGCUCACAUUUUCUGUGUUUUCGUUCAAAAAAGGUUUCAGACACAUUAAUUCCAGGCUGUGGAGGAUCACAUGCCUCGUUGCCCAAAUUUUUAAAGCCACAUACAUUGGUAUUUGCACGCAUGGUCAAUGAGUUACACAACUCUGUCGUCUACUUGAGUUGACCAAGCAAACUGAAUUUGUGAACUUUGACCGACAUAAAUAACCCAAUGCUAACAUGUUUGGAAUUAAAUCAAGAUUGUGAGUCCAAAUGUACUCCCCUACAAACUUGUCACCUGUGCAUCAAGACAAAGUCUUAUAGCACUAAGAAUGGACAUGGGAAUCUCUAAGCAACAACCUCCUAAUAACAUAAAAAUCAAGGUUGGUGUGGGAUAAAGCCAUUCAAAUGGACAUGUAAAGGGUAACUUUGAUGAAUAAGGGUUUAAGAGAAACAAUCUCAUCACAGAGUAUUUCAAUUGGAGCGGAUGAAGAAACUAACAUGAAACAAGCUCACUUAUCUCUAUUUAUUUUUCAAUUUUCACAGAUCCAAAAUCUAAAAUUAUCAUUUUGAGCUACCCUCAAUUAGUAAGCACUGCAUUGUCACUGCUUUCUUCUGAAAUUUUCCAUCAGCAGAAAAUCUCUAACAAAUCAAAACAAGACUUACCAAGUUUCAUAAGUAUCAAAACAAAAACGAGCAAAGGUCCACAGGGAAGUUCUAGAAUGAAAAAUACUAAUGACGUUGUUACAGUGAAUCUCAGGGUCCAUUUUUCGUGAGGUUAAUGGUUGCAUUCUAGGUUGUGUUGCUCUCAUUCUUCAGUGUUCAUUCAUCUUUUUAUGGUAAGUUGCAUGCAUUUGUUUUGUCUUCAGAGGUUAUGGUGGAAUUGUUUGCACCAUCUAUGUCUUUACGUGCACCCCUUGAUUAUACUCGGCGGGAUAAAUUUUGCACUUACUUUUAAAAAAAAUAAAUAAAGAAUCCCCCGUGGGGAAGUCAAAGUGCAAUACGAAUUUAUUAGUGACGAGGACACAGAGAUUUGACAUGAUAAUUAAUCAUCUCGUUAUGAUGUGUUAGUGUCUAAUUCACAAAUUCGUGUAAUAAAUUGCCACCCUUUCGUGUGAGACUAUUGUUAAUUUUAUUGUUCCCUUAAUAAAGUGUAAGGUAGCUUUACAUUGCUUCCAAUCCAAGGCUUAUAGCAUUAGCAUGAUUAACAUAUAUAGUAGCAUCGUAAACAAUGAUUGGAAUCCUGACAUCUUUGGUAGUAUGAUUAUAGAAAAUUGCGACCAUGUUUGGGUAGCUUAGUUUAAAAGUUACUGCAUUGAAAUAUUAAGUAAAUAUUAGCUGUUAUAACUAGAAAAAUUUAUUAUAUCUUUAAUUUUAUACUUAUAUGAUAGAAAAUUUAUUAUUUCUUUAUUGAUUUUGUCAAAAUUAUUAUUUAAAAAUUAGAUAUUUACCACAUACUAAAUCAAGUUAAAUAAUAGGAAAUAAUUAAUUACAAGUUAAUUAAAUUAGAAAUAUGUGUCUAACCAUUAGAACUACGUAUAUCAAGUUAGUUAAUUACCAAGGAAAGAAUUAAUAAUAAAUUUUCAUUAUUUAAUUACGAAACCGAUAACUAUAUAUUAGGAAAACUAUAAUUUUAUGAAAACUGAAGAUCAGUACUAAUAUAAAACUAAAACCAACAAUAAUUAUAUGAUAGGAUAACAACAAAUCUAGUAUAUAUUAAAAAACACGUCGAUUCUGAAGCUGAAUUUAUAAUCCAACCUUAAUUCUAUUUCUUCUGUAUUUACAUAAUCAUCCCGCUAAUUAAGGAUUUUACAACUUUGCCAUGAAAGUUCGGUGGCUUCCAUGCCUUUUUCUUCUCCUCCUCAAAAAUUUUGCUUUUGCUUCCACUUCACCAUUAAAGAAAAUCCCAAAGCUUGGUGUUGUGCGUGGAAGGACUAUUUUUCUAAACCCUAGUAUAAAAAAUAUCAACUUCAGAACCAGAGGGUAAUAUCGAAACUUAUUAUUAUGAUCAAAUACUUGAUCACUUUAACUAUAAUCCAUUAAGUUAUUUAACUUUUCCUCAUAGAUAUGUGUUGAACUUCAAGCAUUGGGGCAGUGGCGGAGCCAAUAUUGGCAUAUCUUGGUGAAGAGAGUAGUCUUGAUGAUGACCUUGGUGGCACUGCAUGGCUUACUGAUAAUGCUCAUCGAUUUAAAGCCUUACAAGUUUACAUAGAGGUACGUAAUUAAAGAAUCUAUUAUCAAGCUUAAUUUAAAAAUUACAGCAUUAAAAUAUCAGGUAAAUAUUAGCUGUUGUAACUAGAAAAAAUUAUUAUAUCUUUGAUUAUGCACUUAUAUGACAGAAAAUUUACUAUUUCUCUACUGAUUUUAUCAAAAUUAUUAUUUACAAAUUAUAUAUUUACCACAUACUAAAUCAAGUUAAUUACUAGCAAAUAAUUAAUUACAAGUUAAUUAAAUUAGAAAUAUGUGUCCAACCAUUAGAACUACGUAUAUCAAGUUAGUUAAUUACUAAGGAAAGAAUUAAUAACAAUUAGGAAAGAAUUAAUAACAAAUUUUCAUUACUACGUAUUUAGUUACGAAAUUGAUAACAAUAUAUUAGAAAAACUAUAAUUUUAUGAAAACUGAAGAUCAAUACUAAUAUAAAACUAAAACCAACAAUAAUUAUAUGAUAGGAUAACAGCAUUAGCACAUAACCUCCAUUGGUGUUGUUGAGCGGCUGGUCGAGCGAGGCUUGGCACCAUCACAUGCUUGUCGCAUCUUGAGAAAAGUCGUGUGACACUAACCUUAUGGUACUUAAUUCUAUGUUGUUAUUGUUUAUUUGAUUACAAGCCUCUAAAUGAUGUUUCAGAAUUGAAGGAUUAUUUAGAGUAUAUGUAUACGGGUGCAACUUUGUAUGAUGAUCCUCAGGAAUAUCCAAUGAACAAAGCUUGUAAUGGUAUUGAUGGAGCUUCAGAAGGCACCGAUACCCUAAGCCGAAUAUUCUCAGGAAUUGUUGCUUUAAGAGGAGAAAGUUAUUGCCAUGAUGUUGAUGAAUUCUUCUCCGAUGAAACAUUGGGAGGCACCGAAAUCUAUGGUCUUUAAAAAUUCUCAUGGCACUCCCAUUAACAUACUAAGUCUGCUUAACCCAUAGGUGAGUGAACCCAUAGGUGAGUGUAAUCUUCUUUUACAUCCAAUUUAAUUAAAAAAUAACAAUUAUCCAAUAGAGAAAUCUUAGAAUUUCCUUUUUUAUCCCAACGAGCUAAAAAAAUUUCUAAUUAAUUACAUAUGAGGGCGAUUGUAAGAUAACUUACCGACCAAAGUCAACUGGAAUGGAAUAGCCAUUGCUUUGACUAACUCUACGGAAAACUACACGUUCGGCUCACCCACGUACGAAGAGAUUUUCUUGAUGGGGACUGUCGAGGGUGUGGGCUCGUUUAUAAUUUCAGCAAAGGAUUUUUUUAUCGGCCUAUUUAAAUUUCGAUUAGGAGUUGAAGUCAAAACUGAUGCAUAUGUCGGGAUGAAAGUGGGCUGAUUUUGAGGUUCGUUUUGAGCCGCUGGAUUAGAGGAAUUAUUGGUUUGGGAUUAGGGAUGGUAAAAUCUGGGUCCGGGUUUGGCCUUUCUGGUUCCGGACUCGGAUGAGAAUUCGUCUUACCGGAUCCGGAUAAAAACUUGAAUUUUUUGAGUGCGGGUCUGAUACGGGUUAAACCCGGAUAAUUUGUUUUGGUACCUAAUUUCUCUCAUUUGCUUUGAAAAACCCUUUAUCAAACUUUUCUUGCUGCAACUUGCAAGGAAUAAAUGAUGAAGUGAUGAAUAUUAAAUAACUAAAGCCAGAUUAUUAUCAACAAGAUCACUCAACCAAAGCUUCUUGAAUUCGCAAUCUUAAAAGGGAAUUUUUUUUUUCAAGAUCCCAUUUAUAGCCUUUAAUUGUUUUGCAAUUGCCUUGUUCGUACUCCCAUCAAAUCACAAUCCAAUACCCUUCCAAUAAUCAGAACCUAAAAUGAAUGAAAUCACAUUCUUGGGCCAACUUCUCGAAAAUAUAGUUGAUGAAACUGCUUGCCCGUGGCCUUGCUGGAGAUUUCAAUAUCGAGGUGGACUUGCUUCAGGAUUGGUCUUCUUCGUCUUGUUCUUCUUUUUCUCGACUGUAUUGCCGUCUUUGGUGAUGACUAUUAAUGAUUUGUUUCGGGCUUUAGUGGUGAGGAUGAGGAAUAAAGCACGAUUCACGAUGAUUUGAUGAGGAAAUAUUUGGCUUUCGGCUUUGGCGGCGCGGCUGUGAAACUGAAACUAGGGCAGAGCUGCUAUUUCUUUUUUCAAUAGUUUCUAUUUAUAUUUAAAAAAAUAUAAAAAUAAAUACACCCGGGUUCGGGUUUCAGAUUUGCUGUUUCACCCAAAUCUGGAUCUGGACCCGAAUAUGUCUGAGUUUAGAAAAUCACAUCUAGAUUCUGGAUUUAAUUUAGUCCGGUGUAGGUUAAAUCCGACCCAGAUUAUUCGGGUUUGGUUGGGUUCGGGUUAAAUUGUCAUCCAUAUUUGGGAUUGAUUUUGGACUUGCAGACUUAUAUUGGAUGAUUGGGCUUUUUGUGGUUUAAUGGAUUGACAUUGGUUUUGGGAUUGAGAAUUUAAGUUGGAUGUAUGGAUAUUAGUGGGAUGGGCUUCCAAGUGCAUUUGGGCUUGUGAGUUAAAUGUUGAAUGGUUAUGGAGGGUGUAGAAACUAAGGUGCUAUUAACAGACUAAGCAACCUUAGAUUCUGCCCUAAGAUCACCAACCAACUAAUCAAGAUGCUGCAAGAUUGAUGACGGAAAAGCUACGACUAAGAUGAAUCUAUGGAACUAGACGAUUAACCAAUUUGGAUUAAAGAAUCAACAUAAGUAGAGCAAUCAAAGAACAAAAGAAACUUAAUGUGGUUCAACUAGAUUUCUCUAGCUUACAUCCACGGGAGGGCAAAGAAUAACUUUAUUGAUUUAACAAGAUGAAUUACAGAGUAAUGCUUUUUUUUUUUACCACAGAAAAGAUCUGAACUGAUUAUAUAUAAACCAGUCCCUUCUCUCUCUUCAGCUCUCUCUGCACACCAAUCUGUUGCUUCCACAUCAGCUGCUCGAUAACAGCUUCAUAACGAACCCAGAAAUUCCCCAGCAACUCACGUGAGUUCCUCAUGCGUUUAACGGCUUUUAACGAACCUUGCAAGCUGGACACAAGCAUGUGAUACAAGCGUGCUUCACUUAGACUUAAACGACAAACUCACAUGUCGUUCAUAAGAGUAUUUCUUUUGCUCUUCAAAACGCAAGACUCCAUGUCGUUGAGCUUAAGUGAUUUCAGCUCUAAACGCAAAGGCUUCUGCCGUUUUGGUUUUCUGGACUUGCUUUCAUAAACAACAGAGGGUUUCAUGAUUACGGUGGGCAUUGCAAGUAUUAGGGGUAGAAAAAUUUUGGGGGGAAGAAAAAUAAGCCGAAAGUUGUGCAUUUGUUGGUGGAAUUGAGGGGUUUGAUUUUGAAUGAGUGGGAGACAAAAGCGGGUCCCCUGCACUAUUUGAAUGUUGGCUUUUUGGUGAUGCCAUAGGAAAAGUGUUAUGAGUAUAUGUGUUUUGUGAGGCUGCAUGUUGAUUUUUGGCUUGAGUGGAGGCAUGUGAGGUAAUUUUGGAAAUCUUUGAUGCAUGUGAAGGCUUUGAAAUGUUGAGCUCAUAGGGGACGACAUUAAUUGAGCACGGCUGACUUUGUGGACUUUGUGAAAGAGAGUUAUGGGCGUGAUUGUGUUUGUGUGUGGUCAAAAGCUGCAAGGGGUUGUCGAGAUUUUCCGAAUUUUUGCAUGUGGGUUGGGCCGAAGCAGGCUGUCUUGGCUGACUUUCGGCAGAUGCCGUUUGUGUACCAAAACGUGUGCGAUCAAGGGGCUGUUCAGAAGCUUCAUCUCGACCAUGAACGGUGGUUGCAAAGUUAACAGCCGAGAGUUGUUUUUUGAGCUUGUACAGGGGCUGUGAUGGCUGGAUCUUGUGAUUCACCAUGUUUAACUUGUUCACGGUUGGAGGUGCAAACUUUGGUAUGCGAUGAGGGGUUUUGGUCACGGCUUUCUUCCACUUCCUCUAGUGGUUGAUUAUAGAGUCCGUUUAAUUAUAUACCUUUUUCUUUUUCUUCUUCUUUUUUUUUUUCGAGAUUAUAGGGUUCUGGAAGAUAUAUCAGACAACAUAAUAACAGUGAUAACAAGAAACGGUAUGUAAAUUUUCUGUAAAAUAAAAAAAAAUUAGUGUUCAAUUAUUAACUAAAUUAUUGGAUAACAUAAUUAAUAGUGUGUAAAUUAGAGCAGGUUCCCAUUGCUUAGACAUACAGCCAGCAACAGAAGAUGAUCCAGAGUGGUUAGUAAUGCAGCGAAAGACUGAAGUGGACAUGGUUCAUGAUUGGGUCCUCAAAUACUCUGCAGAUUUGCUUCAAAAUCAGGGCAUAAGAUUAAAUUGGGACUACAAAAUUAGUCUUUUCUUUUUCUUCCUCUCCACUAUCUUUCUAAUAUUUAUGGAUCAAAGAUAAAUAAUAGUGCACCUGGCUAGUUGUAGAUUUCAUUUUCAUAAUUCUUAAUUUGGGUUGUCUAAAUGUGUAGAACAAGUGUGCAGUAUUACUUAAUGUAAAGCACAUAUAAAGGGCUCAUCAUAUGGUGAAUAUCAAUUCAUAUACAAUCACAUUGGAUUAACCAUUUUUGCCCUUUGAUUUAAGAGUUACUGUAUAGGUCCUUGAAGCCAGGGAGAGAAAAAGAAUUUGCCCUCCAUAUACAUGUAUCUCUCAAAACUUAGGUGUUUAUCCUUAUAUGCUCCGUUUAUUAGUAGCCAAGCUUAUGAGUACAUUGCUCCAGGUGAACCUGUUCCUAUUCUCCUACAUAAUAGCUUCUUCUAUUAAUUAUUUGACAAUCUCAUGCAAUUUCUAUUAAUUAUUUGACAAUCUCAUGCAAUUCCAAAGACUUAGGAUUUUGAGAUUUUGGUGGCUGAUAAAAUAAGCAACCUCUAAUAUGCGGAUGAAAUAAGCUAAUGAUUACAAAAGAAGCUUACUCAGUAUUUGGUAAUUUUGAUUACGAAUUUAUAUAUUAGCGUUUAUAAAAAAAAAGUAAGAUAAAAUUAUUCUUUUCUUAAAAUAUUAAAGUUAUAAUAGAACCUUUAAAAAAUAUGGCAUUUUGUUUAAUAAGUUACUUUAAUAAGUUGCUUAUAAAACAUAAUCUCAUACUUGUUUUAAAAGCUAUUGUCAAAAUGGAGAAAAUAUGAAUUAAACUUUUAACAAAUUUACCAAACAUCAUUUUUAUCAAAACUUAUAAAAUAAGUUGUUUAUAGUAUUUCAAUCAUAAUCCCAAAUAGGACAUUAGUCUUUGUUCAGAAUAAGGUUAGGCAUUGAAUACGUGUACACGCAUAAACUAAAAUAUCUAGACUGAAGAAACAGCUUGACUUAAUAAGUCUACUUCAUUCUUUAUUUUCCACAGCAUGUGUCACGAGUAAGUUCCAAAUAAUUGCUAACUAGGAGAAGAAGUCUUUAAAGUCAAGGUGAUUAGAUUCGCAUGUUACGGAAUUACGUAUCGGAGGGGUUCCCUGCUCUCCACUUAAAAAGAUGCCUUAAAAAGUUAAAUAUUAAAUAAUACGGCAUUUUUAAAUUUAAAAAAUUGUAAAAUAUAUAUAAAAAAUUAAAAAUUAAAAAAAAAAAACUUUUUUUUAAGUGCGUGGAGGUUUGAACGGCAACUACAGGAUCGCUUCACGAUGAACUUCAGAUGUGCAAGACUAAGGCAGGCCUAGCACGAUUUGGGCCAACAUUCGUAAACUCAGGAAGGGGGACGGAAGAGAGAGCAUUUUGGUUUAUAUUUUACUCAUAUACACACGAGUAAUUAUAUACAAACCUUUCAUGCCUUAACUAACUUUUUCACGUGGGACAAAUGUAUUUUCCUUUAAUUUUCCAAUUCCAUGAAUUUAAUUUGAGUAACAAUUUCUCAUUUAUCCAAUUUGAUCAUGUAGAGAAAACCAUUAUGAAGUAUUUAUGGAGGAAUAUUUGAAACAAUUUUAACCUUUCACUUACACUAGGUAGGUCUGACUCAAAAUCACACCUCAAAUAGCCACUUGUGCUAUAUUUCUAACACUUUCUACUUCUUUUCCUUAUUUGAUUGCAUGCAAAAAAAUUGAGUGCAAUGAAAUUUUUAUCUUCUUUCGUCUAUGAUGUUUUGGUGUAAAAAAAAAAAAAAAUUAAAAUGGAUGUUAGGUAGCCCAUGAACUUCCAUAGUUUGUAUGUUACAAAAGGAGUUUUGUAACUAUUUUAAAAAAGAGUAAUGAUAUAGCCACAAUCUUUUAUACAAACUUAUCUUAUACAAACUGAUGUGACAUGAUAAAAUUGGUUAAAUUAAAUAUCUCUUGGCUCACAUGAUUUAUUUUCAUUAUUUUAUAUUUUCAUUCAAUCAAUAAAUUGAUGCCAUAUCAGUUUGUACAAAAUAAAUUUGUACAAGAGUUUAUGGCUGUAUCAUCACUCUAAAAAAUAAAGAGAUUAUUUUGAUUAUUUUGUCAAAUCACAGGAGUCUACACAUUCUUUUCUCUAUGGUUAUUUAUAAUAUUACACCUACACGUUUUUUUUAUACAAAUUAAAUUUAUACAAAGAUAUGGUUAGUUCUUGUUUAUUUUCCCAUGAGUCAUAAUUUACAACAACAAUUCUUUGAGCUUCUUUUUCUUUUUAUUAUUUUGGGUAAUAUUUAAUAUCUUAAUAAUGCUAUUAAUUAUUUCUAAUAUUUUCCAUAUUAUCUCAUGUUUCUGCAAUGUUGUUCAAAUAGAUCUACACCACACAAAUACAAGCCAAUAAGGUUAUAUCUCCAUGAUUGAAUCCAUCUAGAGAAGACCUUGACUCACACUCUUUGAAAACGCGUAUUGGAAAUUAACACCGGGAGGUUGAAAAACAAUUAAUUCUUAUAUAAACGCUUUGCUGAGAAUCAAAUGUAGCUCAAUCAACCGAAAACCAUUAUAAACAUGGCAUCAGCGUCCUCUGUUUCGAGACUGGUGGUCAUUAUAAUUUUAAUUAAUGUUGGUACUAUAAGUGAUACGACGAUAUCUGUAACAGCAUCAGCUGCUGCAGGAUUAUUGUCGUCACCCAUACAGUUAGAAAGGAAAGCUUUACUUGCUACGGGCUGGUGGGUCAACAUUUGGCCGACGGGCAACCACACGUCCGAUCCUUGUAAGUGGACUGGCAUCAGUUGCAAUUCAGCGGGAAGCGUAAUCGGGGUCAACUUACUCUGGUAUGAAAAUGAUAACAUCAACGGAGAGCUUGGUCGUUUCAACUUCUCUUGCUUUCCCAACCUCAAAAGUUUCAAAAUUCAUUCAAAUUAUCUUCUCUCUGGGAGCAUUCCAUCCGAAAUUGCUGCCGUUUCAAUGCUCCAAACUCUUGAACUGCCCUCCAACAAUCUUACCGGUAUGCUACGAAACUUCACUAUAUAUAUGUAUGUAUGUAUGUAUGUAUGAAGUCGUGCUCAUGCUUGAAGCAGGCGUCUGUUUUUACAACACUGAAGAAGUUUUUUUUUAUGAGGAUUUCUUUAUAAAUUUUAUUUGCUAUGAGGAUAGUGAAUACUGAUCUCGUUUUUUAUAAAUCACAUGCGCAACAGGAAUUAUCCCUUCAGAGAUGGGGAGAUUGAGGAAGCUCGUCCACCUGGAUCUAUCUGAUAAUUACCUCUCAGGAUAUAUCCCUCCAACUCUUGGUCGUCUAAGCAAAUUGGAAAAUUUGAACCUGUCUUCUAACGGCCUUGAUGGUAAUAUCUCUCCAACUCUUGGUCGUCUAAGCACAUUUUUGUUGUGUGAAAGUGAAACUGUAUAAUAAAUUUCUACAUCUUUGUUUAUUACUUCGGUAGUGUUUUAAUUUGGAGAAUAUGCUGGUUGGCUUUUUUUCCUUCAAUUUUUGUAUGAAAUGAAUCGGCUUCAAGUGUCAGUUUCUUUUCCAAAUUGCAUCCAUCAAUUGCAAUUGUUACAUUGGGCGAUUACAAGUUGUACGUAAUUAUUAAGGAAGGCACGUUUAAGCAUUUUUGGUUUGUACGUUUUCCUCCUUUUUUUUCCCCUUUGCAUUAAAAAUCAUGGUUAUCCUAUAAAAGAUAUGAUUACAAAUUAAAAGCACUAUUUCUAAUUUCACACAUACACAGUUCCUUAUUAAUUUAUUAAAUUUACUUUUGUAUUUACAGGAUAGGGUAGUCAAUUGAGAGCACUGAGAGUGAUUCUCUCUAAUCUCCAUAAUUUUGUAUUAAUUUAUUGAUAUAUUUGUUGCAUCUGCAGAUUUAACUUUCAGUCUAAAAUAUGCAGCAUUGACGAGCCCCAAAAAAAAAAAAGAAAAAAAAAACUAUUGGAGCACUAAAAAAUCUAUUAAUUUUUACAACCUAAGCAUUUCUUUAUAAAUUUUAUUUCUAUGAGGAUAGUGAAUACUGAUCUCGUUUUUCAUAAAUCACAUGCGCAACAGGAAUUAUCCCUUCAGAGAUGAGGAGAUUGAGGAAUCUCGUCCACCUGGAUCUAUCUUUUAAUUGCCUCUAUGGAUAUAUACCUCCAACUCUUGGUCGUCUAAGCAAAUUGGAAAAUUUGAACCUGUCUUGUAAUGCCCUUGAUGGUAAUAUCCCUCCAACUCUUGGUCGUGUAAGCAAAUUGAAAAAUUUGAACUUGUCUGCUAACUCUCUUGCUGGUAAUAUCCCCCCCACUCUAGGUCAUCUAACCCAUCUAACUACUUUGGCUAUUGCUUGGAACCAAAUUAAUGGUUCCAUCCCAUUAAGAAUCGGGAGUUUGAAGGCUCUUCAAGUUCUUGACUUGUCCAUAAAUGAAAUUGAAGGUUCAAUUCCUUCAACACUUGGCCAUUUAAAGAGAUUGAGAAGUUUAGACUUGUCCGGUAACAAUCUUGUUGGUCCAAUCCUUUCGUCUGUGGGUCAUUUGACUCGGCUAACAACUUUUGAUAUGCACUCAAACCGAAUCAAUGGUUCCAUCCCAUUAGAAAUCGGAAAUUUGAACUUUCUUCAAGUUCUUGACCUCUCCUACAACAAACUUGAAGGUUCAAUUCCUUCGACCAUAGCUAGUUUAGUCAACCUAACAUCUUUGUUCUUGUGCAAUAAUAGUCUAACUGGAUCUAUUCCUUCAACACUUGGUCGUUUAAACAGGUUGACAAGUUUAGACUUGUCCGGUAACAAUCUUUUUGGUCCAAUCCCUUCGUCUGUGGGUCAUUUGACUCAGCUGACAACUUUUGAUAUGCACUCAAACCGAUUCAAUGGUUCCAUCCCAUUAGAAAUCGGAAAUUUGAACUUUCUUCAAGUUCUUGAUAUGUCCCACAACAAACUUGAAGGUUCAAUUCCUUCGACCAUAGCUAGUUUAGUCAACCUAACAUCUUUGUUCUUGUGCAAUAAUAGUCUAACUGGAUCUAUUCCUUCAACACUUGGUCGUUUAAACAGGUUGACAAGUUUAGACUUGUCCGGUAACAAUCUUGUUGGUCCAAUCCCUUCGUCUGUGGGUCAUUUGACUCAGCUAACAACUUUUGAUAUGCACUCAAACCGAUUCAAUGGUUCCAUCCCAUUAGAAAUCGGAAAUUUGAACUUUCUUCAAGUUCUUGAUCUGUCCCACAACAAACUUGAAGGUCCAAUUCCUUCGACCAUAGCUAGUUUAGUCAACUUAACAUCUCUGUUUCUGUGCAAUAACAGUCUAACUGGAUUUAUUCCUUCAACACUUGGUCAUUUAAAUAGGUUGACAAGUUUAGACUUGUCCGGUAACAAUCUUGUUGGUCCAAUCCCUUCGUCUCUGGGUCAUUUGACUCAGCUAAUAACUUUUGAUUUGCACUCAAACCGAAUCAAUGGUUCCAUCCCAUUAGAAAUCGGGAAUUUGAAACAUGUUGAAGAUGUGUACCUAUUCAACAACAAACUUGAUGGUCCAAUUCCUCCACAACUCAUGAAUUGCUCAAAGCUGGGGGAAUUACGUUUGGGAAACAACUUGUUAAGGGGAAGCAUCCCGUUAGAGAUCGGCAAACUUAAAGAACUAUAUUAUCUUGAUCUGAGCCAUAACUCCAUUAAUGGUAAAAUACCUUCCCAGCUUGGAGAAAUUCCACGCAUAGAUACCGUGAACCUUUCCAUGAAUAACCUCUCUGGUAGUAUCCCUGAAUCUGUCAUAAUUGUGCCACACUUAUAUGUGUCAGGCAACAAUUUGGAGGUAGAAAUCCCAAAUACUUCGGCAUAUGCGCCACCGCCACAACAGUCUGAAGGCAAUAAAGACAAGCACAAAAAGAUUGCCACUCGAUUGGUUGCAAUUGUUCUUCCUAUGGUCGCAUUGCUUGCCUUGAUAUUCGGAAUCUUGUUUGUCCAUAGACGAAGGGAUAAGAAAGUUGAACCAGUUGAGACAGGAGAAAUCACCAAGUGCGCUGAUGAGUUUGCAAUUUGGAAUUACGAUGGUAGAAUUACAUUUCAAGACAUGAUUGAAGCUACUGAGGAUUUCCAUAUCAAAUACUGCAUUGGAACCGGGGGCUACGGCAGCGUUUACCGAGCACGACUGCCCAGUGGAAAAGUAGUUGCUUUGAAGAAGCUUCACCGUUCAGAAACUGAGGAGUUAGCUUCCCUCGAGAGUUUCCGGAAUGAGGCUCGUCUACUGUCCCAAAUACGGCAUCGAAAUAUCGUAAAGCUUUACGGGUUUUGUUUGCACAGGAAAUGCAUGUUCUUAAUCUAUGAGUACAUGGAAAUGGGAAGCUUGUUCAUUGUUCUGCGCACAGAUGGGGAAGCUGUGGGGUUGGAUUGGGCUAAAAGGGUGAACGUUGUGAAGGGCAUGGCUCAUGCUUUGUCAUACUUGCAUCAUGACUGCACACCACCAAUUGUUCACCGGGACAUAUCAAGCAACAACGUUCUACUCAACUCAGAAUUGGAAGCAUUUGUUGCCGACUUUGGCGUUGCUAGAUUAUUAAAUUUUGACUCAUCCAAUCGAACUCUAUUGGCUGGCACUUAUGGAUAUAUUGCUCCAGGUAAUCUUCUAGCUAUUCUUCUUGUGCUUCUUUAAUUAUUCUUUUAAUUAAUUUCCAUAUGCACUUUGUUAAGUAAGUUUUAAGCAGUUUUAUUUAGUUAGCUACUUAGGUUCGAAUUUUGGAAUAAGUAAGGUGCUGAAAGAUAAAUUUGAACUUUGCCUACCCGUUUAACUUUUUUUUAAAAAAAAAAAAUUACACAGUUUAAAAAUCAAUUAAAAAAAUAUGUUUCUCUGUCAUACCUUGCUGCAGAAGCUCAAAAAUAUAAACAAAUUGCUCUUGUUAUUGUUUAUGGAAACAUCACUAAUAAAGGCUUCUGUUUUCAUACAGAACUUGCCUACACCAUGGUUGUGACGGAAAAAUGUGAUGUUUAUAGCUUUGGAGUGGUGGCACUAGAAGUACUAAUGGGAAAGCAUCCAGGAGAGCUCCUCUCAUCGUCAUCUUGGUCAUUGGAUAAAAAUAUUAAGCUAAUUGAUUUGCUGGACCCACGCCUCUCACCUCCGGUGGAUCAAAAGAUUAGGCAGGAUAUCAUUCUUGUUUCAACAGUAGCAUUUUCAUGCUUGCGUUCUCAACCAAAGUCUCGACCUACAAUGCAACUCGUGUCCAACGAAUUUAUCGCUCGCAAUAAGGCACCAAUGCAAAAACCUUUUCAUGAAAUUUCAAUUUUGGAGCUUAGAAACCAAGAAAUGUAUUUGGUUGAUUAAUGUGAUAUCUAAUUAUGGAUACGUAUAUUUAACUGUUCAUGUAUGUGAUGGGAUUGCUUCUAAUCCUAAUGGAAUUUUCCAAUAAAGGUGACUGUUAAUUGGUUCUGAUGAAAUUAUUAAGUAGUAGCAAUGUAGCAAAUAUUAUGUGUUCGACGAAUUGUCUCCCUUAGUAUUAUUAAUUCUAUUUACACGUUCACUUCCUAUACAUGUUGAAUUGCAAUUAAACGAAUGUGCAAACUACGACAUUAAUCUCUCUGGUAAAGCUAGUGCUGAUAAAAUAAGGUCUGUCUGAUUGUCUCCCUCUGAAUGAGCUGAAUUAAACAGGAUUUUAAGGAAUUUAAGGUUGUAUCUCUACGAGUUAAAAGGGUAAAUUGUCAUUUUAAUUAUUAGUUUAUUUUACAAAUUAUAUAUAUAAACUUUCUCCAGAGCGAGGUUCUUGAUGUCACGUUACUUAAUAUAUUAGUUUCUUCACUCCUUUGUAAAUAUUCACACAAACAUAUAUAAUAAAUUUUUAAUUUAGCCGAUGCGAUCAAACAUCCUGGACCCACCGCUGAUGUUAGGAAGCUUCUGCACAAGUUGUGGUUAGUGAUGUCCCACCAACUGCCUGCCACCACAAGAUAAACUAAUGUAAGGUCAUGAUCAAGAAAAAUUUGCAUUGAGCCGAAGAGUCCAAUGUCAUAAUCAUGCAUCUAUGAAGUGCAAGAGUAGAGAACAACACACGAUCCCCAUUACAGUAUUGUUGCUUGCACUUAUAGGCUCCAUCAAUCAGUACCUUCAAAUCCAUAUAUAAUGAGAUGGAAGAAGGAACUUAAAUUUAUUAUUGUAAUUUUCAACUUUUAAAAUGAUAAAGUAAGUCGCGGCUGGUUCAUUGAAAUUUAAGACAUUCAAAAUGAAGUGCAAGAGCAAAAUAAAAGUUAAGAGCUUUACCUUCAGCAUAACAAGGAGUCUGCUGUAUCAGGCCGACUUUAUCUGCCUCUAUAGACCACCACCUCUUCAUCAUCAGCCUUCCCAAUAACACUUUCUGCUGUUUCUUCAUUUGAUUCUUCGACCACUACAGCUUCACCUUCAACAUCCUCGGUAGGCUCUGAUGGUGUCAUAAUUGUUGUGCUGGUGGUCAGGGGGACAGCUUCAUUAUUUUUCCUAGAUCCAUUUGUCAAACUUCACGACAGCAGAGUGAAUACCAACUUGACAAACUUCACACCAGAAUUCGAAAUUCUCUCUAAGAGGAAGUUUUCUCUUCAUCGUCUCUCCAGUCGGUAUUCCAUUUGUCAUCUUCUGAGUGUUUGCAUUCAAGUCCUUCUUCUUUAGCAGCUCCUUAUUUUUGUUCUCUGAAUCUUCUUCACUCUCCACUUUCUGGUCUAAACCAACAACAGUUUUAAUAGCUUUAACUGAUUCCUCUUCUACUUUAGCUUUCAUUUUUUGCCCAGCACUUUCUGGUCUUAACCCACUUUCUGGUCUACUUGUCUUUCCAGAAUCUUUUGAUGUCGAUGAAGAUGAGGUAGUGCACAUCUUCUGAGCUCCAAUUAGGUCCGCUUCCUCCGCCUUGUGCUUCUCACCUUGAAGAUGCUCAUCUUGACCGCCCUCCACUUUCUGGUCUAAAUCAACGAUAUUUUUAUUCGGUGUAACUGAUUCCUCUUCUAGAGUAGCCUUAAUUUCCUGGCCAGCACUAUCUCUGCUUUCAGUAGAGUUUUUUGAAGUGGAGUUACUGCACAUCUUCUCAUCUCCAAGUAGUCCUUCUUCCUGGCCUUGUGCUUCUUGCCGUGAAGAUGCUCAUCUAGAUCUCUUGUUAGAGUGCAAUUUAUGCACUAAUUUUGCAUUGUUUACUUCUCUUAAUAUCGAUGUUUUGCACUAAAUAAUAAUGAUUUACUUGUGUUUUACUUUUGUAGGUGCAAUUCUAUUGAUUUGUGAUAAAAUUGAGCUAUAAGAUGAUGUUUAAAGAUGAUUGUUCUCUUGGAGAAAUUAUGAGCGGCAGAAGAACUUUGUUGAUAAGGCGUGGGCGCGUGCUGUCAACUACGGACCUGCAGUUUUUAGUUUAACGUGUUUUGUAUUUUUGGUUAUUUUUGUAAUUACGAAUUUAAUAUUUCAAAUAUUAGUAUUUUAUUUUAAAUAGAAUUCUAGAGAAGAAGAGAGAGAGAGUAUUUAAGGGAGGAAUCUAUUGUGAAAAAGGCAGAUUUGGAUUGGAGAAAAAGAAAGAAACCCUAGAUCUUAAUUUUUCUCUUCUCUCUAUGAAGAACUAAACCUAUUUUUUUGGUUGAAGGAUAAUGAAGCUUUGAUUCAUCACUACUGUGAGAUCUUUCUUGUGCUUUAAUUGUUUUAUUGCUUUUUGGGUAUUUAUUUAUUCUCUGAAUUAUUUUCAUGAUUAUGUUUGUUAAUUAGGUAAUUGGCCACUAUUUAAUUAUCAACUUAAUUUAUUGUCAAUUAAAGGAUUCAUCGUAUGAAGAAUUUAAUGUUUGUGACAAAUAACAUAGCAGAGAGUUGUGUUGUGAGAAUAAACAAUCUAAUUUAAAUGAAUCAUCAUAUGUGUUGAUUAGGAUUUGGGUCUCUCUGAUUUUUCAGGCUGUCAAUUGAUUAAAUCCUAUGAUCGUAUCUAGGGUUGUCUAUUGAUUAGGGAAAUAACCAACGGUCGUACCUUGGUUAUCGACUAGUUAAGGAGAGAUUUGCUAUUAGAGGGUCUCAGUAGCUAUAACCGGUCUAUUCAUAAGUAAUAAUAAUCUAUAUUUGAAUCAAUGAUCAGUAGUCGAAUCAAGCUGAGUUAAUUCCUUCAACCAGAGCUUUCUCCAAUUUGAAUCACAACUUUAAUUUACAUUCUCGUUAUUUUAAUUUGAUUUUUAUUAUUGUCAACAAUUCUCCCAUUUUACGUUUUAUGUUUCAAAAGGAUUUAAAUAAUUACCGAUCUCUGUGGACACGACCUUGCUCAAUCACUAUACACAAUUUAUUUAGAGUAGGAAUUUAUUUUUGUUGGCUUCGACACCCAUCAAAUUUUGGCGCCGUUGCCGGGGAUUGGUGUCAUUUAUUUAAUUAUUUUUACGUUUUACUUGGUGUAUGGUUCGUUCUUCUCGUACAGGUACACUUUCGUUUGAUCCUGAAAUUGAGAAGACAGCUCGCCAGCUGAGACAGCAGACAAAGCGAGCUAAGCAACGAUCCUCGUCGCCUUUGCUUUCUGAAACAGAUACGGUGCCUGAUUUAGUUGAAUCAUCUAGCGAUUCAGAAGAACAAGUGAUGGAUAGAGCUGCACCUGUAGAAAGAACUCUUAGAGAGUUAGCUGAACCAGACUUGAAUCAACAACCACUCUGCAUUCAAUAUGUAGACUUGGAGGUAAAUUUUGAAUUAAAGUCUGGUCUUAUUCAUUUAUUACCCAAGUUUCAUGGUUUUGCAGGUGAAGAUCCUCAUAAACAUCUUAAGGAGUUUCAUGUUGUGUGUUCAAGUAUGAGACCACAAGGCGUGACUGAAAAGCAGAUUAAGCUGCGUGCUUUUCCGUUCUCUGUAGAUGGGCUAGCUAAAGACUGGUUGUAUUACUUGCCUCCUGGAUCGAUUACAACGUGGAAUGAUUUGAAGAAGCAGUUCCUCGAGAAGUACUUUCCUGCUUCAAGAGCUGCCAACAUAAAAAAAGACAUUUGUGGGAUUAGACAACUUCCUGGGGAGACUUUGUAUGAGUAUUGGGAGCGAUUCAAACAAUUGUGUGCCAGCUGUCCUCAGCAUCAGAUUUCUGAUCAACUUCUUAUUCAAUAUUUUUACGAAGGACUAUCAUUGAUGGAUAGAAGUAUGAUAGAUGUUGCUAGUGGAGGCGUGUUGGUGAACAAGACUCCUACUCAAGCAAGGGAGUUGAUAUCAAAUAUGGCUGCCAACGCACAACAAUUUGGCAGCAGGCAAGAUCCCACUUCAAGGAAGGUGAAUGAGGUAAAUAUUUCUUCUGUUGAACAACGUUUAGAUAAACUCACUUCUCUUGUGGAAAAGUUUGUUGUAGGUAAUGUGCAACAGGUGAAGACUUGUGGUAUUUGUUACAAUAUGGGUCAUUCAACUGAUAUGUGUCCUACACUUCAAGAAGAACCCGUUGAACAAGCCAAUGCAGUUGGAGGAUUUCCAGGCAUGCCUCAGAGGAGGUAUGAUCCUUAUGCACAAACAUACAAUCCGGGAUGGAAAGAUCAUCCCAACUUCAGCUAUGGAGUUAGGCCGUCAGGAUUCCCACAACAGUAUCCACCAAGACAACCAGCACCUCCACAGUCAACCUCCAAGUCAGGUAUAUCUCUUGAAGAAAUUGUUAAAUCGCUUGCGACUAACACUCAACAAUUUCAGCAGGCAACUACAACAAGCAUUCAGAACUUGGAGAACCAAAUGAGUCAAUUGGCGACUACAGUGAGCCGUCUAGAGUCUCAAGUAUUAGGGAGAUUGCCUUCACAAUCUGAGGUGAAUCCAAAGCAAAACGUUAGUGCUGUCAUCCUUAGAAGUGGGAAGGAGUUGCAAGAGCCUAGUAAGAAAGUGACAGAGCAUGUAGAAGAUGAGCUUGAGAAGAAUGAAUUGAUGCCUCAAUCUCAAGAUGCACAACCCACCAGAGCGAAACCCCUACCUAUUGUGAUACCUCCUCCUUUUCCAAGCCGGUUUGCAAAAUCCAAGAAGGAGGAACAAGAUAAAGACAUCAUUGAGACAUGUCGCAAGGUUGAGGUAAAUAUCCCUUUAUUAGAUGCUAUAAAAUAAAUACCUCGAUAUGCUAAAGUCCUUAAGGAACUAUGCACCUCUAAGAGAAAAUUAAGAGGAGAUGAAAAAGUUCAUAUGGGGGAGAAUGUUUCAGCAGUUCUCCAAAAGAAACUACCUCCUAAGUGCAAGGAUCCAGGUAUGUUUACUAUCCCUUGCAAAAUUGGUAAUGUCAAAGUUGAAAAGGCUAUGUUAGAUCUAGGAGCUUCUAUUAAUGUCAUGCCUCGUUCCAUUUAUUCAUCUUUGAAUGUUGGUCCAUUAAAAGAAACUGACGUGAUAAUUCAACUAGCCGAUAUGUCUAAUGCAUAUCCUGAUGGGGUAUUAGAAGAUGUCCUAGUACAAGUUAAUGAGUUGGUUUUUCCUACUGAUUUUUAUGUACUUGAUAUGGAAGAGGAUAACUUCUCUAAUUCUGUCCCAAUUUUGCUAGGAAGACCUUUUCUUAAGACUGCUAGGACUAAAAUGGAUGUACAUAAAGGGACUCUCACUAUGGAAUUUGAUGGAGAGGUUAUAGAAUUCAAUAUGAAUGAUGCCAUGAAAUAUCCUAGUGAGGAACAUUCGGUAUUUUCUGUGGAUGUUAUUAACCCUAUACCGCAGGAAGUUUUUUUCAAGGAAAAGACGAAGACAUUUCAUGAUAGAAUGAUUUUGAGAAAGGAGUUCUCUGUUGGUCAAAAAGUUCUUCUUUUUCAUUCUAAGCUUAAACUUUUUCCAAGUAAAUUACGUUCUUGCUGGGUUGGACCUUUUAUUGUUACUAAUGUUUUUCCUCAUGGUGCAGUUGAGAUUCGGAGUCCGACCUCUGACAAAGUUUUUGAAGUUAACGGUCAUCGUUUAAAACCUUUUUAUGAAGGUUUUUUGGUGAAUAUUGUGGAGGAAAUGGCUCUCGAGGGUCCUAUUUAUGGAGAUUGAUGCAUAAAUGUGUCUAGCCAAAGACAUAAAACAAAGACGCUUUUUGGGAGGCAACCCAAAUGAUUUGUUUAUUUUGGUUUUUGUUUUAUCGUCUUUUAGUUUUGAUUCAAAUUUAAAAAAAAAAAAAAAUUUUUGUGUUUGCUUAUUUUGGUCAGAAGUAAAAUAGUUUUAAGACGUGCCCACGUGCUUAUUAAAAAAGUACUUCUGAAAUUUUUGGUGUCUCAAAGUGAUUCAUCACUAAAAAAAUAAAAAAAUUAAUAAUUUACUGUUCACAAAAUUCCUAAUUUUCCAGAUCUUGUUUUCUUCUCCAGCCGCUUGCAGCACACCAGCAGCAAACCAGCCUGCCGGAAAACGCACCACCCCGCGCGCGCAGCACCAGCAUCCCGUGUCUCGCAAGUCCAACCAGCGCACAACGCAAGCCCCAGCAGCGCGCAACGUAAGCCCCAGCUGCGCGCGCAGCGCGAACCAGCCCCAGCCCGAGCACGCAACCCAACAAGCGUCACCAGCGCAGCACCAGCAAUCCCCCAGUGCACAGCAACAGCCGCAGUACGCAGAUCCAGCAUCACCAGUUCGCAGCAUCAGUCCCAGCCCGCACGCGCAACACAACCAGCACCAACCCGCGCAGCACAACCAUCCGCGCGCAACUGAACCAACAGCCGUGUACCCGCAAGCUCCAGUCGAGCAGCAAUAGUCCGCAACCAGCCUACGACCUGCAUUCCAGCCGCGUGAAUCGAAAUCCGUGACAAGAUGGAGCAGAAUUUGGCCGCAUACUUCAAGAGUGUGGGAUUUAUCCCACCAUUCCCGCCAAGCCCAUAGACGUUAUGAGGAUCAAAGUUCACAAUUCAGGGAAGUUUUUGCCUUUAAUCUUUUAUCCUUACGCUUUAAUUUUUAUGUGAGCUUUAAUUAUCUUACAUUGGGGACAAUGUAAGUUCUUGGUGUGGGGGAGGGAUUUUUGCAUUAUUGAUGUCUGGAAUUAUUAUUUUCACUCUACUCAUCCUUAAAUGAUUUUGGAGUUAGUAUGCUUCAUAUAUUAUUAUUUUUCUUUUCUUUUCUUUCUCAUCACUCACAUUUUAUCUUUCACUUUUCAUAUUACUACAUACAUCUUUCUCACUUCUUAUCAUUUUUACCUUUUCUUCACUCAUACCUUCUUCUCAUUCUACACCACUAUUGAUGGUUGAUUCAUUUGAAGAGUGUACAUGAUUUGAUGGCAAAUUUACCAACUUUGUGAGGAUUUGAGCCUAUGAGCAACCACUUUGCUCUAAUUAUUUUUAUUAUGUGAAUAUCAAUCUUAGUUUGUUUAUUCUAGAACUUGCUUUGUUAUGCAUGUUGAAGCCACAUUACGGAAUUUUUUGCAUUAAAAUGAUAAGGGUAAACCAUUUACCAUUUUUCUAUUCUCGCAUUUUUUUUUUCUCUACCUGAAGACCUUGAUUUACUAUCUUUGUUUGAGCUUUAACCAUUACCCAUCUAAUUCUCUCCAUCUACUUAACCAUUUUUCUUCUUUUUGAGCCUCAAUUUUAAGGAGAUUUUUGGACUCAUUGUGUUGAUAUAUUUUGUUGCUUUUUCUACCUUGUAUUAAAGUUUCUCAAUUAGAUCAACAAGCAUUAUGCUUGAAUUAAAUUGUGCAAGGUUCGUUUCUUUUGUUUGAUUAAAAAAAAAAACAACAACAAAAAGAAAAAAAAAAAGAAAAAGAAAAAUCGAAAAAAAAGAAAAAAAAAAAGAGAAAAAGAAAAAUCGAAAAAAAAGAAAAAAAGAAAAAUCGAAAAAAAAGAAAAAAAAAGAAAAAAAAAAGUUUACAUUCUUGGUGACUUGAGUAGAAAUAAGCAUUUUGAUAUUAUAAAUUCAUUCAAUGAGUUCAUUCUUCUCAUUUUGAUCUCUUUUUCUCUUUCAUAGACCUUUCUUUUUCAUUUAACCUAUUUAACCCCAUUACAACCCUUUUAAGACCCUUAGAUUUUUGCAUUUUCUUCAUGUUUUGUGGAUUGAGAUGUGAUAUAUGAGCAAGCUUAUGGUAAUAGCAUUCUUUGAUUUGAUUUGAGUGAAUACAUGACACCCUAAACACUUUGAGUGCAUAGAGUGAAGUUAUUGAGACUAUUAAAUUUUGUUGCACUUGAAUUUUGAAUGGAUCUUCUUGGUGGUUGAAUGUUCUUAUUCUAUCUUAUGAAAUUCUUUGCUCUAAAAUCCUUGUCUCUCGAAUGUUGAUCGACUUAAUUUCUUGAUGUAUGCUUGCUUAAAAUUAUUUUUGGAUGAGUUGAGAUGAAAAUUGAGUGGAGAUUUGGGAUUAGUCUUGAGUUAUAUGCUUGAGGACAAGCAUCAUCUUGGUGUGGGGGAUUUUGUUAGAGUGCAAUUUAUGCACUAAUUUUGCAUUGUUUACUUCUUUUAAUAUCGAUGUUUUGCACUUAAUAAUAAUGAUUUACUUGUGUUUUACUUUUGUAGGUGCAAUUCUAUUGAUUUGUGAUAAAAUUGAGCUAUAAGAUGAUGUUUAAAGAUGAUUGUUCUCUUGGAGAAAUUAUGAGCGGCAGAAGAACUUUGUUGAUAAGGCGUGGGCGCGUGCUGUCAACUACGGACCUGCAGUUUUUAGUUUAACGUGUUUUGUAUUUUUGGUUAUUUUUGUAAUUACGAAUUUAAUAUUUCAAAUAUUAGUAUUUUAUUUUAAAUAGAAUUCUAGAGAAGAAGAGAGAGAUAGUAUUUAAGGGAGGAAUCUAUUGUGAAAAAGGCAGAUUUGGAUUGGAGAAAAAGAAAGAAACCCUAGAUCUUAAUUUUUCUCUUCUCUCUAUGAAGAACUAAACCUAUUUUUUUGGUUGAAGGAUAAUGAAGCUUUGAUUCAUCACUACUGUGAGAUCUUUCUUGUGCUUAAUUGUUUUAUUGCUUUUUGGGUAUUUGUUUAUUCUCUGAAUUAUUUUCAUGAUUAUGUUUGUUAAUUAGGUAAUUGGCCACUAUUUAAUUAUAAACUUAAUCUAUUGUCAAUUAAAGGAUUCAUCGUAUGAAGAAUUUAAUGUUUGUGACAAAUAACAUAGCAGAGAGUUGUGUUGUGAGAAUAAACAAUCUAAUUUAAAUGAAUCAUCAUAUGUGUUGAUUAGGAUUUGGGUCUCUCUGGUUUUUCAGGCUGUCAAUUGAUUAAAUCCUAUGAUCGUAUCUAGGGUUGUCUAUUGAUUAGGGAAAUAACUAACGGUUGUACCUUGGUUAUCGACUAGUUAAGGAGAGAUUGGCUAUUAGAGGGUCUCAGUAGCUAUAACCGGUCUAUUCAUAAGUAAUAAUAAUCUAUAUUUGAAUCAAUGAUCAGUAGUUGAAUCAAGCUGAGUUAAUUCCUUCAACCAGAGCUUUUUCCAAUUUGAAUCACAACUUUAAUUUACAUUCUCGUUAUUUUAAUUUGAUUUUUAUUAUUGUCAACAAUUCCCCCAUUUUACGUUUUACGUUUCAAAAGGAUUUAAAUAAUUACCGAUCUCUGUGGACACGACCCUGCUCAAUCACUAUACACAAUUUAUUUAGAGUAGGAAUUUAUUUUUGUUGGCUUCGACACCCAUCAUCUCUCUUGCUAGUGGUACUGACCUGACAGAGGCAACAACUCCAAUCCAUGGGUUUCUUUGAACUCGUCAACAGGAGCUAUCCAGAACCUGCUGGUAGUGUGGCAGCUUCCUGCUUUGAUCCACAAAGAUUGGGAUAGGGCUUAACCUGCUGGGCUUGACAACCCUCCUCUUUCUGGUCUAAACCAACAACAGUUCUAUUAGCUUUAACUUAUUCCUCUGCUGCUUUAUUCUUCAUUUCUUGGCCAGCACUAUCUCUGCUUUCUGUAGAUUUUUUUAUCCACUUCUGAGCUCCAAGUAGUUCUUCGUCCUUGGCCUUCUGCUUCUUACCUUGAGGAUGCUUAUCUACACCAACCUCCCCUUUCUGGUCUAGGCCAAUAACAGUUUUUUAGCUUUAACUGAUUCCUCUUGUACUUUAGUGUUCAUUUCUUGGCCAACACCAUCUCUGCUUUCAGUAUAUUUUUCUGACGUGGAUGAAGUGGAGUUACUGCACAUUUUCUUAUCUCUAAGUAGUCCUGAAACCUUGGCCUUAUGCUUCCUACCUUGAAGAUGCUCAUCUAGACCUCUCUUGGUAGUAGCACUGACCCGACAGAGGGCACAACUCCACUCCUUGGGUUUGUUAGAAUUCGUCGAAGGAAGCUCUCCAAAACCUGCAGGUGGUGCGGUAGCUUUCUGAUUUGAUCGACAAAGAUUGGAAUUGGGCUUAACCUGCAGGGUUUGACCUUCCUCCACUUUCUGGUCUAAACCAACAACAGUUUUAUUACCUUUAAGUGAUUCCUUUUCUACAUUAGACUUCAUUUCUUGGUCAGUACUAUCUCUGCUUUCCGUAUAUUUUUUUGAAGUGGAGUUAAUGCACAUCUUCAAAUCUCUAAGUAGUUUUUCCUUGGCCUUGUGCUUCUUACCUUGGAGAUGCAGGUCUAGAUCUCUCUCGGUAGUAGCAUUGACCUGACAGAGGGCACAACUCUACUCCUUGGGUUUGUUUGAACCCGCUGAAGGAAGCUCUCCAGUACCUGCAAGUGGAGUGGCAGCUUUCUACUUUGAUCCACAGGUAUUGGAAUCAGGCUGAGGCUGGAAAUGAUACAGAAACCAUUAUGCCUUAUAUUAGUUAUCACAUCAAUGGUAAAAAUGAAAAAAAUUCCCAGUGAGCUCCAUCAUUUGCUAUUGUAGUACAGAUGAAAGAAUUUGUUUACAAAAUCGUUAAUACAACCAGAAUCCUUGUUAAUUAACAACAUUUCCAGCACUGAACUAGGAAAAUCUUUCCUUCCAAAAAACAGAAAAAAAAGGAUUAUGUUUGAAUAGGAUUCUGAAAGACUUUCUUAAUAAUCUGGACUAGAAGAGAUGACAUUAACACUUACGAGCAUUAUAAUUCAUAAUUUGAGGAAACACCAUUUCAAUGGAGCCUCCAGCCCAACGCACAUACACAAAGACAAGCAAUAAAAUUUAAAAUAAGAAAUUACCAGGAAAAAGAAACAUCAGAAAUCAAUCUGUACAAGUUCAUAUGACACUUCAUGGUAAACAUAUGUAACCUCUCUUGGAACCUUAGCUUGCGAGAAGCCACAUUUGCUCCGGGUUUUCGUUCAAAAAAGGUUUCAGACACACAUUGAUUCCAGGCUGUGGGGGAUCAUAUGUCCUCACAGCCAAAUUUUAAAGCCACAUACAUUGGCAUUUGCACGCAUAGUCAAGAGUUGCGCAACUCUCUCGUCUACUUGAGUUGACCACGCAAACUGAACUUGCGAACUUUGACCAACAUAAAUAACCAAAUGCUAUGAUGUUUGGAACUAAAUCAAGAUAGUGAGUCCAAAUGUACUCCCCAACAAACUUGUCACCUGGGCAUCAAGACCAAGUCUUUUGGCACUAAGAGUGGACAUGGGAAUCUCUAAGCAACGACCUCCUAAUAACAUACAAAUCCAGGUUACUGAUAAUGCUCAUCGAUUUAAAGGCUUACAAGUUUACAAAGAAGUAAGUAAAGAAUUUGAUAAUAAUUGAAACAGAGUUCGAACGGAUCAAUAAUAAUAAAGAUAAAUUUAAUCUAUAAUAUCAACUAAAAAGUUGUGAUAUAUAUAUUUUUUUCUAAUUUGAUUUUUUGUGCAGCAUCAGUUCUGUGGAAAAUCGGUGCCUUUUGUAUCAAGUAAAGAUGCCCUACAGAAUGCAACUCUUCGUGGAUAUUUCAACUCUGCUCAAGCCUUUGGCUGAUUAUGCGGAGAUUCUCUUACACAUCAAGAAAAAUUUAUCGGCCGAAAUGUCUCCCAUUAUCGUUGUCGGAGCAUCUUAUGGAGGAUCUUUUGAUUGACAUCAUGUCAUCUGUCACCUUAUUUUAAAUAUUUGACUAAAAUCUGGAUUACGCCUCAAUUAUUAUGAUACAAUUUUAUUUUAUAUUCCUACUAACAGAUACUCUUUGAGAGUUACUCGUGUGGGUUUGUUAUUGUUAUCAUCAGUGCUCGCUGCAUGGUUUCGCUUGAAGUAUCCUCAUAUUGCUUUAGGAGCAGUUGCCUCUUCAGCCCCAAUUCUCUACUUUGAUAAUAUCACACCAUCGAACGCAUAUUAUGAUCUUGUCAGCAAGGAUUUUAGGGUAAGAAAAUAAUAUUAAUUAAUUAAAAUUCUAUAUAUGUAUGAUUAUAUUUUCUUGUUAAAAUUUGACUAUUGAAUUUUGAAUACUAAUGAUGCAGGAAGCUAGUGAGAGUUGCUACAAGACCAUCAAACAGUCCUGGGCUGAAAUCGAUGAAGCCGCUGCUGGAAAAAAAUGGACUUACUGUUCUCUCUUAAAAGUUCAAAACCUGCAAGUAAUUGAAUCAUAUUACUUUUAUAACUGCCGAUAUAUAUCCAUCUGAUUUUCCUUUAAUUACAGUGCAAUGUUAUUGUAGUAUCAUUACAUAACUGUCUAUAUAUAUCCAAUUAAUGAUCUGUCAUCCUCAAGGUAUAUUUACAUUUCAGUUAAUGUGUAAUAUACGUACAUAGUAAAAUCUGGCAUUUUAUUUAAUAAGUUGCUUAUAAAAAACAAUCUCAUACUUAUUUUAAGAGUUAUUGUCAAAAUGGAGAAAAUAUGAAUUAAACUUUUAACAAAUUUAUCAAACAUCAUUUUUAUCAAAACUUAUAAAAUAAACUACUUAUAGUAUUUCAACCAUAAUUCCAAAUAGGACAUUAGGCUUUGUGCAGAAUAAAGUUAGGCAUUGAAUAUUUGUACACGUAUAAACUAAAUAUCUAGAUUCUAGACUGAAGAAACAACUUGACUUUCAUUCUUUGUUUUCCACAGCAUAUGUCAAGACGUAAGUUCCAAAUAAUUGCUGACUAGGGGAAGCAGUCUUUAAAGUCAAGGUGAUUAGAUUAGCAUGUUUCGGCAUUACGUAUCGGAGGGGUUCCCUGCCCUCAAUGUAAAAAGAUGCCUUAAAAUUAAAUAUUUAAAUAAUAUGGUUGAUGGUUGUCGAAGCCAACAAAAAUAAAUUCCUACUCUAAAUAAAUUGUGUAUAGUGAUUGAGCAGGGUCGUGUCCACAGAGAUCGGUAAUUAUUUAAAUCCUUUUGAAACGUAAAACGUAAAAUGGGGGAAUUGUUGACAAUAAUAAAAAUCAAAUUAAAAUAACAAGAAUGUAAAUUAAAGUUGCAAUUCAAAUUAGAGAAAGCUCUGGUUGAAGGAAUUAACUCAGCUUGAUUCGACUACUGAUCAUUGAUUCAAAUAUAGAUUAUUAUUACUUAUGAAUAGACCAGUUAUAGCUACUGAGAUCCUCUAAUAGCCAAUCUCUCAUUAACUAGUCGAUAACCAAGGUACGACCGUUGGUUAUUUCCCUAAUCAAUAGACAACCCUAGAUACGAUCGUAGGAUUUAAUCAAUUGACAGCCUGAAAAACCAGAGAGACCCAAAUCCUAAUCAACACAUACGAUGAUUCAUUUAAAUUAGAUUGUUUAUUCUCACAACACAACUCUCUGCUAUGUUAUUUGUCACAAACAUUAAAUUCUUCAUACGAUGAAUCCUUUAAUUGACAAUAGAUUAAGUUGAUAAAUAAAUAGUGGCCAAUUACCUAAUUAACAAACAUAAUCAUGAAAAUAAUUCAGAGAAUAAACAAAUACCCAAAAAGUAAUAAAACAAUUAAAGCAUAAGAAAGAUCUCACAGUAGUGAUGAAUCAAAGCUUCAUUAUCCUUCAACCAGAAAAAUAGGUUUAGUUCUUCAUAGAGAGAAGAGAAAAGUUUAGAUCUAGGGUUUCUUUGUUUUUCUCCAAUCCCCCUUUUUCACAAUAGAUUCCUCUCUUAAAUACUCUCUCUCUCUUCUCCUCUAGAAUUCUAUUUAAAAUAAAAUACUAAUAUCUGAAAUAUUAAAUUCGUAAUUAUAAAAAUAACCAAAAAUACAAAACACGUUAAACUAAAAACUGCAGGUUCGUAGUUGACAGCACGCGCCCACGCCUUAUCAACAAAGUUCUUCUGACGCUCAUAAUUUCUCCAAGAAAACAAUCACCCUUAAAUAUCAUCUUGUAACUCAAUUUUAUCACCAAUCAAUAUAAUUGCACCUACAAAAGUAAAACACAAGUAAAUCAUUAUUAUUAAGUGCAAAACAUCGAUAUUAAGGGAAGUAAACAAUACAAAACUAGUGCAUAAAUUGCACUCUAACAAUGGCAUUCAUUAAAUUUAAAAAUAUGAAAAAUAUAUAAAAUACAUAAAUAAUAUAUAAAAAAAAAACUUUUUUUAAAGUGCGCAGAGGUUUGAACGGCAACUAUAGGAUCGUAUCACAUUGAAUUCGUGUACUUAGGACGGGGCACGGAAGAGAGAGCAUUUUGGUUUAUAUUUUACUCAUAUACACGAGUAAUUAUGUACAAACCUUUCAUGCCUUUGCUAUCUUUUUCAUGUGGGACAAAUAUAUUUUCCUUUACUUUUCUAAUUCCAUGAAUUUACUUUGAGUAACAAUUUCUCAUUUAUCUAAGGGUUAUUUUGAUUAUAUAAAUAAAAUCAUUCUGAAGUAUUUAUGGAGGAACAUCUGAAACAACAGAUAAGUCUCACUCCAAAUCACGCAUCAAAUAGUAACUUGUGCUAUAUUUCCAACACUUUUUGCUUCUUUUCCUUGUUUGAUUGCAUGAAAAAAAUUGAGUGCAAUGAAACUUUUAUCUUCUUUUGUCUUUGAUGUUUUGGUGUAAAAAAAAUAAAAUUAAGUGGGAUAUUAGGUAGCCCAUGAAUUUCCAUAUAGUUUGCAUGUUGCAAAAGGAGUUUUGUAACUAUUUUAAAAAAUAAAGAGAUUAUUUUUAUUAUUUUGUCAAAUCACAGAAGUCUACACAUUCUUUUCUCCACCAGCUUAUUUAUAAUAAUACACCUACAAGUUUUUUUUAUACUUAAAUUUAUACAAAGAUAUGAUUAGUCUUGUUUAUUUUUCUAUUUGAGUCAUAUUUUACAACAACAAUCCUUCGAGCUUUUUUUUUCUUUAUUAUUUUGGGUAAUAUUUAAUAUCUUAAUAGCGCUAUUAAUUAUUUCUAAUAUUGUCCAUAUUAUCUCAUGUUUCUGCAAAGUUGUUCAAAUAGAUCUACACCUCACAAAUACAGGCCGAUAAGGUUAUAUCUCCAUGAUUGAAUCCAUCCAGAGAAAGACAUUGACUCACACUAUUUGAAAACGCGUAUUGGAAGUUAACACUGGGAGGUUGCAAAACAAUUAAUUCUUAUAUAAAUGCUUUGCUGAGAAUCAAACAGCUCAAUCAACCGAAAACCAUUAUAAACAUGGCAGCAGCAUCCACUGUUUCGAGAUUGGUGGUCAUUUUAAUUUUAAUAAAUGUUGGUGCUAUAAGUGAUACGACAAUAUCUGUAACGGCAUCAGCUGCAGGAUUAUUGUCGUCACCCAUACUGUUAGAAAGGGAAGCUUUACUUGCUACCGGCUGGUGGGUCAACAAUUGGGCGACGUCGGGCAACUAAACGUCCGAUCAUUGUAAGUGGACUGGCGUCAGUUGCAAUUCAGCGGGAAGCGUAAUCGGGGUCAGCUUACUCUGGUAUGAAAAUGAUAACAUCAACGGAGAGCUCGGUCGUUUCAAAUUCUCUUGCUUUCCCAAUCUCAGAAGUUUCAAAAUUCGUUCAAAUUAUCUUCUCUCUGGGAGCAUUCCAUCUGAAAUUACUGCUCUUUCAACAAUCCGAACUCUUGAACUGACCUCCAACGGCCUUACCGGUAAGCUGUGAAACUUCACCAUAUAUAUAUAUAUGUAUGUAUAAAAUCGCGCUGCUGCUUAAAGCUGGCGUCUGUUUUUACAACACUGAAGAAGUGUGAGUCGUCCGCACUUGAGCUUGACUCUCCCUCUAUGUAAUUUUUUUUAAAGAAGAUAGUGAAUACUGAUCUCGUUUUUCAUAAAUCACAUGCACAACAGGAAUUAUCCCUUUAGAGAUGGGGCGAUUAAGGAAUCUCGUCCACCUGGAUCUAUCUGAUAAUCACCUCAUGGGACAUAUCCCUCCAACUCUCGGUCGUCUAAGCAAAUUGAAAAUUUUGAACUUGUCUUUUAACUCCCUUGUCGGUAAUAUCCCAUCCAAUGUAGGUCAUCUAACCCAGCUAACUACUUUGGCUAUUGCCUCAAACCGAAUGAAUGGUUCCAUCCCAUUAGGAAUCGGGAAUUUGAAGGUUCUUCAAGUUCUUGACCUGUCCAGAAAUGAAAUUGGAGGUUCAAUUCCUUCAACACUUGGCCAUUUAAAGUGGUUGAGAAGUGUAGACUUGUCCCAAAACAAAUUUGUUGGCCCAAUCCCUUCGUCUCUGGGUCAUUUGACACAGCUAAUUACUUUGAAUAUGUACAACAACAAACUUGAUGGCCCAAUUCCUCCAGAACUCAUGAAUUGCUCAAAGCUGAGGAUAUUAAAAUUGGGAAAUAUUAUCUUGAUCUAAGCGGUAACUUCAUUAAUGGUAAAAUACCUUCCCAACUUGGAGAAUUUCCACGCAUAGACACCGUGGACCUUUCCAUGAAUAACCUUUCCGGUGGAAUCCCUGUAUUUGUCAGAAAAGUGCCACACUUAGAUGUGUCAGGCAAUAAAUUCGGAGGAGAAAUCCCAACUACUUUGGCAAAUGCGCCACCGCCACAUCACAAAACGAUUGCCACUCGCUUGGUUGCAAUUAUUCUUGCUAUGGUCGCAUUCCUUGCCUUGAUAUUUGGAAUCUUGAUUAUCCAUAGACGAAGGGAUAAGGAAGUUGAACCAACUGGGACAGGAGAAAUUACCAAGUGCGCUGAUGAGUUUGUAAUUUGGAAUUACGAUGGUAGAAUUACAUUUCAAGACAUGAUUGAAGCCACUGAGGAUUUCGAUAUCAAAUACUGCAUUGGAACCGGAGGCUACAGCAGCGUUUACAGAGCACGGCUGCCCAGUGGAAAAGUGGUUGCUUUGAAGAAGCUUCACCGUUCAAAAACUGAGGAGUUAGCUUCCCUCGAGAGUUUCCGGAAUGAGGCUCGUCUACUGUCCCAAAUACGGCAUCGAAAUAUCGUAAAGCUUUACGGCUUUUGUUUGCACAAGACAUGCAUGUUCUUAAUCUAUGAGUACAUGGAAAUGGGAAGCUUGUUCUGUGUUCUACGCACAGAUGAGGAAGCUGUUGGGUUGGAUUGGACUAAAAGGGUGAACAUUGUGAAGGGUAUGGCUCAUGCUUUGUCAUACUUGCAUCAUCACUGCACACCACCAAUUGUUCACCGGGACAUAUCAAGCAACAACAUUCUACUCAACUCAGAAUUAGAAGCAUUUGUUGCGGACUUUGGCAUUGCUAGAUUGUUAAAUUUUGACUCAUCCAACCGAACUCUUUUAGCUGGCACUUUUGGAUAUAUUGCUCCAGGUCAUCCUCUAGCUAUUCCUCUUAUGCAUCUUUAAUUAUCCUCUUAAUUAAUUUUAUAUAUACUCUGCCAAAUAGUUUUUAAGCAGCUUUAUUUAGGUCACUACUUGGUUCGAAUUUUGAAAAUGCUAAGGGGCUAAAAAUAAAUUUAAACUUUGCCUACCCCUUUUCCUUUUAAAACACACACACUGAACAUAAGUUAAAACAUAAGUUUCUUUGUCAUAACUUGCUGCGGAAGCUAAAAAACAUGAACAAAUUGUUCUUGUUAUUAUUUAUGGAAACGUUACUAAUGAAGGCCUUUGUUUUCCUAUAGAACUUGCCUACACCGUGGUUGUGACAGAGAAAUGUGAUGUUUAUAGCUUUGGAGUGGUGGCACUAGAAGUACUAGUGGGAAGGCAUCCAGAAGCGCUCCUCUCAUCGUCAUCUUCAUCAUUGGAUAAAAAUAUAAAGCUGAUUGAUUUGUUGGACCCACGCCUCCCGGCUCCGGGGGAUCAAAUGAUUACGCAGGAUAUCAUUCUUGUUUCAAUAGUAGCAUUUUCAUGCUUACGUUCUCAACCAAAGUCUCGACCUACAAUGCAACUCGUGUCCAACGAAUUUAUCGCUCGCAAUAUGACACCAAUGCAGAAACCUUUUCAUGAAAUUUCAAUUUUGGAGCUUAGAAACCAAGAAAUGUAUUUGGUUGAAUAAUGUGAUUUUUCCAAUAAAGGAGACUGUUAAUUGGUUGUGAAAUUAUUAGGUAGUAGCAAUGUAGCAAAUAUUAUGUGUUCGACGAAUUGUCUGCCUUAGUAUUUUUUAAUUCCAUUCACACUACGACAUUAAUCUCUUUUGUAAAGCUUGUACUUUCGCAGUUCACUCUGAUAAAAUAAGGUUUGUCUAAUUGUCUCCAUCUCAAUGAUCUGAAUUAACCAGCAUAUUAAGGAAUUUAAGGUUGUGUCUCUACAAGUUAGAAAGGGUAAAUUGUCAUUCUAAUUAUUAGUUUAUUUUACAAAUUAUAUAUAAAAAUUUCAUUCAGAACGAAGUUCGUGAUGUCGCGUUAUUUAAUAUAUUAGUUUUUUCAGUCCUUUGUAAAUAUUCACACAAACAUAUACAAUAAAUUUUUAAUUUAGCCGAUCCGAUCAAACAUCCUGGACCCACCGCUGAUGUCAUUCGAAGGUGAGGAAGCUUCUGCAGAAGUUGUGGUUAGUGAUAUCCUUGCCAGCACAAGAUAAUUAAUUACUGGGAAAGAAAUAAUAAAAAUUUUUAUUAAUUACGAAACUGAUAACUAUAUAUUAGACACACUAUAAUUUUAUGAAAACUGAAGAUCCAUACUAAUAUAAAACUAAAACCAACAUUAAUUAAAUUAUACGAUAACAACAAAUCCAGGAUAUAUUAACAAACACGUCGAUUUUGAAGCUGAAUUUAUAAUCUAAUCUUAACUCUAUUUCUUCUGUAUUUACAUAAUCAUCCUGCUAAUUAAGGAUUUACAACUUUGCCAUGAAAGGUCGGUGGCUUCCAUGCCUUUUUCUUCUUCUCGUCACAAAUUUUGCUUUUGCUUCCACUUCACCAUUAAAGAACAUCCCAAAGCUUGGUGCUGUUCGUGGAAGGACUAUUUUUUAAAACCCUAGCAAAAAAAUCCACAAAGUUACUAUUAUGAUCUCGAAACUUACUAUUAUUAUCAAACACUUGAUCACUUUAACUAUAAUCCACAAAGUUAUUUAACUUUUCCUCAUAGAUAUGCGUUGAACUUCAAGCAUUGGGGCGGUGGCAGAGCCAUGGCGGCGCCGAUAUUGGCAUAUCUUGGUGAAGAGAGUAGUCUUGAUAUGAUGACCUUGGUGACAUUGGAUGGCUUACUAAUAAUGCUCAUCGAUUUAAAGCCUUACAAGUUUACAUAGAGGUAAGUAAAGAAUAUGUUAUCAGGCUAGCUUGAUAAUAAUUGAAAUAGAGUUCACAUACGAAAUAAUAAUAAUAAAGACAAAUCUUAAUCAGAAUAUUCUACAAUAUGAACUGAAAAGUUGUGAUGGAUUUUUUUUUAAUUCAAUUUUUUAUGCAGUAUCGGUUCUAUGGAAAAUCAGUACCUUUUGUAUCAAGCAAAGAUGCCCUAAAGAAUGCAAUUCUUCGUGGAUAUUUCAACUCUGCUCAAGCUUUGGCUGAUUAUGCAGAGAUUCUCUUACACAUCCAGAAAAAUUUAUCGGACGAAAUGUCUCCCAUUAUGGUCGUUGGAGCAUCUUAUGGAGGAAGUAAAUUAUAAUAUUAUUAACUUACUUACAUCUUUUGAUUAAUGUCGUGUCAUCUGUCACAUCAUUUUACUCAUUUAGAUCACGAUUGAUCGAUCAAGAUAUUGACUACGGCAAUAUUACUAUGAUACAAAUUUAUUUAAUAUUGCAACUAACGAUACUCUUGGCGAUCGUAAAAUCAAGAAAUAAUAAAUAUGUUCAAGAUAAUUAUGUAUUUAAAAAUAAUCUUCUCAAUUCAUCCUAUUUUAUCAGAUCUGGGAUGUGAUAUGGUUUCGAGAGUUACUCGUUUGUUGGUUUGUUAUCAACAAUGCUUGCUGCAUGGUUUCGCUUGAAGUAUCUUCACAUUGCUUUGGGAGCAGUUGCCUCAUCCGCCCCAAUUCUCUACUUUGAUAAUAUCACACCGUCAAACGCAUAUUAUGAUCUUGUCACCAAGGACUUUCGGGUAAGAAAUAAAUUAGUUAAUUAAAAUUUUAUAUAAGCAUGAUUAUGUUUUCUUGUUAAAAUUUAGCCAUUGAAUUUUGAAAAUUAAUGAUGCAGGAAGCCAGCGAGAGCUGCUACAAGACCAUCAAACAGUCCUAGGCUGAAAUCGAUAAAGUCGCUGCUGGAAAAAAUGGACUUGCUUUUCUCUCUAUAAAGUUCAAAACCUGCAAGUAAUUAAUCAUAUUACUUUACAUAACUGCUUAUAUUGUAUAUCCAUCCGAUUUUCCCUUAAUUACAAUUAAUGCAAUGUUAUUUUAGCAUCGUUAUCGAAUGUACUAUGUCUAAUUAAUUAUAUGUCAUCCUCAGCGUUUAUAUACAUUUCGAUUAACGUGUAAUAUACAAAGUAAAAAUCUGGAUUUGGGCUUAUUCACGGCCUUUGUGUUACCAUAUAUAGUAUACUGGUGCUUCGAUUCAGACGUCCAUAUUUUGCAGAAUCUAAAUUUAAACUACAAAACCACGCACAACUCUGAUAAUCAAAUGAGGCCAAAUUUGAACGUUUGCAUUUGAGAAUGUCAAUAGCUUCAUACUUAUAGAGUUUAUUGUAAUCUAACUAAAUAUAACAACAUUUUUAAGACAGUAUGUUGAAAGAUCUUUUAUAAAGUUAAUGACCUUGUGGCACUUAAUUCUAUGUUAUUGUUUAUUUGAUUACAGGCCUCUGAAGGAUGUUUCAGAAUUGAAAGAUUAUUUAGAGUAUAUGUAUACGGGUGCAGCUCAGUAUGGUGAUCCUCAGGAAAGCCCAGUGAACAAAGCCUGCAAUGGCAUUGAUGGAGCUUUAGAAGGCACAGAUACCGGAUCUUCUCAGGAAUUGUUGAUUUAAGAGGGGAGGAUUCUUGCCAUGAUGUUGAUGAAUUCUUCUCCGAUGCAACAUUGGACUCCAGCUGGGGCUGACAGGUAUGCAAUUACAAGUGACAUGAUUUCAUUGGAUAGUUCUAUUGAGACGUUAAAUAAACAACAUGUGACAAUGAGAACAAUACCUAUUUUAUGUACAUCUCUUAAUUUUAUUUAUGAGACUUAAUAUUUAUGAAUGAUUAAAAAUAGUUUUCUUCUUUAUCUUAUUUUAUUAUUAUUAUUUUUUAUUAUUGGGGGGUUUCUCAUGCAGACAUGCAGUGAAAUGGUCUCACCAAUUGGAAUUGGCAAAAACGACACAAUGUUUCAAGCAGACCCAUUUAAUCUGACAGAAUAUAUGGAUUCAUGCAAUAAGUAUUAUGGAGUGGUUCCAAGACCACAUUGGAUUACAACUUCUUAAAGUGGUAAUGUAAGUGUCGAUUAAUCCCCAAAUUAAUUCUUCUAAUAUUUUAAGGUUUCUCAUUUUCUGUUUUAAUUAUAAAGUUCACCUCAAUUUUUGUUUGAUUUCUAUUUCUUUUUAAUUUGCAGGAUAUAAGAGUGGUUUUAAAGAGAUUUGGUAGCAACAUUAUUUUCUCUAAUGGCCCUCGUGAUCCCUAUAGUAGCGAAGGGUAAUUAAGCUUAAGAAUUGUGUACACUCUUUUCUAUCGAAGUUACCUGUUUAAUUAUAUACCUUUUUCUGUUUCUUCGUUUUUUUUUUGGGGGGGGGGAGAGGAUUAUAGGAUUCUGGAAGAUAUAUCAGACAGUAUAAUAGUAGUGACAACAAGAAACGGUAUUUAAAAUUUUCUAUAAAAUAAAAAAUUAGUGUUCAAUUAUUAACUAAAUUAUUGGAUAACAUAAUUAAUAGUGUGUAAAUUGGAGUAGGUUCCCAUUGCUUAGACACACAGCCAGCAACAGAAGAUGACCCAGUAUGGUUAGUAGUGCAGCGAAAGAUUGAAGUGGACAUGGUUCAUGAUUGGAUCCUCAAAUAUUUUGCAGAUUUGGUUCAAAAUCAGAGCAUAAGAUUAAAUUGUGACUACAAAAUUAGUCUUUUGUUUUUCUUCCUCUCCUCUAUCUUUCUAAUAUUUAUGGAGUAAAGAUAAAUAAUAAUAGUGCACCUAGCUAGUUUGGAUUUGGUUGUCAUUUUCAUAAUUUUUACUCUGAGUUGUCUAAAUGUGUAGAACAGGUGUGCAAUAUUACUUAAUGUAAAGCACUUAAGGCUCAAUCUUUAUGUAAUAAUCAUAUGGUGAAUAUCAAUUCAUAUACAAUCAGAUUGGGUUAACCAUUUUCUCCCUUUGAUUUAAGAGUUACCGUAUAGGUACUUGAAGCUGGAGAGAGUCAAAGAUUUGCCCUCCACACACACACACAUAUGGAAAUGUUUUAAUCUGGAAUUUUAAAGUGCAAGAAUAUCUUGGAAAACACAUAAACCAUGCGGUUUAAGCCUUUAAAACCCUGUGGUUUUAAAGUUUUUCUGAACGUUUCCCGCACUUUUAGAUCCCUUAUAUGCCUCAAAAGUUAGGUGUUUAUGCUUAUAUGCUCCGUUUAUUAGUAGCCAAGCUUACGAGUAUAUUACUUUAGGCGAACCUCUCCCUAUUCUUCUCCAUAAUGGCUAUUUCUCUUAAUUAUUUGACAAUCUAAUGCAAUCCCAAACGUGACUUAGCAUCAAGUUUAGGAUGGCAGUGGCUGAUAAAAUAAGUUAUUUUUGUUGUGAGGAUGAAAUAAGUUGAUGAUUAAAAAAGUAUCUUGCUCGUGUUUGGUAAAUUUGAUUAUGAAUGAGUUGUAUAUUAUUUAAUCACUAAAAUAGACAUAAGUUUAAACAGUGUUUUAUUUAUAUAUUAGAGCUUAUAGAAAAGAAAGAUAUAAUUAUUCUUUUCUUAAAAUAUUAAGAUUAUUAUAGGAACAUUUGAAAAGAUCUAGCAACUUAUUUAAGAAGUUGCUUAUCAAAAUAAUCUCCUGCCUGUUUUUAGAAGUUGCAGUCAAAAUUGAGAAAAUUACGAACGAAGCAACUUUUAACAAAGCCAUCAAACCUCAUUUUUAUCUAAACUUAUAAAAUAAACUGCUUAUAGCAUUUCAAUCACAAUCUUGGGUCAUUAGUCUUUAUGUAGAAUCAGAUUAGACAUUGAAUAUUUCUAAUUUUCUACACAUAUAAAUUAAAAUAUGUAGACUAGAAAAACCCCUUGACUUCGUAAGUCCACCUCAUUCUUUAAUUUCCACAGCACAUGUCAAGCCGUUUUUUCCAAAUAAUUGCUGACUAGGAGAAGUCUUAUAGUCAAGGUGAUUGGAUGAGCGUGUUAUGGAAUUACGUAUCGUAGGGGUUCCCUGCCCUCAACUAAAAAAGUUGCCUUAAAAAUUAAAUAUUAAAUAAUAUGGUGUGUGUAUAUAUAUAUAUAUAUAUAUAUAUAUAUAUAUAUAUAUACCAGAAGGAAAUAGGAUCGAAGGAUGGGUGUGCUUUCGUUGGAACUCAAAAUUAAAAACUCAAAUUAAACAAUGGAUUGAAAUGGAUCGGCUUUGUCCAAAUUUUAAAAUAAAUUACCAGCUUUAAAUGAAGUAGAUUUGCUUUGGAACGCGGUUGGUCAAAUUUUAUAGUAUUUAAAGUACGUGGCGUUGUUAGACCAGAUCGAUCGCAGAAGUUAAUCUGCCUUUGGACCCAGAUCUGACUUAGACCAGAUCAAUAGUCCGCACGUUCGGGUUUCCAGCCUAUAUACUUCAAUAUAUUUACCAGAUAUUUGUUAGAUUCUUUAUCAAGCCUAGCAACACAUACAUCUAAGGCUUGGGUACAUACACAGUACUAGAUCCGGAUCCCGGAAAUAGUGCUCUGAAGAAGGAAGGAGAAAGAAAGAUACAACUGAGGAUUGAGAUCUGGUCUCGUUGCCUCAGAGGAAUGUAUAAUUUAUAUGGCAGAUCUGAUACAGAUCAGUCUGCAAGCAUGCUUUAAAAGGAAAUGCUUUAAAGUAAAUUACUGAAAUGUAAAUUACAUUGAACUUUAAAAAUUUAAAGAACUGAACUUUAAACAUACAUGUUGCUUUGAUGCUUUGGUGAUUGAUACAAUUUUAGGGAUGUGUCUUUGAAAGAAAGAUUGAAAGACGGGAAGAUUACAAGACAGGAAACCUCCUUGAUGUCUUGAGCAUUUACAAGACAGGAUAGUUUUCCCGAGUGUCUUGAUCCAGACUUCCCUUAGAGAGAGAGAGAUUUUUAGAGAGAAUGAGGAGAAGAAGAGAGAGAAGUGAAAAACCAAAAAUGAAAAACCUGAGGAGUCUAAGUCUUCCUCUUGGUUUAUAUACAAAAUCUUUAAACUGUUCACUGUAGCGGAGUUUUGAGUGCACAGUAAUCUUUGGAAAUUGGCACUGUUCACUGUAGCGGAGCUUUGAGUGCACAGUAAUAUUUGGAAAUUGGUACUGUUCUUUGCAACAUAUGUCGAGCAGGAAUUACUGCAGCUGUUAUGCCGAGCAGGAAUUACUGUAGCUGUUAUGCCGAGCAGGAAUUACUGUAGCUGAUAAACAGAGCAGGAAUUACUGUAUGCAGAGCAGAGAACUUUGGAUGGUAACUUUGAAGAUUUUGUAACACGGGUGAAGAGACAUGUGCGCUCUCACUUGUGUCCAAGGGACCACUCGAAAAUGUAAAAUUAUCAAGAAAUUACUUUUUUUUUUUUUUUAAACAGUUACAUGAACUAUUUACAAUGCUUUACAGGAGGGAAAAUUCCGAAACAAUCGUCUUCAUUUUCGUCUCCGAGGGAGAUGGUUGGCUCAUCUUCUUCGUCUUCAUCUUCAGAGGAGUCAGCCACUGAUGACUUUGACCGGGAGGCGAGGAGCUGUUCCAUGGCUUUGAAGUACUCUUCUUCUUUCUUGGCACUUGCCAGAAGAGAUUGGGCUUUGGAUUUUUGGGUAAGGAAGGUUUGCUGGGCUUUGGAGUCUUUAAUGGUUGGCUAUAGAUGGCCUCUAGUGGAGAGCCAUUUUUCAAUAUCAUUAGUAGUCAAUUUGGUUCUUUCAUCAAAUUUUGACCACCAUUUGACUUUGAAAGUUCUUUGAAGGAUGAAUUGGGCAUCUUGAUUGUGGUACCGAAGGCUCCACAUCCAAACCCAAGGGAGAAAGAAGUUUGUACAGAAACAGAGAAAAGGAGGAAAUCUUUUUUCAGACUCAGUAGGUUUGUAAUGGGCUUUAAAAAGAUUUAGACAUUGUAUGGCGUUUGGGGUAAGGAUAUCUGGGCUUGGCCCAAAAUGAUUCCACCAAUGAUGAAACCAAUUUGGUAGGCUUUGGACGGUUAUUUUUGAAUUAAAGAAAAAUAACCAAGAAUGGGAUUUUUUAGGAUUUUGAAUAAAAAAUGUGUUGUACCAGGCUUGUUGGUAAUCCUAGUAGGAAAAAGUCCGACAAUGUGGUAAACGGGUCUCAAAAUUUAAAGGAAAGGUUUUAUAAUUGUGGAGUAGGUCACCCCACUGAUUUGGGCUCAAGACUUUAAGGAUUGUGGCCGUGGAAUAGGCCGGCUCAGAAUGAGUAUCACUGAGAAAGAAAUGUUUGAAUUUGACUGACUCAGUAAUUUCUAAAAUGCUUUGAUAAUAAGACUGGGGUUUUGUUAAAUCCCAUGGUUUAAAAAACCAGCCUUUGGGAAAAAACUUUGAAAUACUUUGAAAAGGAUCAGUAUGGUAAAAUCCAUCUUCCAUAGAAAGAAUGUUUUGAAAAUGGGCUUUAUCAAACCAAUCGGAGGUUUUCUUUGAAGGUGUUGGCUGAGAAAGCACAAUUUGGGAGGAUGAGCUUUCACAGGACACAACAACAUUUUGGGAAGAAGGCUUUGAAAUUUCUUUGGAAAUGGGUUUUUCUUUGCCUUCUACUUUAGGAGAAGAUUGGCUUUGAGAAAGAUUUUGUAAGGCGAGCAUAAGCUCAGGGGAUUUUGUAAUGGAACUCAUCCAUUGCUUUACUUGGUCAUCAGAAGAAAUAGAUUUGUAUUGGGCUUCAUGUUCCUCGACCAAUUCAAUCCAGGAUUUAAUGGGCAAGGCAGAAGAAAGAAGCUUUUCUUUAGAGGGGGUUGUUUGAGGUUCUUUAGAAGGUUCUUGAGAUUCAGUGUCUUUAAGAACUGCUUUACCUUUGUCCUUUCUUUUUGGCGCCAUUAUCUGUUUUGAAGAAAUUCUCUGGUUAGAAAAUCAGGAAUAGAAUUUUUGUCACCUUUAAUAAACUCAAUAUCAAAAUCAAAAACACUUAAAAUAGCUUGCCAACGUGCAAAAAUCUGUUUGGAUGCAAUGUUUUGAACAUCUUUUUCUAAAACAUGUUUUGCAGCUUUGCAAUCAAUUCUAAGUAAAAAUUUUUGAUUUAAUAAAUCGCUUUGAAAUUUAGAUAUGCAUAAAACAAUGGAAAGAAUUUCUUUUUUGAUAGUAGAAUAUUUUUUCUGGCAAUCAUUCCAAUGAGCAGAAACAUAUUGUACUAUCUGUUCUUUAUCAUUUUCCUUUUGUUUUAAAAUACCUCCAUAACCUAUAUCAGAUGCAUCAGUCUCAACAAUUUUAGGUAAUGCAGGAUUUGCAAGAAAUAAACAUGGGAUGUUUUUUACAGAUUGCUUUAUUAAUCUAACAACUUUAGUAUGUUCAUCUGACCAUGCAAUAUGAUUCUUUUUCAACCUAUCAUGCAAGGGUUUAGACAUCCUAUUGAUGUUAGGGCAGAAAUCGAGAACAUAAUUUAAACUACCAAGAAAUCUUUGUAAUUGGGUUUUGUCAAGAAUUUUGUCUGGGAAUUUAUCCGCAAACAAAAGAGAUCUUUCAAUUGGAGUAAUGGUUCCUUUAGAAAUAUGGUGACCAAGGAACCUGACUUUUGUGUGAAAUAACGAAAUUUUUGAACUAGAGAGGGCCAACCCAGCCUUUCUAGUAGCAAGAUAAAAAGUCUUUAAAUGUUUGAAAUGUUGAUCAAUAGUCUGAGAAAAAAUCAACACGUCAUCAAUAUAAACAAUGCAAAACUCAGAAUAAGGAUUGUAAAUGUCAUUCAUGAUUCUUUGAAAUUCUGAGGGUGCAUUUUUCAAACCAAAAGGCAUUACUGUCCACUCGUACUGACCAAAGGGAACAGUAAAAGCUGUUUUAUAACGGUCUUUAGGGUGAAUCUGAAUUUGCCAAAAACCAGACUUCAUAUCAAAUUUUGAAAAAAUGAAAGCUGAGCAGAGUUUUUGGAGCAAAUCUUUUUUGUUAGGUAUGGGAUACCUAAUCCACUUUAAAGCUUUAUUCAAAGGUUUGUAAUUUAUCACAAGUCUUGGAAUACCUCUUUCAAUUUCAGAGUUUUUAUUAACAUAGAAAGCGGCACAAGACCAUGGUGAUCUGGACUUUACAAUAAGACAUUUGGUUUCUAAAUCUUUUAUUUCAUUUUUACAAUGUUGUUCCAAUUCCAUAUUCAUUUGGAUUGGACGAGCUUUAGUGGGUAUUUUCUUUUCAUCAAAAGAAUUCUCAUAAGGCAGAUCUACCAGGUGUUGUUUUCUAUUCCAAAAAGCAGAAGGUAGAUCAGCACAAAUUUCUUUUUCAAUAAGGGCUUUAAAAUCAGAAAUUUUACUUUGUAUAAAAUCAUUUUGCAAUUGACUCUCAAUUCUUUGAAAACUUAAUUCCUUUUGUAAACAAAAUAAAUCAUCUUGUUUAGAAUUAAGGAUGGCAUUGACUUUGUUUUGAUAAACAGAACAAGCUUUGACAAUAUUAAGAUUCCUUGUCUUUGGUUUUUCAAUAAAUGAGAAAAUAAGAUCUUUGGAUUUUGCUCUGAAAUAAAUACCAUCAUAAUUGAUAGCAUAAGGGGUUAUAAGAUUUAUAAAAGGGGUUAUAAGAUUUAUAAAAGGGGUUCCUAAAAUGAUAGCAUGGUGUAUAUCAUUUGUAAGAACAAAAGAGGUUUUGAAAUCAAUUCCAUCGUUAAAAAUAGAAGCUUCAACUUUGGAAUUUACUUUUAGUUUUGAAUUAUUAGCAGCAGAAAGUCUUUCAUUUGUCUUUUCAUGAAAUCUCUUUGGAACAAUGUCCUCUCUAAUACAAUUUAAAUCAGCACCAGUGUCAAAAAGGGCAAUGGCGUCCAUUGCAAAAUCUUUGGAAAAGAUUAAAGUAAUUUUUACCAAAUAUUUUCUGGUGGUGAUUUGCUUUAAAACAAACAAAAAAUCUUUUGGAACAGACUCAAUGUUUUCAACUUUGUCAUCAUCAUCAGGAGUUGACUCAUUAUCUGAGUUAUCCUGUAAUUGUUUUUGUAAAAGAAGUUGGAUAGUAAUAGAAUCACUUUUUUGUUUUUCUUUCAAAUCCUUUAUUUCAAGUUUAAUAUCCUUGAUCUCCUUCUGAAGAUCUUGGAUACUAGGAAUGGACUUCUUUGUUUUCUUUUUGUCUAAAAUCUCAGUAAGAUCAUAAGAAUUCUUUUUAACAAUAGGAACUUUAGAAGUUUCUGCCUUGUUUGAAUCCAUGGUUUUCAAAAGUUUAUCAAGAUAUUCUUUUUGAAGAUUUGGAUCAGAAAUAUGCUUUACAAGUUCGAGGAAAAUCUCUUGGUCUUUAGUCAAAACAUUGAUUUUCUUUAAAUAAGAAUCCGAAUCAGAAUCGCUACUGCUAGAUGCAGAGGUAUCUGAAUCAAAUAACUCAUCAACUUGAAGGGGGUCACUAUCUCCCGACACGGAGGACUCAGAAUCAGAGGACUCUACCAGAAGGGGGGCAAUUUUAGAAAGGAUGUCCUUAUUAAGGUCAAGCUCUUGGAGUCUUUUGUUCAUUCUGCAAAAUUUUGCAGUAUGACCUUUCAUACCACAUUUGAAACACGUGGCAUCUUUGAAAUUGAAUGGGGUUUUAGGUUUGGUUCUAAACUCUUUCUUUUUAGAAAAACUAUGUUUCUUAUAAGGCCUCGAGGGUUUCUUAUAAGGAAGUUUUCUAAAAUCAUGAAAGGGUUUCCUAUGGCUUUUAGACUUGUAAUGUUUCUUGUAAGGUUUUGGAGAACACUUACCAUUACAGUCUUUAGAAGUAGAAGUUUUAAAGGGGUCAUAAUUGAAUUGCUUACAGAAACCGCCUAAUUCUUGCUUAGAUUUCCUAAGCUCUCAUUUUAGACGUCUCUGUAAUUUCAAAUCUUGACAGAUCUUUAAUCCUUCUUUAUUGACAAAACUGACUAGUUCACCAUAGGUGAGCUCGUCAUAAGGAACACGAUUGUCAUAAAGAGCUUUGAUGGAAUUUCUAACCUUUUCUCCCAAAAGGGUAGGUAAACCUGCAAGGAAUUUCUCCUUCCAAGUUACAUGAUUCGCAUCAUCCCUUAGGAAGAGUCUGGUAAAGAAAGUGGUUUUGUAAUCUUGAAAUUCACUGAGUUUUCUACAUCUCAAGUUGUGUAGUAACUCGGCGUUUUUGUCUCUAAGGUGAGAAGGGUCACCUAUGAAGUGAAGGGAUAUGGUCAAAAUCAGGGUAGCAACAGCAUCCUGAAUAGGAUUAUUGAACUCGUCAAGAAUGGGGGCACCAUUCUCAUCGAUUUGAAUAGCAUUUAAGAUGUCUAAUUGCUGCAAUUUAGUGAGAAGAUGAUCCCACCAUCCUUUAAGUUGGCCGGUAAAACCAGCAAUUAGGAUUUCUGCAAUGGCCUUGUCAGAAGUUCCUGAUUGGGUUUUAUAGGCAUUGGCUGCCAUGGUCAUUUGCUGCAAUACACCUAAAAUGUUGUACUCAGACAUUCCAUCUAUAUUCCACUCAUAGACAGAGGAUGCAUUAUAUCGAGCUUGAUUUAAUGCACUAGGCCUGUUGUCUAUAGUCAAAUCAGGUGGAGAUUUGGAAAUAGGGAGAGCUAAUUCCCAUUGGAUUUUGUUGGCUUUAGGAACAGGUUCUUCGGUAAAGGCUUCUAUGUCUGAAGAGGCAAUAGAAACCUGGUCAAGAUUUAAUACUCCAAUCUUGCUAGAUUGAGGAGUAUCAGGGGCUAUCUGAACUUUGCUAGAUGAGGAAGAAGCAGCUUCUAUCCUAUCUAACUGUUCUCUAAUGGCUUUAGCAAAAUCCGAUUUUGACUCAUGAACAAGCCUUUGGCUAGUUUUCGAAACCUGAAAAGGUUUGAAAAUAGGUUCCUUAAGCUUUUUAUCAGAAUCUGAUUUUGAAGGAAUAGGUUUUAGACUAGGAGAAAUAGAUAUGGUUGACUGUUGGAAUUGGUUUUCUAUUCUAGUCAACUGUUUUCCUAUAGUAUUUAAGUUAGUAUUACAGAAAUUAUUCUGUUGGAUAAUACUACUUAAAUUGGCUUCAGAAUCAUUUGGCUUUGGUAUUUUGUAUGGUGAAGCUCUGAUUUGGACGGGAGGUUCACCAUGAUCAAUGGUAACACUCCGAAGAGGUGGGUGUUCCGACUCUAUGGUUCUAUCGCUAUCAAGAAGUUUCCAUUCAGGAAUUUUCUUCCUAAUAGUGAUAGGAUUUGACUCUUUGAAAUGAUAAGAGAUAUUGUUCUCAGAAGAAUAUAUUUCGAACCAAUCAAAAAACAAUAUAUGAACUUGAUGUAAAUUCACAAAUUCAUAAUAAGUCUGUUGGAUUUCUUUUCUUUGAUUUAGGAAAUGCUCAAAAAACCAAAGUCUUUUUUCUUUAUUGUUUUCUGAAUAAAAAUCAUUAUGAAGAAGAGUUUUAUCUAAAUCAAAAUGCUUCUCAAUAACAUUUAAAACAUUUUCUGUGACAGCAGAGAAUGUAGGGGAAGUUGGAGGAGAAGGUUCCUUCUCUUCCUGACUUUGUUCAUGUUGACUGCUAAUAUAAAUGGGAUGUGGUACUUUUGUGGUAUAGUCAACAGAACGAAUGGAGGAACUAGGUAAAUCCGAAGUGGAAAACCUAGGUUGACUUUGAAAAGGAAGAUUUACAACAGAAGGAAUUUUUGUAAAUUUCCUUUCUAAUGAAGGAAUACUUGAGCACGACUCUCUAUCAGAAAAUCUGGUUGAAUUAGAUCUCCUGAACGACAAUUUGACUUUACCAUCAGAAUACUGAGUCACAUUUUGCAACUCUGUAUUUGGCUCAAGUUGUCUUGGAACUGCUGGUGGAGCAAUUCCUUCAAGAAUCCAUUCCUCUGGAAGAUUGACAUCUUUCCAUUGGAUUGGUUUUGGAAUGACAGUGUUUGCUUUAGACAAGUCAGUCUGCAAGAGAAGAGUCUCAUCUCUUUUUUACUGGAAUUUAUGCUGCGUGCUAAACGCAGAGAUCAUAGCCUUAUAUGAGAUUUUAAAGAUUAAAGCAACCGGGACAUAUCCCUCUAUCAUAUUAUAAUUAUGUGUUUUAAUCUGUAAAAUCAUGCUUUUCAAAAUAUUUUUGUCUUUAAGAGAAAGCGUUAUGUUAGGAUAACAGUCAAAAGAAAUUGGACCUUUACAUAGACUGGACUCAAUGCUACUUAGCAAAGAAUCAUCAAAAGAGAUGAAACGGCCAUCUCUAAGGACAGCAAGGAUAGAAGUAUCCAAGCCUUCUUUGGUUAAAGGCUUUAUUCCUAUUUGGAUUAAACCAAUGUGGAUGUAAUUAAAAUUCUUUUCUUUUAAUUUCUUUAAAGAUUUCUCUGAAAACAGAUGUAUUGUUUCAAAUGGUGAAGAAAGGGUUAUGUCUCUUUCUUCGGUUUUUAUGACAUAAUCACUCUUUAGAAAAUCAAACUUUUUUGUUUUGUAAAUCUGUUCUUUUGAAAUCUUUGGAAGUUCCCAACAAUCAAUUGCUUUAUCAAAGUUCUCAAUAACGAAUUCUUCUGAACUCACAACAUGCUUUGAAUCACUAGUCUUCCCGGAAGAAGAGCUAGAAAAGGACGAUGUUCUAUAGUGUAGAGGAUUCAUGGUUAGAACCCUAUAGUCUAUUUAUGGUUUGGUCAGAAUGGCUACAGGUAUGGUUUUACAGCCCUAAACGGAAAACUUAUCCUUGGACGGGACUUACUACUAGUAAAAAUUCGCCACACAAAAAAACUUCAAAAUAAAACACAAGAUUUUAAACACAAAAUUCUAAACUGCUUUACACAAUCCUCCCCUUGGCUCUGAUACCAGAAGGAAAUAGGAUCGAAGGAUGGGUGUGCUUUCGUUGGAACUCAAAAUUAAAAACUCAAAUUAAACAAUGGAUUGAAAUGGAUCGGCUUUGUCCAAAUUUUAAAAUAAAUUACCAGCUUUAAAUGAAGUAGAUUUGCUUUGGAACGCGGUUGGUCAAAUUUUAUAGUAUUUAAAGUACGUGGCGUUGUUAGACCAGAUCGAUCGCAGAAGUUAAUCUGCCUUUGGACCCAGAUCUGACUUAGACCAGAUCAAUAGUCCGCACGUUCGGGUUUCCAGCCUAUAUACUUCAAUAUAUUUACCAGAUAUUUGUUAGAUUCUUUAUCAAGCCUAGCAACACAUACAUCUAAGGCUUGGGUACAUACACUUAAGGCGCUUACCACUCGCCCUAAAAGCUUAAGCUGUUAGGAGAAGGCGCUACUUUAUACUUAAGCACCACCCGGACCAAACCAGGUAACGUCUCCACGUUAUGCCACGACAUCGUGACCCCACAUCGGCCUUACAGGAGUCACCACAAGGGUGCGGGCCCCAGUUCCAGUACUGGGAUAAUAUAUUAAGCCCAUUCCUCCCCCCCGAGUUUCGAACCCUGGCCGGCUCUGAUACCACUUAAGGCGCUUACCACUUAAGGCGCUUACCACUCGCCCUAAAAGCUUAAGCUAUUAGGGGAAGGCACUACUUUAUACUUAAGCACCACCCGGACCAAACCAGGUAACGUCUCCACGUUAUGCCACGACAUCGUGACCCCACAUCGGCCUUACAGGAGUCACCACAAGGGUGCGGGCCCCAGUUAUUAGUCUUCAUGUUUUGCACAUGUUCGAACGGAAAUUGUAAUAUUAAAUAAUAUGGCAUUAUUAAAGUUUAAAAAAAAUCUAAAAUUAAUCAUAAAAAUAUAUAUAUUUUUAACUCUUAAUGUUUUGCACAGGUAUGGACGGCAAUUAUACAAUGAGAACGAAACAAUAAUAUAAUCGUGCGUUUGACACACUGUAUUGUAUUAUGUUGUAUUGCAUUAUUUUAUUGCAGGUGUAUUGUAUUAUGUUGUAUUGCAUUAUUUUAUUGCAGGUGUAUUGUAUUAUGUUGUAUUGCAUUAGCAUUGUAUCAUAAUAAUGUUGUACAAUGUUUGGCGUUACACUGUACUGUAUUAAUUUUUUUGUGAUUAAUUUAAAUUAUAUAUUUAAAAUAAUAUUUAUUAGUACUUAAAAAUAAUAAAUAUAAAAUUCUUAAAUUUUAGAAAUUUAACAUUUUUAUUAAAAAUAUAUAUUGAAAUGUCAUAAUUCUUCCGAAGCUUAUAGUCUUAAAUUUUUGGAAGUGUAUUUUUCAGUAUUUUCUAAAUAUAUAACUUGUGAAACAAAGAUCGAAGUAAAUAAAUUAAUCAAAUAAUCACUAAAUAAUUUAACAACAUAAAUAAAUAGUUAAAAUCUUCAAGAUUAAUUCAAAAAUCAUUUGAGGAUGAUAGAAUAAAAGUUUAUACAUAUUACAAGAUAAUUGUAGAAUAAUAAAGUGAUACAACUGUUAUGACAUAUUCACUAAGAAAAUAAAUUGAGCUAAAUAAUCCAGUAUUUUUUUAUAUUAUUAAUUUUCAAUUAAUAUUAUUCAAAUUUAAAUAUUUAUUGUUAGUUAUAUUAAAUUAUUUAAAAAUAGCUAAAUUAAUUAUUGUACUAUAAUUAAUAAAAUAUUAUAUUAUUUAAGUAUUUAUUACUAAUUAUAUUAACUUAUUAAAGAUUAAUUAAUAUACUUUUAUAUAUUAAUUAAAAUAAUACAAUUAAAUAAUACAUUGUUUAGUUAUAUAUUUAAAAUAAUAAAAAUUAAAACAUAAUUUAAUAUUAUGUAAUAUAAUCUUAAAUUAAAAAAUUAUAUUAAUUUGUUAUUAUUAUUAUUACAAAGAGAGAAAAAAAAAAAAAAGGCAAACUAAGUUGCCGCAUUAGCUAACCCCAACUAAGGGUCGGUUAAACACCCCCAAAAUGAACACUGGUUAAGCUAAUUGGGGUGGUUAAAAUUUGCACUCCCGUGACUGCGCACGAGGAACGCCCCUUUGCUUAUAAUAGCUUACCGUUCAUCUAGUAAUUAUAUAUAAAUCUUUCCAAUGUGGGACAAAUGUAUUUUCCUUUAAUUUUUCAAAUUCAUGAGUGCACUUUGAGUAACAAUUUCUCAUUCACUUGAGGAUCAUUUUGAUCAUAUAGAUAACAUUCCGAAGUACUCAUAGAGGAAUAUGCGAAACAAUUUCUGACUUUUCGCUUAUACCAAAUAGGUCUCAUUCAAAAUCAUGCCUCAAGUAGCUACUUGCGCAUUAUUUUUCUAACACUUUCUUUUUGUUUUUUUUAAAUUUGGUUGCGUGCAGAAAAAUUGAGCGGUAAUGAAAAUUUCAUCUUCUUUCAUUUAUGAUGUUUAGGGUUAAAAAAAAAAAAAAUGUUAGUUAGCCCAUGAGCUAUGGUAUGUAUGUUACAAAAGAUAUGAUUAGUCUUGUUUAUUUUCCUAUUUGAGCCAUUAUUUAUAACAAUUCUUUUCUUUGAACUUUUUUCCUUUUCUUAUUUUGGGUAAUACUUAAUAUCUUAUACUACUAAUAAUGCUAUUAAUUAUUUCUAAUAUUGUCCAUAUUAUCUCAUGUUUCUGCAAAGUUGUUCAAAUAGAUCUACACCUCACAAAUACAAGCCGAUAAGGUUAUAUCUCCAUGAUUGAAUCCAUCCAGAGAAGACAUUGACUCACACUAUUUGAAAACGCGUAUUGGAAGUUAACACCGGGAGCUUGCAAAACAAUUAAUUCUUAUAUAAACGCUUUGCUGAGAAUCAAAUGUAGCUCAAUCAACCGAAAACCACCAUAAACAUGGCAUCAGCGUCCUCUGUUUCGAGACUGGUGGUCAUUAUAAUUUUAAUUAAUGUUGGUGCUAUAAGUGAUACGACAAUAUCUGUAACGACAUCAGCUGCAGGAUUAUUGUCGUCACCCAUACUGUUAGAAAGGGAAGCUUUACUUGCUACAGGCUGGUGGGUCAACAAUUGGGCGACGACGGGCAACUACACGUCCGAUCAUUGUAAGUGGACUGGCAUCAGUUGCAAUUCAGCGGGAAGCGUAAUCGGGGUCAGCUUACUCUGGUAUGAAAAUGAUAACAUCAUAGGAGAGCUUGGUCGUUUCAAAUUCUCUUGCUUUCCCAACCUCAGAAGUUUCAAAAUUCGUUCAAAUUAUCUUCUCUCUGGGAGCAUUCCAUCUGAAAUUACUGUUCUUUCAACAAUCCGAACUCUUGAACUGACCUCCAACAAUCUUACCGGUAAGCUGCCAAACUUCACUGUAACAUAUUAUAUUUUUUAUAAAAUCGUGCUCAUGCUUAGUGCGGGCGUUUGCUUUUACAAUGCUGAAGAAGUGUGUGCCGUCCGCACUUGAGUAUGACUCUCUCUCCAUAUAAAUUUUGCAUUUUUUUUUUUUGUUGUUAUGAGGAUAGUGAAUACUGAUCUCGUUUUUCAUAAAUCAUAUGCACAACAGGAAUUAUCCCUUCAGAGAUGGGGAGAUUGAGGAAUCUCGUCCACCUGGAUCUAUCUAAUAAUCACCUUACGGGACAUAUCCCUCCAACUCUUGGUCGUCUAAGCAAAUUGAAAAUUUUUGAACUUGUCUUCUAACUCCCUUGUUGGUAAUGUCCCCUCCACUCUAAGUCAUCUAACCCAGCUAACUACUUUGGCUAUUGCCUCAAACCAAAUUAAUGGUUCCAUCCCAUUAGAAAUCGAGAAUUUGAAGGUUCUUCACGUUCUUGACCUGUCCAGAAAUGAAAUUGGAGGUUCAAUUCCUUCAACAAUUGGCCAUUUAAAGAGGUUGAGAAUUUUAGACUUGUCCCAAAACAAACUUGUUGGUCCAAUCCCUUCGUCUGUAGGUCCUUUGACUCAGCUAACUACUUUGAAUAUGCACUCAAACCGAAUUAAUGGUUCCAUCCCAUUAGAAAUCGGGAAUUUGAACUUUCUUCAAGUUCUUGGCCUGUCCGACAACAAACUUCAAGGUCCAAUUCCUUCGACCAUAGCUAGUUUAGUCAACUUGAAAUCUCUGUCCCUGGAAUAUAACAAUCUAAUUGGACCUAUUCCUUCAACACUUGGUCAUUUAAACAGGUUGACAGAUUUAGACUUGUCCGAAAACAAACUUGUUGGUCCAAUCCCUUCGUCUGUGGGUCAUUUGAACUUUCUUCAAGAUCUUGACCUGUCCAACAACAAACUUGAAGGUCCGAUUCCUUCGACUAUAGCUAGUUUAGUCAACUUGACAUAACUGUCCCUGCAGGAUAACAAUCUAACUGGACCUAUUCCUUCAACACUUGGUCAUUUAGACAGGUUGACAUAUUUAGACUUGUCCGAAAACAAACUUGUUGGUCCAAUCCCUUCGUCUGUGGGUCUUUUGAACUUUCUUCAAGUUCUUUACCUGCCCAACAACAAACUUGAAGGUCCAAUUCCUUCGACCAUAGCUAGUUUAGUCAACUUGAAAUCUCUGUCCCUGGAAUAUAACAAUCUAACUGGAUCUAUUCCUUCAACACUUGGUCAUUUAAACAGGUUGACAUUUUUAGACUUGUCCGACAACAAACUUGAUGGCCCAAUUCCUCCGGAACUCAUGAAUUGCUCAAAGCUGACGACAUUAAUAUUGGGAAACAACUUGUUAAGCGGAAGCAUUCCAUCACAGAUCGGCAAACUUCAAAAACUAUAUUAUCUUGAUCUAAGCGAUAACUCCAUCAAUGGUAAAAUACCUUACCAACUUGGAGCAAUUCCGGGCAUACACACCGUGGACCUUUCCAUGAAUAACCUUUCCGGUGGAAUCCCUGUAUUUGUCAGAAAAGUGCCACACUUAGAUGUGUCAGGCAAUAAAUUCGGAGGAGAAAUCCCAACUACUUUGGCAAAUGCGCCACCGCCACAUCACAAAACGAUUGCCACUCGCUUGGUUGCAAUUAUUCUUGCUAUGGUCGCAUUCCUUGCCUUGAUAUUUGGAAUCUUGAUUAUCCAUAGACGAAGGGAUAAGGAAGUUGAACCAACUGGGACAGGAGAAAUUACCAAGUGCGCUGAUGAGUUUGCAAUUUGGAAUUACGAUGGUAGAAUUACAUUUCAAGACAUGAUUGAAGCCACUGAGGAUUUCGAUAUCAAAUACUGCAUUGGAACCGGAGGCUACGGCAGCGUUUACAGAGCACGGCUGCCCAAUAGAAAAGUGGUUGCUUUGAAGAAGCUUCACCGUUCAAAAACUGAGGAGUUAGCUUCCCUCGAGAGUUUCCAAAAUGAGGCUCGUCUACUGUCCCAAAUACGGCAUCGAAAUAUCGUAAAGCUUUAUGGCUUUUGUUUGCACAAGACAUGCAUGUUCUUAAUCUAUGAGUACAUGGAAAUGGGAAGCUUGUUCUGUGUUCUACGCACAGAUGAGGAAGCUGUUGGGUUGGAUUGGACUAAAAGGGUGAACAUUGUGAAGGGUAUGGCUCAUGCUUUGUCAUACUUACAUCAUCACUGCACACCACCAAUUGUUCACCGGGACAUAUCAAGCAACAACAUUCUACUCAACUCAGAAUUAGAAGCAUUUGUUGCGGACUUUGGCAUUGCUAGAUUGUUAAAUUUUGACUCAUCCAACCGAACUCUUUUAGCUGGCACUUUUGGAUAUAUUGCUCCAGGUCAUCCUCUAGCUAUUCCUCUUAUGCUUCUUUAAUUAUCCUCUUAAUUAAUUUUUAUAUAUACUCUGCCAAACCAACAAAGUGUUGGCUCCACUGGCAAUGGAGUCCCCUUAAGUGGCUUGACUGGGUUUGCUCCCCAGUUCGAGUCCCAGGUAAGUCGCGUUUGUUGGGAGAACCUGUGCCUCCCGGUUCGAGCGAGGACUUCUAGUCUUGGUUGUGGUACGGGCUUAAAAGUGCCUCCCACAGUUGGGGCCCUCCCCAGGAUACCUCGUGAUUAUAUCAAAAAAUAUAUAUAUAUACUCUGCCAAGUAGUUUUUAAGCAGCUUUAUUUAGGUCGCUACUUGGUUCGAAUUUUGAAAAAGCUAAGGGGCUAAAACUAAAUUUAAACUUUGCCUACCCCUUUUCCUUUUAAAACACACACACACUGAACAUAAGUUAAAACAUAAGUUUCUUUGUCAUAACUUGCUACGGAAGCUAAAAAACAUGAACAAAUUGUUCUUGUUAUUAUUUAUGGAAACGUUACUAAUGAAGGCCUUUGUUUUCCUAUAGAACUUGCCUACACCAUGGUUGUGACAGAGAAAUGUGAUGUUUAUAGCUUUGGAGUGGUGGCACUAGAAGUACUAGUGGGAAGGCAUCCAGAAGCGCUCCUCUCAUCGUCAUCUUCAUCAUUGGAUAAAAAUAUAAAGCUGAUUGAUUUGUUGGACCCACGCCUCCCGGCUCCGGGGGAUCAAAUGAUUACGCAUGAUAUCAUUCUUGUUUCAACAGUAGUAUUUUCAUGCUUGCGUUCUCAACCAAAGUCUCGACCUACAAUGCAACUCGUGUCAUUCUAAUUAUUAGUUUAUUUUACAAAUUAUAUAUAAAAAUUUCAUUCAGAACGAAGUUCUUGAUGUCGCGUUAUUUAAUAUAUUAGUUUUUUCACUCCUUUGUAAAUAUUCACACAAACAUAUACAAUAAAUUUUUAAUUUCGCCGAUCCGAUCAAACAUCCUGGACCCACCGCUGAUGUCAUCCGAAGGUGAGGAAGCUUCUGCAGAAGUUGUGGUUAGUGAUAUUCUUGCCAGCACAAGAUAAUUAAUUACUAGGAAAGAAAUAAUAAAAAAUUUUAUUAAUUACGAAACUGAUAACUAUAUAUUAAAUGUUGAGUGUUAGAAAAUGUAUAUUUAUGAAGGAGAAAAUCAUCAUUUUACAUUUCAAGUCUUACUAACACCCUUACUUUUAUGUAUUUAAGCUUAUUGUAAUUUAAUUACGUGUGUUUUAUUUUAAUUAAGUAUUUUAUGUAUUUUAGGGGCAUCAUAGUCAUUUCACAAUAAAUGAGAAAUCAUACGCCAAAACGGACAUCACUUUUGAACUCAGGACAGUCGAAAACUUUAGGAGGAACAUAAAAGGAAGAAUGUCACUGUUCACAUGUACAGUGCUAUUUACAUGUACGAUAUUGUCUACGUUACUGUUCAUGACACUAUUCACAUAGACGGAAUGAUGACGUGGCAUUGACCGAUGAUGUGGCAUUGACUGAUGAGGUGUCACGAUCCUAUUGGACUAAAAUUCUUAUGUACUAUUGAUCGAUGACGUGGCAGCAUAUCAGUGGACCAAAAAUCUCGCGUAUGGUACAUGCAUUACACAAGAUUAUUUUCAACCAAACCGUAUUACUAUUCAAACCGCGUGGUCAAACCACGUACUGUUGACUGAUGACGUGGCGCAAUCCUGAGCGUCUGAAAUGUUUUUGAUUCGAUGACCAUGAUUUACUCAAUGUAUCUAUAAAAAGGGGGCUCUCCCCCCUUAAUUUGUUAUCUCUGAAUCCAAUUUUGGGCUCCAUUUUCUGUAAUUCCUUCUUCAUCUUUUAUUUUCUACGUAUUUUAAUAAAUUUCCAUUUUGCCCCUAGAUCAAUUGUGAGUAGCUAAUUUUCUUUCAAGCUUGGGUUGAAGGUGAAGUCUCAACAUAUGUCAUGCGCUCUAUUUGGUAAAUUUAUUUUCUCUUCCCCUCUAGUUUUUGUGGAUGUUUUGACUUCUCGUCGACAAAUAAUAAUAAUCUUGUCUAGAUACCAUCCUGAUUUCACCGACUCCCUAGUACAAGGUUAUUAUUAUUUGGCACAAUAAGCCCUUAGCACCAUAUUGAUUAUAGUGUGGUUCAUGAGGUGUGGAUUCCCCCCUCAUGAUUUAAUUGACAUUAAUAAGGAAUAUUUAGGCCAUGGUGCAUGUUGAUACGGAUCCAGAUACCCAAGUGUUUCAUUUCAAUAGAUUUCUCUUCAAUUUAUUCUCGCCAUUUCAAUUCACUUUCACCACAAAUCCAAACAUCCAUUUAGAAAAAUUAAUUCUACACACAAUUAGAAUCAACCUCCUCGUGGGAUCGACACUCGUCACCAUUAAUCUAUUCUACAAUAGAUUCUUGCACUUGCGAGUUCAAUAAAAUUUGCACAACAUUAGACACACUAUAAUUUUAUGAAAACUGAAGAUCCAUACUAAUAUAAAACUAAAACCACCAUUAAUUAUAUUAUACUAUAACAACAAAUCCAGGAUAUAUUAACAAACACGUCGAUUUUGAAGCUGAAUUUAUAAUCUAAUCUUAACUCUAUUUCUUCUGUAUUUACAUAAUCAUCCUGCUAAUUAAGGAUUUACAACUUUGCCAUGAAAGGUCGGUGGCUCCAUGCCUUUUUCUUCUUCUCGUCACAAAUUUUUCUUUUGCUUCCACUUCACCAUUAAAGAACAUCCCAAAGCUUGGUGCUGUUCGUGGAAGGACUAUUUUUCAAAACCCUAGCAAAAAAAUCCACAAAGUUACUAUUAUGAUCAAACACUUGAUCACUUUAACUAUAAUCCACAAAGUUAUUUAACUUUUCCUCAUAGAUAUGCGUUGAACUUCAAGCAUUGGGGCGGUGGCAGAGCCAUGGCGGCGCCGAUAUUGGCAUAUCUUGGUGAAGAGAGUAGUCUUGAUAUGAUGACCUUGGUGGCAUUGGAUGGCUUGCUGAUAAUGCUCAUCGAUUUAAAGCCUUACAAGUUUACAUAGAGGUAAGUAAAGAAUUUGUUAUCAGGCUAGCUUGAUAAUAAUUAAAAUAGAGUUUGCGUAUGAAAUAAUAAUAAUAAAGACAAAUCUUAAUCAGAAUAUUCUACAAUAUGAACUGAAAAGUUGUGAUGGAUUUUUUUUUAAUUCAAUUUUUUAUGCAGUAUCGGUUCUAUGGAAAAUCAGUACCUUUUGUAUCAAGCAAAGAUGCCCUAAAAAAUGCAACUCUUCGUGGAUAUUUAAACUCUGGUCAAGCUUUGGCAGAUUAUGCAAAGAUUCUCUUACACAUCAAGGAAAAUUUAUCGGCCGAAAUGUCACCCAUUAUCGUCGUUGGAGCAUCUUAUCGAGGAAGUAAAUUUUAAUAUUAUUAACUUACUUACAUCUUUUGAUUAAUGUCGUGUCAUUUGUUGCACCAUUUUAUUCAUUUUGAUCUCGUUUGACCAAAAUAUUGAUUACGCCAAUAUUAUUUUGAUACAAAUUUAUUUUGCAUUCCAAUUAAUGAAUACUUUCAUCGAUCGUAAAAUUAAAAAAUACUAAAUAUAUUUAAGAUAAUUACGUUUUUAAAAUUAACCAUCUCAAUUCAUCCUAUUUUAUCAAAUCUGGGAUGUGAUAUGGUUUUGAGAGUUACUCAAUUGUGGGUUUGUUAUCACCAGUGCUUGCAGCAUGGUUUCGCUUGAAGUAUCCUCAGAGUCUUUGGGAGCAGUUGCCUCGCCCGCCCCAAUUCUCUACUUUGAUAAUAUCACACCAUCAAACGCAUAUUAUGAUCUUGUCACCAAUGACUUUAGGGUAAGAAACAAAAUUAAUUAAUUAAAAUUCUAUAUAUGUAUGAUUAUGUUUUCUUGUUAAAAUUUAACCAUUGAAUUUUGAAAAUUAAUGAUGCAGGAAGCCAGCGAGAGCUGCUACAUGACCAUCAAACAGUCCUGGGUUGAAAUGGAUAAAACCGCUGCUAGAAAAAAUGGACUUGCUUUUCUCUCUAAAAAGUUCAAAACCUGCAAGAAAUUAAUCAUAUUACUUUACAUAAUUGCUUAUAUAUAUAUCCAUCCGAUUUUCCCUUAAUAACAAUUAAUGCAAUGUUAUUGUAGCAUCAUUAUCGAAUGUACUAUGUCUAAUUAAUUAUCUGUCAUCCUCAGAGUAUAUAUACAUUUCGAUUAACGUGUAAUAUACAAAGUAAAAAUCUGGAUUUGGGCUUAUACACGGCCUUUGCAUUACCAUAUAUAUAGUAUACUGGUGCUUAGAUUCAGCCCUCCAGAGGUUCGUAUUUUACAGAAUCUAAAUUUGAACUACAAAACCACGCACAACUCUAAUUAUCAAAUAAGGCCAAAUUUGUACGUUUGCAUUUGAUAAUAUCAAUAGCUUCAUACUUAUGAAGUUUAUUGUAAUCUAACUAAAUAUAACAACAUUUUUUAGACGGCAUGUUGAAAGAUCUUUUAUAAUGUUACUAACCUUGUGGCACUUAAUUCUAUGUUGUUGUUGUUUAUUUGAUUACAAGCCUCUGAAGGAUGUUUCAGAAUUGAAGGAUUAUUUAGAGUGUAUGUAUACGGGUGCAGCUCAGUAUGAUGAUCCUCAGGAAUAUCCACUGAACAAAGCUUGUGAAGGUAUCGAUGGAGCUUCAGAAGGCACGGAUACCCUAGGCCGGAUAUUCUCAGGAAUUGUUGCUUUAAGAUGGGAGAAUUCUUGCCAUGAUGUUGAUGAAUUCUUAUCCGAUGAAACACUAGACUCGAGCUGGGGCUGGCAGGUAUGUGAUUACGGGUGACAUGAUUUCAUUAGAUACUUCUAUUGAGAUCGUCAAACAAACAUCAUGUUGCGAUGAAUGAAUCUCUCACCUAACAAUACCUAUUUUAUGUACAUCUCUUAAUUUUAUUUAUGAGACUACAUAUUUAUGAAUGAUUAAAAAUAAUUUUCUCCUUUAUUUAGUUAUUUAUUUAUUAUGAUUUUUUUUUUGGGAGGGGCGCCGGGGGGGGGGGGGGGAGGGGAUUUUUCAUGCAGAUAUGCAGUGAAAUGGUCUCAUCGAUUGGAAUUGACAAAAAUAGUACAAUUUUCAAGCAGACGAUAGAAUAUAUGAAUUCAUGCAAUAAGUCUUAUGGAGUGGCUCCAAUACCACAUUGGAUUACAACUUAUUACGACAGUCAUGUAAGUGUCAAUUAAUCCCCAAAUUAAUUCUUUUAAUAAUUUAAUUUUUUUCAUUUUCUUUUUUAAUCAUAAAUUUUAUCUCAAUUUUUGUUCGAUUUUUAUUUCUUUUUAAUUUGCAUGGUAUAAGAGUGGUUGUAAAGAGAUUUGGUAGCAACCUUAUUUUCUCUAAUGGCUUUCGUGAUCCCUAUAGCAGCGCUGGGUAAUUAAGCUUAAGAAUUUUGGACAUUCUUUUCUAUCAAAGUUACCUAUUUAAUUAUAUACCUUUUUCUUUUCUUCUUCUUUUGUUUUUUUUUUCUGAGAUUACAGUGUUCUGGAAGAUAUAUCAGAUAGCAUAAUAGCAGUGAUAACAAAAAAUGGUAUGUAAAUGUUUCUGUAAAAUAAAAAAAUUAGUGUUCAAUUAUUAACUAAAUUAUUGGAUAACAUAAUUAAUAAUGUGUAAAUUAGAGCAGGUUCCCAUUGCUUAGACAUACAGCCAGCAACAGGAGAUGAUCCAGAGUGGUUAGUAAUGCAGCGAGAGAUUGAAGUGGACAUGGUUCAUGAUUGGAUCCUUAAAUACUCUGCAGAUUUGCUUCAAAAUCAGAGCAUAAGAUUAAAUUGGGACUGCAAAAUUAGUUUUUUCUUUUUCUUCCUCUCGUCUAUCUUUCUAAUAUUUAUGGAGCAAAGAUAAAUAAUAGAGCACCUAGCUAGUUUAAGAGUUCAUUUUCAUUAUUCUUAAUCUGGGUUGUCUAAAUGUGUAGAACAAGUGUGCAGUAUUACUUAAUGUAAAGCACAUAUAAAGGGCUCAAUCUUUAUGUAAUAAUCAUAUGGUGAAUAUCAAUUCAUGUACAAUCACAUUGAAUUAACCAUUUUCUCCCUUUGAUUUAGGAGUUACUGUAUAGGUCGUUGAAGCCGGUGACAGUAAAAGAAUUUGCUCUCCAUGUACAUGUAUCUCUCAUUCUCAACCUGUUCCUAUGCUUCUACAUAAUAGCUUCUUUUGUUAAUUAUUUGACAAUCUCAUGCAAUUCCAAACAUGACUUAGAAUCAGUUUGAGAUUCCGGUGGCUAUUGAAAUAAACUACUUCUGUUAUGCAGAUAAAAUAAGCUAAUGAUUAUAAAAAUAGCUCGCUCAGUGUUUGGUAAAUUCAAUUACAAAAGAACUAUUUUAUUAUAUAAUCACUAAAAUAAUUAUAAGUUUAAAUUGUCAUUUAUUUAUAUAUUAGCAUUUAUAAAAAAAGUAAGAUACAAUUAUUCUUUUCUUAGUUAUAAUAAAAACUUUAAAAAAUAUGGCAUUUUAUUUAAUAAGUUGCUUCUAAAAUAAUCCCAUACUUGUUUUAAAAGCUAUUGUCAAAAUAGAGAAAAUAUAAAUUAACUUUUAACAAAUUUACCAAACAUUAUUUUUAUCAAAACUUUAAAAUAAACUGUUUAUAGUAUUUCAACUGUAAUCCCAAAUAGGACAUUAGUCUUUGUUCAAAAUAAGGUUAGACAUUGAAUAUGUGUACACGUAUAAACGAAAAUAUCUAGACUGAAGAAACAUCUCGACUUAAUAAGUCUGCUUCAUUCUUUUUUUUCCACAGCAUAUGUCAAGAGUAAGUUCAAAAUCAUUGCUGACUAGGGGAAGAAGUCUUCAAAGUCAAGGUGAUUAGAUUAGCAGGUCACGAAAUUAUGUAUCGGAGGGGUUCCCUGCCCUCAACUUAAAAAGAUGCCUUAAAAUUAAAUAUUAAAUAAUAUGGCAUUUAUUAAAUUUAAAAAAUAUAAAAAAAUUAAAAGAAAACCUUUUUUUAAGUAAUGUUUGACUAAUGAUUUUGCGUAUCGACUUUGAAUGACCAUGAUAGUAUUUUAAAGAUAAGAAAAGUGGAUUCAAAUGUGGUAUGAUUUAAAAAUAUGGUUAAGAGGUAUGUGAAUAUGAGUAUAAUGAUUGUUUUUGAAAUCAUUAGACAAUACCCUUCCCUCCAGAUACAGUGAUACAGAUAAUAUGAGAUGAGAGGCCAUUGGGGCCCGUCUGAACACACAUAGAGGCUUUGGGCCGUGUGUUUGGGCGCUUUUGCCUUUUGGGGGCAUAUGCAUGCGGUAUGAUGAUUACAGAGAUACAGAUAUGAGAUACAGACAUAUAUUGAGAUACGGAUGAUACAGAUAUGAGAUACAGACAUAUAUUGAGAUACAGAUGAUACAGAUGAGAUACAGGCCUUUGGGGCCCGUCUGAGUACACACAUAGGCCUUGGGCCGUGUGCUUGGGCGUUUUUGUCCUUUGGGGACCAGAUUAUGCAUGCACAGAUAUGAUGAGAUAUGAGAUGGUAUUUUCCUGUCUAUCCGUGUAGCUCCGGGGCGUGACGUUACCCAGAUAGUACGUCAUUGCCCGUCCGUUGAGGUCCGGAUAUGACGAGAUUAUUUCCCUAGGUACUUGUUUGAUGAUGAUUUUCAGAUUUGUGAAUUAUAUAUGAUAUUGUGAUAUGAUUUCCAUGGUUAGUAAUCUGAUUUAAAUGUUUAAUGAUUUAUUUAUGGUUUCUCGCUUAUGGUUUAAUGAAAGCGUGCUUGGAAAUGGUAUGAUGAUUUCUUUUAAAGUAAGAAUUAAUUUUCAAAACUACUAUCCACUCACUGAUCUCACUGAGUUUUAGACUCAUCCCGUUUUUAUUAUAUUUUCCCCCCCUCACCAGGAGGUUGCAGGUACACCAGACCGACCCAGCGACUGUAAAUAUAUUUUGAGUCUUGGCCACGUGAUGAUGUUAGAAGAUAUAACUGUUUUUAUUAGGACAUCUUGGUUAUCUCGUCCUGGUGGGAUUGUAUAAUUUUUGUUAUAUUAUUCUUUUGGGAUUAAGAAUUGAGAUAUUAAUAUUAGUUAUAAUGUUAUCUUUUGAGACUCUAGAGAUAUAAAACUCAGCAUUUUGGUUGAGGAUGUUGACCACUGGAAUUUGUUGUAUAUUGAAUUGUAUUGGGAGUGUUAUAUUCAUAUUUGUAGAUUGGGAGUGUUAUAUAUAUAAAUGAGACUCUAACGAAUUUUCGGCAGAAUCGAAUUAUUAUCAAGUCCGUUUUGAUGAGACUAGAUAGACUUGCCUGGGGGGAUUCGGGGCGGGUCGUUUCACGUCCACUUGGAUCUAUCUGAUAAUCACCUCCUAGGACAUAUCCCUCCAACUCUUGGUCGUCUAAGCAAAUUGAAAAUUUUGAACUUGUCUUUUAACUCCCUUGUCGGUAAUAUCCCAUCCAAUGUAGGUCAUCUAACCCAGCUAACUACUUUGGCUGUUGCCUCAAACCGAAUGAAUGGUUCCAUCCCAUUAGGAAUCGGGAGUUUGAAGGUUCUUCAAGUUCUUGACCUGUCCAUAAAUGAAAUUGGAGGUUCAAUUCCUUCAACACUUUAAAGUGGUUGAGAAGUGUAGACUUGUCCCAAAACAAACUUGUUGGCCCAAUCCCUUCGUCUCUAGGUCAUUUGACUCAGCUAACUACUUUGAAUAUGUACAACAACAAACUUGAUGGGCUAAUUCCUCCAGAACUCAUGAAUUGCUCAAAGUUGAGGAUAUUAAAAUUGGGAAACAACUUGUUAAGCGGAAGCAUUCCGUCACAGAUCGGCAAACUUCAAGAACUAUAUUAUCUUGAUCUAAGCGGUAACUUCAUUAAUGGUAAAAUACCUUCCCAACUUGGAGAAUUUCCACUCAUAAACACCAUGGACCUUUCCAUGAAUAACCUUUCCUGUGGAAUCCCUGUAUUUAUCAGAAAAGUGCCACACUUAGAUGUGUCAGGCAAUAAAUUCGGAGUAGAAAUCCCAACUACUUUGGUAAAUGCGCCACCGCCACAUCACAAAAAGAUUGCCACUCGCUUGGUUGCAAUUAUUCUUGCUAUAGUCGCAUUCCCUGCCUUGAUAUUUGGAAUCUUGAUUAUCCGUAGACAAAGGGAUAAAGAAGUUGAACCAGCUGGGACAGGAGAAAUUACCAAGUGCGCUGAUGAGUUUGCAAUUUGGAAUUACGAUGGUAGAAUUACAUUUCAAGACAUGAUUGACGCCACUGAGGAUUUCGAUAUCAAAUACUGCAUUGGAACGGGAGGCUACAGCAGCGUUUACAGGGCACGACUGCCCAGUGGAAAAGUAGUUGCUUUGAAGAAGAUUCACCGUUCAGAAACUGAGGAGUUAGCUUCCCUGGAGAGUUUCCGGAAUGAGGCUCGUCUACUGUCCCAAAUACGGCAUCGAAAUAUCGUAAAGCUUUACGGCUUUUGUUUGCACGAGAAAUGCAUGUUCUUAAUCUAUGAGUACAUGGAAAUGGGAAGCUUGUUCUGUGCUCUACGCACAGAUGAGGAAGCUGUUGGGUUGGAUUGGACUAAAAGGGUGAACAUUGUGAAGGGUAUGGCUCAUGCUUUGUCAUACUUGCAUCAUCACUGCACACCACCAAUUGUUCACCGGGACAUAUUAAGCAACAACAUUCUACUCAACUCAGAAUUAGAAGCAUUUGUUGUGGACUUUGGCAUUGCUAGAUUGUUAAAUUUCGACUCAUCCAACCGAACUAUGUUAGCUGGCACUUUCGGAUAAAUUGCUCCAGGUCCUCCUCUAGCUAUUCCUCUUAUGCUUCUUUAAUUAUCCUCUUAAUUAAUUUUUAUUUGUACUCUGCCAAGUAGUUUUUAAGCAGCUUUAUUUAGGUCGCUACUUGGUUCGAAUUUUGAAAAAGCUAAGGGGCUAAAAAUAAAUUUGACUUUGCCUACCCCUUUACUUUUAAAACACACACACUCUGAACAUAAGUUAAAACAUAAGUUUCUUUGUCAUAACUUGCUGCGGAAGCUAAAAAACAUGAACAAAUUGUUCUUGUUAUUAUUUAUGGAAACAUUACUAAUGAAGGCCUUUGUUUCCUAUAGAACUUGCCUACACCAUGGUUGUGACAGAGAAAUGUGAUGUUUAUAGUUUUGGAGUGGUGGCACUAGAAGUACUAAUGGGAAGGCAUCCAGAAGCGCUCCUCUCAUCGUCAUCUUCAUCAUUGGAUAAAAAUAUAAAGCUGAUUGAUUUGCUGGACCCCCGCCUCUCACCUCCGGUGGAUCAAAAGAUUAGGCAGGAUAUCAUUCUUGUUUCAACAGUAGCAUUUUCAUGCUUGCGUUCGCAACCAAAGUCUCGACCUACAAUGCAACUCGUGUCCAACGAAUUUAUCGCUCGCAAUAAGGCACCGAUGCAGAAACCUUUUCAUGAAAUUUCAAUUUUGGAGCUUAGAAACCAAGAAAUGUAUGUGGUUGAUUAAUGUGAUUUUUCCAAUAAAGGAGACUGUUAAUUGGUUGUGAAAUUAUUAGGUAGUAGUAAUGUAGCAAAUAUUAUGUGUUCGACGAAUUGUCUGCCUUAGUAUUUUUUAAUUCCAUUCACACUACGACAUUAAUCUCCUUUGUAAAGCUAGUACUUUCGCAGUUCACUCUGAUAAAAUAUGGUUUGUCUAAUUGUCUCCAUCUCAAUGAUCUGAAUUAACCAGCAUAUUAAGGAAUUUAAGGUUGUGUCUCUACAAGUUAAAAAGGGUAAAUUGUCAUUCUAAUUAUUAGUUUGUUUUACAAAUUAUAUAUAAAAAUUUCAUUCAGAACGAAGUUAUUGAUGUCGCGUUAUUUAAUAUAUUAGUUUUUUCACUCCUUUGUAAAUAUUCACACAAACAUAUACAAUAAAAUUUUAAUUUAGCCGAUCCGAUCAAACAUCCUGGACCCACCGCUGAUGUCAUCCGAAGGUGAGGAAGCUUCUGCAGAAGUUGUGGUUAGUGAUAUUCUUGCCAGCACAAGAUAAUUAAUUACUAGGAAAGAAAUAAUAAAAAAUUUUAUUAAUUACGAAACUGAUGACUAUAUAUUAGACACACUAUAAUUUUAUGAAAACUGAAGAUUCAUACUAAUAUAAAACUAAAAGCAACAUUAAUUAUAUUAUACGAUAACAACAAAUCCAGGAUAUAUUAACAAACACGUCGAUUUUGAAGCUGAAUUUAUAAUCUAAUCUUAACUCUAUUUCUUCUGUAUUUACAUAAUCAUCCUGCUAAUUAAGGAUUUACAACUUUGCCAUGAAAGGUCGGUGGCUCCAUCUUCAAAUCUCUAAGUAGUUUUUCCUUGGCCUUGUGCUUCUUGCCUUGGAGAUGCACGUCUAGACCUCUCUCGGUAGUAGCAGUGACCUGACAGAGGGCACAACUCCACUCCUUGGGUUUGCUUGAACUCGUUGAAGGAAGCUCUCUAGAACCUGCAGGUGGUGUGCCAGCUUUCUGCUUUGAUCCACAAACACUGGUAUCAGGCUUAGGCUGGAAAUGAUACCCAAACACAGAAACCACAAUGCCUUAUAUUAGUUAUCACAUCAAUGGUAAAAAUGAAAAAUAUUUCCAGUGAACUCCAUCAUCUGCUAUUGCAGUACAGAUGAAAGAAUUUGUUUACAAAAUGAUAAUGUGCAAAUUUUAUUUUAAAUUGUGAAUUCUCAAGAAAGGUAGGAAUGUAGAAGUAUAUUCAAAUAGUUAAUACAACCAGAAUCCUUGUUUAUUAAUAACAUUUCCAGCAUUGAACUAGGAAAAUAUCUCCAUCCCAAAAAAGAAAAAAAAAAGGAAUAUGUUUGAAUAGGAUUACGAAAUACUUUCUUAAUAAGCUGGACAAGGAGAGAUGAUAUCUUAUGAGCAUUAUAAUUCAUAAUUUGAGGAAAAACCAUUUUAAUGGAGCUUCCAGCCCAUCGCACAUACACAAACACAAUCAAUAAGAUUUAACAUAAGAAAUUACCGGGAAAAAGAAACAUCACAAAUCAAUCUGUACAAGUUCAUGUGACACUUCAUGGUAAACAUAUGUAACCUCUCUUGGAAACUUAGCUUGUGACAAGCUCACAUUUUCUCUGUGUUUUCGUUCAAAAAAGGCUUCAGACACACAUUAAUUCCAGGCUGUGGAGGAUCAUAUGUCCUCAUUGCCCAAAUUUUUAAAGCCACAUACAUUGGCAUUUGCACGCAUGGUCAAUGAGUUACACAACUCUGUUGUCUACUUGAGUUGACCAAGCAAACUGAAUUUGUGAACUUUGACCGACAUAAAUAACCCAAUGCUAACAUGUUUGGAAUUAAAUCAAGAUUGUGAGUCCAAAUGUACUCCCCGACAAACUUGUCACCUGUGCAUCAAGACAAAGUCUUAUAGCACUAAGAAUGAACAUGUGAACCUCUAAGCAACAACCUCCUAAUAACAUAAAAAUCAAGGUUGGUGUGGGAUAAAGCCAUUCAAAUGGACAUGUAAAGGGUAACUUUGAUGAAUAAGGGUUUAAGAGAAACAAUCUUAUCACAGAGUAUUUCAAUUGGAGCGGAUGAAGAAACUAACAUGAAACAAACUCACUUAUCUCUAUUUAUUUUUCAAUUUUCAUAGAUCCAAAAUCUAAAAUUAUCAUUUUGAGCUACCCUCAAUUAGUAAGCACUGCAUUGUCACUGCUUUCUUCUGAAAUUUUCCAUCAGCAGAAAAUCUCUAACAAAUCAAAACAAGACUUACCAAGUUUCAUAAGUAUCAAAACAAAAACGAGCAAAGGUCCACAGGGAAGUUCUAGAAUGAAAAAUACUAAUGACGUUGUUACAGUGAAUCUCAGGGUCCAUUUUUCGUGAGGUUAAUGAUUGCAUUCUGGGUUGUGUUGCUAUCAGUCUUUAGUGUUCAUUCAUCUUUUUAUGGUAAGUUGCAUGCAUUUGUUUUGUCUUCAGAGGUUAUGGUGUCAAAUUGAGCGGACACACGUUUGGCUUAUAGAUGAUAUGACCCUGAAACUAUGUCGCAGCUGUUGCUUGUUUUCAGCAUUCUAAUCAUUCACCAACUUGGGAUCUUCAAGUCCGUUGGUGGAAUUAUUUGCACCAUCCAAGUCUUGACGUGCACCCCUUGAUUAUACUCGGUGGGAUAAAUUUUGCACUUAUUUAAAAAAAAUAAAUAAAUAAAGAAUCCCCUGUGGGGAAGUCAAAAUGCAAACACGAAUUGAUUAGUGAAGAGGACACAGUAAUUUGACACGAUAAUUAAUCAUCUCGUUAUGAUGUGUUAGUGUCUAAUUCACAAAUUCGGGUAAUAACCGUCUUAUGAAGUGUCUAAUUUUAUUGCUCCGUUAAUAAAGUGUACUUGGGCUAGCUACGUUACCCCAGCGGUUGGAUUUCCAUUGCUUCCAAUGAGUCAAUACAAAGGCUUAUAGCAUUAGCAUGAUUAACAUAUAUUGCAGCAUCGUAAACAAUGAUUGGAAUCCUGAGAUCUUUGGUAACAUGAUUAUAGACAAUUACGACCAUGUUUGGAUAGCUUAGUUUAAAAAUUACAACAUUAAAAUAUCAGGUAAAUAUUAGUUGUUGUAACUAAAAAAAAUUAUUAUAUUUUUUAUUUUACACUUAUAUGAUAAAAAAUUUAUUUUUUUUAUUGAUUUUGUCAAAAUUAUUAUUUAAAAAUUAUAUAUUCACUGCAUACUAAAUUAAGUUAAUUACUAGGAAAUAAUUAAUUACAAGUUAAUUAAAUUAGAAAUAUGUGUCCAACCAUUAAAACUACGUAUAUCAAGUUAGUUAAUUACUAAGGAAAGAAUUAAUAACAAAUUUUCAUCGCUACGUAUUUAAUUACGAAACUGAUAACUAUAUAUUAGAAAAACUAUAAUUUUAUGAAAACUAAAGAUCAUUACUAAUAUAAAACUAAAACCAACAAUAAUUAUAUGAUAGGAUAACAACAAAUCCAGAAUAGAUUAACAAACACGUCGAUUCUGAAGCUGAAUUUAUAACCGAAUCUUAAUUCUAUUUCUUCUGUAUUUACAUAAUCAUCCUGCUAAUUAAAGAUUUACAACUUUGCCGUGGAAGGUCGGUGGCUUCCAUGCCUUUUUUCUUCUUCUCCUCACAAAUUUUGCUUUUGCUUCCACUUUACCAUUAAAGAACAUCCCAAAGCUUGGUGUUGUGCGUGGAAGGACUAUUUUUCUAAACCCUAGUAAAAAAAUAUCAACUUCAGAACCAGAGGGUGAUCUCGAAACUUAAUAUUAUGAUCAAAUACUUGAUCACUUUAACUAUUAUCCACAAAGUUAUUUAACUUUUCCUCAUAGAUAUGCGUUGAACUUCAAGCAUUGGGGCGGUGGCAGACCCAUGGCGGCGCCGAUAUUGGCAUAUCUUGGUGAAGAGAGUAGUCUUAAUAUGAUGACCUUGGUGGCAUUGGAUGGCUUACUGAUAAUGCUCAUCGAUUUAAAGCCUUACAAGUUUACAUAGAGGUAAGUAAAGAAUUUGUUAUCAGGCUAGCUUGAUAAUAAUUGAAAUAGAGUUCGCAUACGAAAUAAUAAUAAUAAAGACAAAUCCUAAUCAGAAUAUUCUACAAUAUGAACUAAAAAGUUGUGAUGGAUUUUUUUUUAAUUCAAUUUUUUAUGCAGUAUCGGUUCUAUGGAAAAUCAGUACCUUUUGUAUCAAGCAAAGAUGCCCUAAAGAAUGCAACUCUUCGUGGAUAUUUCAACUCUGGUCAAGCUUUGGCACAUUAUGCAAAGAUUCUCUUACACAUCAAGGAAAAUUUAUCGGCCGAAAUGUCUCCCAUUAUCGUUGUUGGAGCAUCUUAUAGAGGAAGUAAAUUUUAAUAUUAUUAACUUACUUACAUCUUUUGAUUAAUGUCGUGUCAUUUGUUGCAUCAUUUUAUUCAUUUUGAUCUCGUUUGACCAAAAUAUUGAUUACGCCAAUAUUAUUUUGAUACAAAUUUAUUUUGCAUUCCAAUUAAUGAAUACUUUCAGCGAUCGUAAAAUUAAGAAAUAGUAAACAUAUUUAAGAUAAUUACGUUUUUAAAAAUAACCAUCUCAAUUCAUCCUAUUUUAUCAGAUCUGGGUAGGGAUGGCAAUGGGGUGGGGUGGGGGUGGGGAGGCCUACCUCAUUCCCCACCCCAUUCCCCAAUAAAUUUAGUGGGGUGGGGAUGGAGAAUCCCCAUGUGGGGAAUGAUUUCCCCAUCCCCACCCCAUUCCCCAUUUAUCUAUUUUAUAAUAUGUAUAAAUAUAUUAUUUUAGUAAGUUAAAAAUUAGAGACUUAAAAUAAAAUCAUCAUCAUAUUAUAAAGUAUUUAAAUUCUUUUAAAAAAAUAUCUAAAAAUUUGAAACAAUAUCUUAAAAUGAUAUUAAAAGUGAAAAAUAUUUAAAGAGCGUAACACCUUAAAAGAGAAAAGAAAAUAUAACAAUGUUUCAGAGUUGAAAAAUAUUAUAGGAUUUUCUUUCAUUCAUAUCUUGUUUAUGUUGCAUAAAAAUUAAAAAAAAUUAUUAAUUGACAUUAUAAUUGAUAAAAUAAAAAUUAUUAAAUAAGAAUUAAAAAUAUAUUUAUAUAUAAUGGGGAUUGGGAUUGGGGUGGGGGUGGGGUGGGGAGUAUAAAACCAAACCCCACCCCAUUAAGAAUUUGGGGAUUAUUUUCUCCCCACUCCCCACCCCAUUCCCCAAAAAUUAUUCAAAAUUUUUUCCAUUUGGGGUGGGGCUCCAUAGGACCCCAAACCCGUGGAGAAUUUUGCCAUCCCUAGAUCUGGGAUGUGAUAUGGUUUUGAGAGUUACUCAUUUGUGGGUUUGUUAUCACCAGUGCUUGCAGCAUGGUUUCGCUUUCCUCACAGUGCUUUGGGAGCAGUUGCCUCGUCCGCCCCAAUUAUCUAGUUUGAUAAUAUCACACCCUCAAACGCAUAUUAUGAUCUUGUCACCAAUGACUUUAGGGUAAGAAAUAAAAUUAAUUAAUUAAAAUUCUAUAUAUGUAUGAUUGUGUUUUCUUGUUAAAAUUUAACCAUUAAAUUUUGAAAAUUAAUGAUGCAAGAAGCCAGGGAGAGCUGCUACAUGACCAUCAAACAGUCCUGGGCUGAAAUGGAUAAAACCGCUGCUAGAAAAAAUGGACUUGCUUCUCUCUCUAAAAAGUUCAAAACCUGCAAGAAAUUAAUCAUAUUACUUUACAUAACUGCUUAUAUAUAUCCAUCCGAUUUUCCCUUAAGUACAAUUAAUGCAAUGUUAUUGUAGCAUCAUUAUCGAAUGUACUAUGUCUAAUUAAUUAUCUGACAUUCUCAGAGUAUAUAUACAUUUCGAUUAACGUGUAAUAUACAAAGUAAAAAUCUGGAUUUGGGCUUAUACACGGCCUUUGCAUUACCCCAUAUAUAGUAUACUGGUGCUUCGAUUCAGCCCUCCAGAGGUUCGUAUUUUACAGAAUCUAAAUUUGAACUACAAAACCACGCACAACUCUGAUUAUCAAAUAAGGCCAAAUUUGUACGUUUGCAUUUGAUAAUAUCAAUAGCUUCAUACUUAUAAAGUUUAUUGUAAUCUAACUAAAUAUAACAACAUUUUUUAGACGGCAUGUUGAAAGAUCUUUUAUAAUGUUACUAACCUUGUGGCACUUAAUUCUAUGUUGUUGUUGUUGUUUAUUUGAUUACAAGCCUCUGAAGGAUGUUUCAGAAUUGAAGGAUUAUUUAGAGUGUAUGUAUACGGGUGCAGCUCAGUAUGAUGAUCCUCAGGAAUAUCCAGUGAACAAAGCUUGUGAAGGUAUCGAUGGAGCUUCAGAAGGCACGGAUACCCUAGGCUGGAUAUUCUCAGGAAUUGUUGCUUUAAGAGGGGAGAAUUCUUGCCAUGAUGUUGAUGAAUUCUUAUCCGAUGAAACACUAGACUCGAGCUGGGGCUGGCAGGUAUGUGAUUACGGGUGACAUGAUUUCAUUAGAUACUUCUAUUGAGAUCGUCAAACAAACAACAUGUUGCGAUGAAUGAAUCUCUCACCUAACAAUACCUAUUUUAUGUACAUCUCUUAAUUUUAUUUAUGAGACUACAUAUUUAUGAAUGAUUAAAAAUAGUUUUCUCCUUUAUUUAGUUAUUUAUUUAUUAUGAUUCUUUUUUUGUUUUGGGAGGGGCGGGGAGGGGGGGGGUUUCUCAUGCAGACAUGCAGUGAAAUGGUCUCAUCGAUUGGAAUUGACAAAAAUAAUACAAUUUUCAAGCAGACGAUAGAAUAUAUGAAUUCAUGCAAUAAGUCUUAUGGAGUGGCUACAAUACCACAUUGGAUUACAACUUAUUACGGCAGUCAUGUAAGUGUCAAUUAAUCCCCAAAUUAAUUCUUUUAAUAAUUUAAUUUUUUUCAUUUUCUUUUUUAAUUAUAAAUUUUAUCUCAAUUUUUGUUCGAUUUUUAUUUCUUUUUAAUUUGCAUGGUAUAAGAGUGGUUGUAAAGAGAUUUGGUAGCAACCUUAUUUUCUCUAAUGGCUUUCGUGAUCCCUAUAGCAGCGCUGGGUAAUUAAGCUUAAGAAUUUUGGACAUUCUUUUCUAUCAAAGUUACCUAUUUAAUUAUAUACCUUUUUCUUUUUCUUUUGUUUUUUUUUUUUUUUUUGAGAUUACAGUGUUCUGGAAGAUAUAUCAGAUAGCAUAAUAGCAGUGAUAACAAAAAAUGGUAUGUAAAUGUUUCUGUAAAAUAAAAAAAUUAGUGUUCAAUUGUUUGAGGGAAAUACUCCGACGAGACCAGACGUGAUGAGCAGAUGUUUGGUGGCAGAAGUCUGCGAGCAGGUGUGUCCUGUAAGAGCCAGGUAGCAGGGGAACAGGGGCAGGAAUAUCCUGCUCAUCCACGAGCACGUCAUCCGCGAGGCCAAUUUCCUGUAAGAAGCAUAAAGCCAUUCCUGCUGUAUUCUUGCUAAGGGUUGAUUCGAGGAGACCCGGUCAAUGACAGUUGGCGAGGCAUGCUCUCCAGCCCGAGAAUCUAGGCACGAAGGCCACGCAACCACCCACGACUACGGAAAUGGGGAAUCCACGUUCGAGAGGUGGGAGGAUAACGGGCGUAGACUGCGAAAAACUGGGAUUCAGAGGAAGCCUAUAAAAAGGUAGCCAAUGAAGGUAAAGGGGUUAGCAAUUUUGAGAUUAGAAGGGAGAUAAAGAAAUUCUAAAGAAGAGAAAACUACCCAAAAGCCAUAAGAUCUGUGACAAGCGUUCCCCGAACCUUAAUAUCUGACUUGAGCGUCAGAGGGUUUGCACCGGGAAAACAACCGGCGUACUCUGACUUGUCUGUGUGUGCAGGAACCUCUGGAGAAGAAGCUUUACGAGGAGAGAUCCUGGUCGUGGUGAAGUUGAUCGAGCAGAGACCCUGGUCGUAGAACGAGGAGAACCAGAAUCUCGCAUCAACAUUUUGGCACCGUCUGUGGGGAGCUGAUCAAAAAGCUUAUGUUGAUAGCAAGAAGAGGAGUGAAGUAAGUGAAAAGCGAUGGAAACAGGGGAAGCAAUGCAGAUAACAUCCCUCGAUACCCGAGUGGAAAACAAGAAUGGCAGACAAGAACCUGUAGAGGAUCUGGAAACUGUAAGCCUAGGACCAGAGAAUCCGGGAAAGACAAUCAGAAUCGGGUCGAGACUUAAGGGAGAGCAAAAGCAGGAGUUGGUGAAAUGCUUACAGGCUCAUGCAGAUGUGUUUGCUUGGACACAUGAAGACAUGCCAGGGAUUGACCCUGAGGUAGCAUGUCAUAAGCUGGCAGUAAAGAAAGGUGCUCGGACAGUAAGGUAGAAGAGGAGGUGCUUCAACCAGGAGAGGUAUGAGGCUAUAAAUGGCGAGGUGGAGAAGCUCUUGAGAGCAGGGUUCAUUCGGGAAGUCAAUUACCCUGAAUGGAUAUCGAAUGUGGUGUUGGUAAAGAAAGCGAAUGGCAAGUGGAGGAUGUGUGUGGAUUUCACAGACCUCAAUAAGGCGUGCCCAAAGGACAGCUUCCCUUUGCCAAAGAUCGAUCAGCUAGUAGAUUCAACGGCUGGACACGCUCUGCCUAGCUUCAUGGACGCGUUCUCGGGAUACAACCAGAUCCCCAUGUACGAGCAGGACGAGGAGAGCACGGCUUUCAUCACUAACCAGGGUUUGUUCUAUUACAGGGUAAUGCCAUUUGGUCUCAAAAAUACUGGGGCCACCUAUCAGAGGAUGGUGAACAAAGUCUUUAAGCCGUUGAUUGGGAAAACCAUGGAGGUGUACGUGGAUGACAUGAUCACCAAGUCCAAAAUCCCGAAGGAACAUGUCAGACACCUCGAGGAGACAUUUGAGCUUUUGAGGAAGUAUAAGAUGAAGCUCAACCCGGAGAAAUGUGCUUUUGGGGUCGAGUCGGGGAAGUUCCUUGGAUUCAUGGUGAGUCAUCGGGGGAUCGAAGCAAAUCCCGAGAAGAUCUAGGCGAUCGUGCAGAUGAGGUCUCCUCGUAGCCUGAAGGAAAUACAAAGCCUUACGGGGAGAUUGGCGGCAUUAAGCCGGUUCAUAUCCAAGGCUACAGAUAAGUGUCAACCAUUCUUUCAAGUGAUAAGGAGGGGAAAGAAAACAGAGUGGACCCCGGAAUGCGAGGAAGCCUUUCAGAACUUGAAGCAGUAUUUACAGCAAGCCCCUCUGCUAUCCACACCGAGGGAUGGGGACAAGUUAUUUUUGUAUCUGGCGAUAUCGGAUCGGGCCGCCAGUUCUGUUCUGGUGAGAGAGGAAGAAGGAGUUCAGUAUCCACUAUACUACACCAGCAAGGCCCUGCUCGACGCUGAGACCAGAUACCCACCGUUGGAGAAAUGGGCACUUGCCCUUGUGGUUGCUGCUCGGAAGUUGAGGCCAUAUUUUCAGGCAUUCCCAGUCUCGGUUAUAACAAACCAGCCAUUGCGUCAAACUCUGCACAAGCCCGAUGCUUCUGGUUGGCUCGUCAAGUGGGCUAUAGAGCUGAGCGAGUUCGACAUAGACUACAAACCCCGAGCAGCGAUAAGGGCUCAAGCAAUGGCCAAUUUCGUAGCAGAAUUCACAGAGCCUGAAGUAUGUUUAGACCAACAAGAUGUAGUUGCAGACAAUGGCGAAGCUCAAGUAUGGCAAAUGUCUGUAGAUGGGUCAUCAGGGGAGCAGGGAUUGUAUUGGAAGGCCCGGAGGGGGAGGAGAUCUCUUAUGCUGUAAAGUUAGAAUUCACAGCAACAAAUAACCAGGCAGAGUAUGAAGCCUUGAUAGCAGGAUUGGAACUGGCUAAGGCCGUGAGAGCAGAUAGAGUGAAGAUCAGAACUGAUUCCCAGCUGGUUGCGAAUCAUGUCAGUGAAAGAUUCCAACCAAGAGAGAAGAAGAUGGAGCAGUACUUGAAGAUAGUCAGGCAGAUGAUGGGAAAAUUCGAAGCGGUGGAAGUAGUACAAAUCCCAAGGGAGCAGAAUAGUCGAGCCGAUAUUUUGGCCAGGAUGGCAGCGGUAGCAGACCCAAAAAUGCCAAAGUCGAUCCCUCUAGAGGUGAAGUCCAGCCCGAGCAUCGAGCCGAAUUCAGGGGUACUGCGGAUAGAACAAAAAUGCUCGUGGAUGGACCCGAUAGUUUCAUACCUUAGAGACGGGGUAUUACCACCAGAUAAGCUGCGAGCUCGGAAGAUUAGAGCCCAGGCCUCGAGAUACACGAUGAUUGAUGGGAUACUGUAUCGGCGAGGAUAUACACUACCUUUCCUUCGAUGUUUGGAUGAGGACGACGCGGAUUACGUCCUGAGAGAAGUACAUGAAGGAAUUUGCGGGAAUCAUUCUGGUGGGAGAUCCCUGGCCCACAAGGUUCUAAGGCAGGGAUAUUUCUGGCCGACAAUGCACCAGGAUGCACAGGAGAAGACCAAGAGCUGUGUAAGCUGCCAGAGUUUUGCAAGUUUCCCCAACCAACCACCAGAGAAGCUCACCUCUAUGGCCUCCCCUUGGCCAUUUGCUCAAUGGGGAAUUGAUCUGAUCGGCCCGCUGCCAAAGGGACGAGGAGCAGCAACGCAUGCAAUAGUUGCUAUAGAUUACUUCACGAAGUGGAUAGAGGUCGAAGCCCUUAGUAGGAUUACAGAGAAGAAAACGACAGACUUUGUGUGGAGAAACCUGGUCUGUCGAUACGGGAUCCCUUAUGCCUUGGUAACGGAUAAUGGCAGGCAGUUCGAUAAUCACAGCUUCAGGGAUUUCUGCCAGAACCUCGGGAUAGAGCUGAAGUAUUGCUCGCCUGCUCACCCUCAAUCGAAUGGACAAGUAGAAGCAGCCAACAAGACCAUCAAGAGACUUUUGAAAACCAGGCUUGGAGCAAAAAAUGGUACAUGGGUUGAUGAGCUGUCAGGUGUCCUAUGGGCAUACAGGACAACCCACAAAACAGCAACUGGGGAGACACCGUUCGCCCUGGCUUUCGGACAUGAAGCGGUCGUACCAGCUGAGAUAGGAACGACCACGCACCGGACAGACCAUUUCAAUGAGCAGGAGAACGACGAGCAGAUGUGUUUGAAUAUUGAUCUGCUAACGAAGAAGAGGGAGCAAGCAGCUGGUCGAUCAGCCAUUUACCAGCAAAGGGUUGCUCGUUAUUAUAACCAGAAGGUGAAUGUACGGCAAUUCAAGGUCGGAGACUGGGUACUGAGAAGAGUGAAUCAGAGCACCAAAGAUUCGACUCAAGGAGUGCUGGGACCGAAUUGGGAAGGGCCAUAUAGAGUCAAGCAGAUAGUGGGACCCGGAGCUUACAAGCUGGUUCGCACAGACGGCCACGAGGUGAAACGCCCAUGGAACGCAGCACACCUCCGAAAAUACUUCCAGUAAGACUUGUUCACAUUUGAAAGCUAUUUCUGCUCGUGUUCAUUAUCGUUUAUCUUUUAUGUUUUAUAUCCAAACAAUUUCAUGUAAGUCGAAUCCUGCCAUUAAUGGAACGUCGAGGAAUUUCAUUCGCUUGAAACUGUGAAAAUUUCCUAAGGCAUGCAAAGGCUCGUCAAGUCUCAAAGCCUGUUUAUGGCGAGACCAGAAGCCAAGCGUGCCAAGAUCUGCUCGGCCACGAGAAGGCGAGCAAAAUCCCAAGCUUUGAAGAAAUUGCCUAAGGCAUGCAAAGGCUCGACAAAGUCUCAAAGCCUGUUUAUGGCGAGACCAGAAGCCAAGCGUGCCAGGAUCUGCUCGGCCACGAGAAGACGAGCAGAAUCCCAAGCUUUGAAGAAAUUGCCUAAGGCAUGCAAAGGCUCGACAAAGUCUCAAAGCCUGUUUAUGGCGAGACCAGAAGCCAAGCGUGCCAGGAUCUGCUCGGCCACGAGAAGGCGAGCAGAAUCCCAAGCUUUGAAGAAAUUAUCUAAGGCAUGCAAAGGCUCGACAAAGUCUCAAAUCCUGUUUAUGGCGAGACCAGAAGCCAAGCGUGCCAGGAUGUGCUUGGCCACAAGAAGGCGAGCAGAAUCCCAAGCUUUGAAGAAAUUACCUAAGGCAUGCAAAGGCUCGUCAAGUCUCAAAGCCUGUUUAUGGCGAGACCAGAAGCCAAGCGUGCCAGGAUCUGCUCGGCCACGAGAAGGCGAGCAGAAUCCCAAGCUUUGAAGAAAUUACCUAAGGCAUGCAAAGGCUCGACAAAGUCUCAAAGCCUGUUUAUGGCGAGACCAGAAGCCAAGCGUGCCAGGAUCUGCUCGGCCACGAGAAGGCGAGCAGAAUCCCAAGCUUUGAAGAAAUUACCUAAGGCAUGCAAAGGCUCGACAAAGUCUCAAAGCCUGUUUAUGGCGAGACCAGAUGCCAAGCGUGCCAGGAUCUGCUCGGCCACGAGAAGGCGAGCAGAAUCCCAAGCUUUGAAGAAAUUGCCUAAGGCAUGCAAAGACUCGACAAAGUCUCAAAGCCUGUUUAUGGCGAGACCAGAAGCCAAGCGUGCCAGGAUCUGCUCGGCCACGAGAAGGCGAGCAGAAUCCCAAGCUUUGAAGAAAUUACGUAAGGCAUGCAAAGGCUCGACAAGUCUCAAAGCCUGUUUAUGGCGAGACCAGAAGCCAAGCGUGCCAAGAUUGGCUCGGCCACGAGAAGGCGAGCAGAAUCCCAAGCAUUGAAGAAUCUUCCAAGGCAUGUGGCAAAACCAUAUACCAAGCCAGAGCCUGCUCGAGCGGACGAAGACGAGCAGAUUCUCAAGCGGAAAAAUAACUCGUAAUUACAAUACAAGAGAGUAAUAAAAAACAUUUCUAUUAAUUUGUUAAUAAUUAACAAAGCAGAUAAUCUUCACAAAUAUUGUUCGUUACAAUACAAGAAACAUAUUUAAGAAGACGGUGGGUCCGCAAGCCGAGCAGCCUCAGUUAGCUGGUCCACCUCAGGUGCUGGGGGAGUAUCUCCAGUUGCGUCUGGGGGGGUACUCGCCUCACCAGCAUCAGCAGGGAUUACACCGGGAGGAGAGUUUUCCUCCUCUAUCACCAUUGGUGCCACCUCUUCGGCAUCCUCCUUUGCAGCCUCCUCGUCCAUAUGUUGGGCGACACCAGCUGCAAGGUCGUCCGUCUUUAGAUCAGGAUGCUGCUUCCCGAGGACGGCCAUGAUGCAACGAUAAGAAUGCCGAAGUCCCUAGUCGUACUGGUUGUCGGCCUCCUUUUCCAAGUUCUCGACCCGAGCUCGGUGGGAAUCGCGAAGAGAUUCGAGCUGAGCCUCAUACAUAGCCUUCUGCCUUUGAAGAUCCUCCUUGACCUUGGCCAGCUCUUCCUCGAGAGUAAUAGCCUUGGCUUGAGCAAGAGAUUCUCGCUCAAUCAACUUCAGAUUCUCGAGGUUUAAGUCCCCUGCUUUCUUCUCAGCAACGUCAGCUCUGGUCGUCGCCGACUGAAUGUCCUCCUUCAUCUUCCUAUCAUAACGGCCAACCUUGGCCUUAUAGUAGGUGGUCAUGCAGCUGAGAUGGAAAGCGCUAUACUGCAUGGCCCCCACCAGCUCGCCUAAGGUGCAGCCAUCAAAGUCCUCGAGGUCCUCCUUGCUCACAAGUUUGGAAAGCUCGUUGAGAUAGGGGGCCAAGUGUUCUGCUCAGCUGUCAGGUAAACGAGAUCUAUGCCCGACAGGAGGCGAAGAGGAAGCAGGAUCAGUGGCUGCUCCACUGGUCUCGCCGAGUUUGGCAGAAGGAGGAGGUAAAGUCUUCAACGGAGAGACCUGCUGCACGAUGUUGGCCCGCUUUGCAGUAGGGGCAUCCCUGUUCUGGUCCCUCUUCGUGGUUUGGGGUCGAGAACGUUUCCUGUUUAGAGCCCCAAUCACGGCGUCCUCCAUCUUAUGGCCAGGAAGUACCAAGCGAGACUCAAGCAAGUUGUAAGUAGUUAGCAGUUCUCGGCUCGAGCAGGAAUUGGCGAGUACAGCCUCGACCCAUUUGAGCUGGUUAGGUUGGAGCGGGAAGUGAACACCCCAAGAAACUACAACACAAACAGACACUUGGUUAGAGACAAGCCAAUAAAGCAAGAACAAUUAUGGAUACAAGACAUCUAAAGCGAGCAGGCAACCUGGGACCGUGAAACGGGGUGGGACGCGACAAUCCUUCCCGUCUAUUUGUGCAACUUGACCCCAAGGACCCCCAGCAAAAAAGAAUUUCCUUUUCCAGUCCCACACAACCAAGAACCGCUAAGUUUCUACUGCUGGUCCAUUACAUUACCCAACACCAGAAACUGGGGGACCGGUGUUUGAGGGAAAUACUCCGACGAGACCAGACGUGAUGAGCAGAUGUUUGGUGGCAGAAGUCUGCGAGCAGGUGUGUCCUGUAAGAGCCAGGUAGCAGGGGAACAGGGGCAGGAAUAUCCUGCUCAUCCACGAGCACGUCAUCCGCGAGGCCAAUUUCCUGUAAGAAGCAUAAAGCCAUUCUUGCUGUAUUCUUGCUAAGGGUUGAUUCGAGGAGACCCGGUCAACGACAGUUGGCGAGGCAUGCUCUCCAGCCCGAGAAUCUAGGCACAAAGGCCACGCAACCACCCACGACUACGGAAAUGGGGAAUCCACGUUCGAGAGGUGGGAGGAUAACGGGCGUAGACUGCGAAAAACUGGGAUUCAGAGGAAGCCUAUAAAAAGGUAGCCAACGAAGGUAAAGGGGUUAGCAAUUUUGAGAUUAGAAGGGAGAUAAAGAAAUUCUAAAGAAGAGAAAACUACCCAAAAGCCAUAAGAUCUGUGGCAAGCGUUCCCCGAACCUUCAUAUCUGACUUGAGCAUCGGAGGGUUUGCGCCGGGAAAACAACCGGCGUACUCUGACUUGUCUGUGUGUGCAGGAACCUCUGGAGAAGAAGCUUUACGAGGAGAGAUCCUGGUCGUGGUGAAGUUGAUCGAGCAGAGACCCUGGUCGUAGAACGAGGAGAACCAGAAUCUCGCAUCAACAUCAAUUAUUAACUAAAUUAUUCGAUAACAUAAUUAAUAAUGUGUAAAUUAGAGCAGGUUCCCAUUGCUUAGACAUACAUCCAGCAGCAGAAGAUGAUCCAGAGUGGUUAGUAAUGCAGCGAAAGAUUGAAGUGGACAUGGUUCAUGAUUGGAUCCUUAAAUACUCUGCAGAUUUGCUUCAAAAUCAGAGCAUAAGAUUAAAUUGGGACUGCAAAAUUAGUUUUUUCUUUUUCUUCCUCUCGUCUAUCUUUCUAAUAUUUAUGGAGCAAAGAUAAAUAAUAGAGCACCUAGCUAGUUUAAGAGUUCAUUUUCAUUAUUCUUAAUCUGGGUUGUCUAAAUGUGUAGAACAAGUGUGCAGUAUUACUUAAUGUAAAGCACAUAUAAAGGGCUCAAUCUUUAUGUAAUAAUCAUAUGGUGAAUAUCAAUUCAUGUACAAUCACAUUGAAUUAACCAUUUUCUCCCUUUGAUUUAGGAGUUACUGUAUAGGUCGUUGAAGCCGGUGACAGUAAAAGAAUUUGCUCUCCAUGUACAUGUAUCUCUCAUUCUCAACCUGUUCCUAUGCUUCUACAUAAUAGCUUCUUUUGUUAAUUAUUUGACAAUCUCAUGCAAUUCCAAACAUGACUUAGAAUCAGUUUGAGAUUCCGGUGGCUAUUGAAAUAAACUACUUCUAUUAUGCGGAUAAAAUAAGCUAAUGAUUAUAAAAGUAGCUCGCUCAGUGUUUGGUAAAUUCAAUUACGAAAGAACUAUUUUAUUAUAUAAUCACUAAAAUAAUUAUAAGUUUAAAUUGUCUUUUAUUUAUAUAUUAGGAUUUAUAAAAAAAAGGUAAUAUACAAUUAUUCUUUUCUUAGUUAUAAAGAAACUUUAAAAAAUGCAUUUUAUUUAAUAAGUUGCUUCUAAAAAUAAUCCCAUACUUGUUUUAAAAGCUAUUGUCAAAAUAGAGAAAAUAUAAAUUAACUUUUAACAAAUUUACCAAACAUUAUUUUUAUCAAAACUUAUAAAAUAAAUUGUUUAUAGUAUUUCAACUGUAAUCCCAAAUACGGCAUUAGUCUUUGUUCAAAAUAAGGUUAGACAUUGAAUAUGUGUACACGUAUAAACGAAAAUAUCUAGACUGAAGAAACAUCUCGACUUAAAUAAGUCUGCUUCAUUCUUUUUUUUCCACAGCAUAUGUCAAGACGUAAGUUCCAAAUCAUUGCUGACUAGGGGAAGAAGUCUUCAAAGUCAAGGUGAUUAGAUUAGCAGGUCACGAAAUUACGUAUGGGAGGGGUUCCCUGCCCUCAACUUAAAAAGAUGCCUUAAAAUUAAAUAUUAAAUAAUAUGGCAUUUGUUAAAUUUAAAAAAUAUAAAAAAAAUUAAAAAGAAAACCUUUUUUUAAGUGCCCAGAGGUUUGAACGGCAACUAUAGGAUUGUUUCACGAUGAACUUCAAAUGUGCAAGACUAAGGCAGGCCUAUCACGAUUUGGGCCAACUUUGGUAUACUCAGGAAGGGGCACGGAAGAGGGAGCAUUUUGGUUUAUAUUUUACUCAUACACACAUGAGUAAUUAUAUACAAACCUUUCAUGCCUUCACUACCUUUUUCAUGUGGGACAAAUGUAUUUUCCUUUAAUUUUCCAAUUAUAUACAAACCUUUCAUGCCUUCACUACCUUUUUCAUGUGGGACAAAUGUAUUUUCCUUUAAUUUUCCAAUUCCAUGAAUUUACUUUCAGUUACCAUUUCUCAUUUAUCCAAGGAUCAUUUUGAUCAUAUAGAUAAAACCAUUUUGAAGUAUUUACAGAGAAAUAUUUGAAACAAUUUUAACUUUUCACUUACACCACAUAGGUCUCACUCAAAAUCACGCCUCAAAUAGCCACUUGUGCUAUAUUUCCAACACCUUCUGUCUCUUUUCCUUAUUGAUCGCAUGCAAAAAAAUUGAGUGCAAUGAAAUUUUUUAUAUUCUUUCGUCUAUGAUGUUUUUGUGUAAAAAAUAAUAAAAUUCAAAUGGAUGUUAAGUAGCCCAUGAAUUUCCAUAGUUUGUAUGUUACAAAAGGAGCUUUGUAACUAUUUUAAAAAAUAAACAGAUUAUUUUGAUUAUUUUGUCAAAUCACAGGAGUUUCUACAUGUUUUUUUAUACAAAUUAAAUUCACACAAAGAUAUGAUUAGUCUUGUUUAUUUUCCUAUUUGAGUCAUAAUUUACAACAAGAACUCUUUGAGCUUUUUAUUUAUUUUAUUAUUUUGGGUGAUAUUUAGUAUCUUAAUAAUGCUAUUAACUAUUUCUAAUAUUUUCCAUAUUAUCUUAUAUUUCUGCAAUGUUAUUCAAAUAGAUUUAUAAGCUAAAGCCAAUAAGCCAAUUGGAUAGUACUAUUGAGACCGUCAAAUAAACAACAUGUCGCAAUGAAUGAGUCUUUCGUCUAACAAUACUUAUUUUAUGUACAUCUCUAAAUUUUAUUUAUGAGAAUACAUAUUUAUAAAUGAUUAAAAAUAAUUUUCUUCUUCAUCUUAUUUAUUUAUUAUUUUUUUUUUUUAGGGAGGGGGAGUGCCAUCCAGACAUACAGUGAAAUGGUCUCACCAAUUGGAAUUGGCAAAAACGACACAAUGUUUCAAACAUACUCAUUUAAUCUGACAGAAUAUAUGAAUUCAUGCAAUAAGUCUUAUGGAGUGGUUCCCAGACCACAUUAGAUUACAACAUAUUACGGCGGUCAUGUAAGUAUUGAUUAAUCCCCAAAUUAAUUCUUUUAAUAAUUUAAUUUUUCUCAUUUUCUUUUUUAAUUAUAAAGUUUACCUCAAUUGUUGUUUGAUUUCUAUUUCUUUUUAAUUUGCAAGAUAUAAGAGUGGUUUUAAAGAGAUUUGGUAGCAACAUUAUUUUACCUAAUGGCCUUCGUGAUAUGAUCCCUAUAGCAGCGAGGGGUAAUUAAGCUUAAAAAUUUUAUACUCUUUUCUAUCGAAGUUACCCGUUUAAUUAUAUGCCUUAUUCUUUUUCUUCUCUUUUUUUUUGGUGGGGGGGGGGGGGGGGAGAUUAUAGGGUUUUGGAAGAUAUCAGACAAUAUAAUAGCAGCGACAACAAGAAACAGUAUGUAAAUUUUUCUAUAAAAUAAAAAAUAAGUGUUCAAUUAUUAACUAAAUUAAAUUAUUCGAUAACAUAAUUAAUAGUGUGUAAAGUGGAGCAGGUUCCCAUUGCUUAGACAUACAACCAGCAAUAGAAGACGACCCAUAAUGGUUAGCAGUGCACAGUGCAGCGAAAGAUUGAAGUGGACAUGCUUCAUGGUUGGAUCCUCAAAUAUUUUGCAGAUUUGCUUCAAAAUCAGAGCAUAAGAUUAAUUUGUGACUACAAAAUUAGUUUUUUUCUUUUUCUUCAUCUCCUCUAUCUUUCUAAUAUUUAUGGAGCAAAGAUAAAUAAUAAUAGUGCACCUAGCUAGUUUGGAUUUGGUUGUAAUUUUCAUAAUCCUUACUCUGAGUUGUCUAAAUGUGUAGAACAGGUGUGCAGUAUUAGUUAAUGUAAAACACUUAAGGCUCAAUCUUUAUGUAAUAAUCAUAUGGUGAAUAUCAAUUCAUAUUCAAUCAGAUGAAUUAACUAUUUCCUCCCUUCGAUUUAAGAGUUACUGUAUAGGUCCUUGAAGCCGGAGGUAGUCAAAGAUUUGCCCUCCACACACACACACACAUAUAAAAAUAUUCAAAUUCAGAAUUUUAAAAUGCGGGAACGUUUGGGAAAACGCAUAAACUGUGCAGUUUAAGUGCUUUAAGUAUUAGACCUUUAAAACCCCGCAGUUUUAAAGUUUUUCCUAAUGUUUCCCACACUUUAAGAUCCUGUACCAAAAAACUACUAUAUAUAUAUAUAUAUUAGGUGUUUAAGCUUGUAUGCUCCGUUUAUUAGUAGCCAAGCUUGCGAGUAUAUUGCUUCUGGUGAACCUCUUCCUAUUCUUCUCCUUAAUAGCUAUUUCUCUUAAUUAUUUGACAAUCUAAUGCAAUCCCAAACGUGACUUAGCAUCAAGUUUAGGAUGGCGGUUGCUGAUAAAAUAAGUUAUUUCUAUUGUGAGGACGAAAUAAGUUGAUGAUUAAAAAAGUAUCUUGUUCAUGUUUAGUAAAUUUGAUUAUGAAUGUGCUGUAUUAUUUAAUGACUAAAAUAAACAUGAGUUUAAAUUGUCUUUUAUUUAUAUAUUAGAGCUUAUAGAAAAGUAAGAUAUAAUUAUUCUUUUCUUAAAAUAUUAAGGUUAUAAUAUGAACAUUUAAAAAGAUAUAGCAACUUAUUUAAUAAGUUGCUUAUAAAAAUAAUCUCUAUUCUGUUUUUAAAAGUUACAGUCAAAAUAGAGAAAAUUAUAAAAAAAAAACAACUUUUAACAAAGCCAUCAAACUUCAUUUUUAUCUAAACUUAUAAAAUAAGCUGCUUAUAGCAUUUCAAUCACAAUCCUGGGGCAUUAAUCUUUGUGUAGAAUCAGAUUAGACAUUGAAUAUUUCUAAUUUUCUACACAUAAAUUAAAAUAUGUAGACUAGAAAAACACCUUGACUUCGUAAGUCCACUUCAUUCUUUAAUUUCCGCAGCAUAUGUCAAGACGUUAUUUUCAAAUAAUUGCCGACUAGGAGAAGUCUUAUAGUCAAGGUGAUUACAUGAGCGUGUUAUGGAAUCGUAGUGGUUCCCUGCCCUCAACUAAAAAAGUGGCCUUCAAAAUUAAAUAUUAAAUAAUGUGGCAUUAUUAAUGUUAUAUAUAUAUAUAUAUAUAUGUGUGUGUGUGUGUGUCUGUGAGUGUGUAUAUAUGUAUAUAUAAUAUUAUAUAUAUAUAUAUAUUAGGUUUCAUGUUUUGCACGGGUUCGAACGGCAGUUGUAAUAUUAAAUAAUAUGGCAUUAUUAAAGUUAAAAAAAUAUCUAAAGUUAAUCAUAAAAAAAUAUUUUUUUUAUAAAAAAAUAAAUAAAGAUUAAAAUGGAUGUUAGGUAGCCCGUGAGUUUCCAUAGUUUGUAUGUUACAAAAGGACUUUUGUAACUAUUUUAAAAAAAUAAAAAAAUUAUUUUGAUUAUUCUGUCAAGUCACAGUAGUGUAGACAUCCUUUCUCUAUAGUUUAUUUAUAAUAUUAAAUUUAUACAAAGAUAUGGUUAGUCUCGUUUAUUUUCCUAUGAGAGUCAUAAUUUACACCAACAAUUCUUUGAGCUUCUUUUUCUUUUUAUUAUUUUGGGUAAUAUUUAAUAUCUUAAUAAUGCUAUUAAUUAUUUCUAAUAUUUUUCAUAUUAUCUCAUGUUUCUGCAAUGUUGUUCAAAUAGAUCUACACCACACAAAUACAAGCCAAUAAGGUUAUAUCUCCAUGAUUGAAUCCAUCUAGAGAAGACCUUGACUCACACUCUUUGAAAACGCGUAUUGGAAAUUAACACCGGGAGGUUGAAAAACAAUUAAUUCUUAUAUAAACGCUUUGCUGAGAAUCAAAUGUAGCUCAAUCAACCGAAAACCAUUAUAAACAUGGCAGCAGCAUCCACUGUUUCGAGAUUGGUGGUCAUUAUAAUUUUAAUUAAUGUUGGUGCUAUAAGUGAUACGACAAUAUUUGCAAUAGCAUCAGCUGCUGGAUUAUUGUCGUCACCCAAACUGUUAGAAAGGGAAGCUUUACUUGGUACAGGCUGGUGGGUCAACAAUUGCGCGACGGGCAACUACACGUCCUAUCAUUGUAAGUGGACUGGCAUCAGUUGCAAUUCAGCGGGAAGCGUAAUCGGGGUCAGCUUACUCUGGUAUGAAAAUGAUAACAUCACAGGAGAGCUCGGUCGUUUCAAAUUCUCUUGCUUUCCGAACCUCAGAAGUUUCAAAAUUCAUUCAAAUUAUUCUAUCUCUGGAAGCAUUCCAUCCGAAAUUACUGCCCUUUCAAUGCUCCAAACUCUUGAACUGCCCUCCAACAAUCUUACCGGUAAGCUACCAAACUUCACUAUAUAUAUAUAUAUAUAUAUAUAUAUGUAUGUAUGUAUGAAGUCGUGCUCAUGCUUGAAGCAGGAGUCUGUUUUUACAACACUGAAGAAGUUUUUUUUAUGAGGAUUUCUUUAUAAAUUUUAUUUAUAUGAGGAUAGUGAAUACUGAUCUCGUUUUUCAUAAAUCACAUGCGCAACAGGAAUUGUCCCUUCAGAGAUGGGGAGAUUGAGGAAUCUUGUCCACCUGGAUCUAUCUGAUAAUUACAUCUGGGGAUAUAUCCCUCCAACUCUUGGUCGUCUAAGCAAAUUGGAAAAUUUCAACCUGUCUUCUAAUGCCCUUGAUGGUAAUAUCCCUCCAACUCUUGGUCGUGUAAGCAAAUUGAAAAUUUUGAACUUGUCUUCUAACUCUCUUGUUGGUAAUAUCCCCCCCACUCUAGGUCAUCUAACCCAUCUAACUACUUUGGCUAUUGCUUGGAACCAAAUUAAUGGUUCCAUCCCAUUAAGAAUCGGGAGUUUGAAGGCUCUUCAAGUUCUUGACUUGUCCAUAAAUGAAAUUGAAGGUUCAAUGCCUUCAACACUUGGCCAUUUAAAGAGAUUGAGAAGUUUAGACUUGUCCGGUAACAAUCUUGUUGGUCCAAUCCCUUCGUCUGUGGGUCAUUUGACUCAGCUAACAACUUUUGAUAUGCACUCAAACCGAAUCAAUGGUUCCAUCCCAUUAGAAAUCGGGAAUUUGAACUUUCUUCAAGUUCUUGAUCUGUCCAACAACAAACUUGAAGGUCCAAUUCCUUCGACCAUAGCUAGUUUAGUCAACUUAACAUCUUUGUUCCUGUGCAAUAACAAUCUAACUGGAUCUAUUCCUUCAACACUUGGUCAUUUAAACAGGUUGACAAGUUUAGACUUGUCCAGUAACAAUCUUGUUGGUCCAAUCCCUUCGUCUGUGGGUCAUUUGACUCAGCUAACAACUUUUGAUAUGCACUCAAACCGAAUCAAUGGCUCCAUCCCAUUAGAAAUCGGGAAUUUGAACUUUCUUCAAGUUCUUGAUCUGUCCGACAACAAACUUGAAGGUCCAAUUCCUUCGACCAUAGCUAGUUUAGUCAACUUAACAUCUUUGUUCCUGUGCAAUAACAAUCUAACUGGAUCUAUUCCUUCAACACUUGGUCGUUUAAACAGGUUGACAAGUUUAGACUUGUCCAGUAACAAUCUUGUUGGUCCAAUCCCUUCGUCUGUGGGUCAUUUGACUCAGCUAACAACUUUUGAUAUGCACUCAAACCGAAUCAAUGGUUCCAUCCCAUUAGAAAUCGGGAAUUUGAAACAUGUUGAAGAUGUGUACCUGUUCAACAACAAACUUGAUGGUCCAAUUCCUCCACAACUCAUGAAUUGCUCAAAGCUGAGAGCAUUAUCAUUGAGUAAAAACUUGUUAAGUGGAAGCAUCCCAUCAGAGAUUGGCAAACUUCAAGAACUAUAUUAUCUUAAUCUGAGCCAUAACUCCAUUAAUGGUAAAAUACCUUCCCAGCUUGGAGCAAUUCCAAACAUAGAUACCGUGGACCUUUGCAUGAAUAACCUCUCCGGUAGUAUCCCUGAAUCUGUCACAAAUGUGCCACACUUAGAUGUGUCAGGCAACAAUUUGGAGGUAGAAAUCCCAAGUACUUCGGCAAAAGCGCCACCACCACAUCACAAAGGCAAUGACAAAAAGAUUGCCACUCGCUUGGUUGCAAUUAUUCUCCCUAUGGUCGCAUUGCUUGCCUUGAUAUUUGGAAUCUUGUUUGUCCGUAGACGAAGGGAUAAGAGAGUUGAACCAGCUGAGACAGGAGAAAUCACCAAGUGCGCUGAUGAGUUUGCAAUUUGGAAUUACGACGGUAGAAUUACAUUUCAAGACAUGAUUGAAGCUACUGAGGAUUUCCAUAUCAAAUACUGCAUUGGAACCGGAGGCUACGGCAGCGUUUACAGAGCACGACUACCCAGUGGAAAAGUAGUUGCUUUGAAGAAGCUUCACGGUUCAGAAACUGAGGAGUUAGCUUCCCUCGAGAGUUUCCGGAAUGAGGCUCGUCUACUGUCCCAAAUACGGCAUCGAAAUAUCGUAAAGCUUUACGGGUUUUGUUUGCACAGGAAAUGUAUGUUCUUAAUCUAUGAGUACAUGGAAAUGGGAAGCUUGUUCUGUGUUCUGCGCACAGAUGAGGAAGCUGUGGGGUUGGAUUGGGCUAAAAGGGUGAACGUUGUGAAGGGCAUGGCUCAUGCUUUGUCAUACUUGCAUCAUGACUGCACACCACCAAUUGUUCACCGGGACAUAUCAAGCAACAACAUUCUACUCAACUCAGAAUUAGAAGCAUUUGUUGCCGACUUUGGCGUUGCUAGAUUGUUAAAUUUUGACUCAUCCAAUCGAACUCUAUUGGCUGGCACUCAUGGAUAUAUUGCUCCAGGUAAUCUUCUAGCCAUUCUUCUUCUGCUUCUUUAAUUAUUCUUUUAAUUAAUUUUUAUAUACACUCUGUUAAGUAAUUUUUAAGCAGUUUUAUUUAGUUAGCUAUUUAGGUUCAAAUUUUGGAAUAGGUAAGGAGCUGAAAGAUAAAUUUAAACUUUGCCUACCCGUUUAACUUUUUUUUAAAAAAAAAAAAAUUACACACAGUUUAAAUAUCAAUUAAAAACAUAUGUUUUUCUGUCAUACCUUGCUGAAGAAGCUCAAAAAUAUAAACAAAUUGCUCUUGUUAUUAUAUAGGAAAUAUCACUAAUAAAGGCUUCUGUUUUCCUAUAGAACUGGCCUACACCAUGAUUGUGACGGAGAAAUCUGAUGUUUAUAGCUUCGGAGUGGUGGCACUAGAAGUACUAAUGGGAAAGCAUCCUGGAGAGCUCCUCUCAUCGUUAUCUUCGUCAUUAGAUAAAAAUAUUAAGCUGAUUGAUUUGCUGGACCCACGCCUCUCACCUCCGGUGGAUCAAAAGAUUAGGCAGGAUAUCAUUCUUGUUUCAACAGUAGCAUUUUCAUGCUUGCGUUCUCAACCAAAGUCUCGACCUACAAUGCAACUCGUGUCCAACGAAUUUAUCGCUCGCAAUAAGACACCAAUGCAAAAACCUUUUCAUGAAAUUUCAAUUUUGGAGCUUAGAAACCAAGAAAUGUAUUUGGUUGAUUAAUGUGAUAUCUAAUUAUGGAUACGUAUAUUUAACUGUUCAUGUAUGUGAUGGGAUUGCUUCUAAUCCUAAUAGAAUUUUCCAAUAAAGGUGACUGUUAAUUAGUUCUGAAAUUAUUAUUAGGUAGUAGCAAUGUAGCGUAUAUUAUGUGUUCGACGAAUUGUCUCCCUUAGUAUUAUUAAUUCCAUUUACACGUUCACUACCUAUAUAUAUUGAAUUGCAAUUAAACAUAUGUGCAAACUACGACAUUAAUGUCUCGGGUAAAGCUAGUACUUUCGCAGUUGGUUAGUCUAAUUGUCACCCCCUCAAUGAGCUGAAUUAAACAGGAUUUUAAGGAAUUUAAAGGUUGUAUCUCUACGAGUUAAAAGGGUAAAUUGUCAUUUUAAUUAUUAGUUUAUUUUACAAAUUAUAUAUAUAUAAACUUCAUGCAGAAUGAGGUUCUUGAUGUCGCGUUAUUUAAUAUAUUAGUUUUUUCACUCCUUUGUAAAUAUUCACACAAACAUAUACAAUAAUUUAGCUGAUCCGAUCAAACAUCCUUAGUUUUUUCACUCCUUUGUAAAUAUUCACACAUAUACAAUAAUUUAGCUGAUCCGAUCAAACAUCCUGGACCCACCGCUGAUGUUAGGAAGCUUCUGCAUAAGCUGUGGUUAGUGUCUUAGUGAUAUCCCGCCAACAACCUGCCAGCAAAAGAUAAACUAAUGUCAGGUCAUGAUCAAGAAAAAUUUGCUAAUGUCAGCAGAAGAAGUCAUAACCAUGCAUAUAUGAAGCACUUUCAAAGAGUAGAUCUAACAGUGUCUGGUUUUCAUUUUUGGAGUUUUUUACCAAUGACUGGAGAGUAGAGAACAACACAUGAUCCCCGUUACAGUAUUGUUGCUUGAAUUUAUAGGCUUCAUCAAUCAGUACCUUCAAAUCCAUAUAUAAUGAGAUGGAAGAAUGAAUUUAAAUUUAUUAAUGUCAUUUCCGAGUUUUAAAAUGAUAAAGCAAGUUGCAACUGAUUCAUUGAAAUUUAAAACAUUCAUAAUGAAGUGCAAGAGCAAAAUAAAAGUUAGGAGCUUUACCUUCAGCAUAACAAGGAGUCUGCUGGAUCAGGCCCACUUUAUCUGCCGCUAUAGACCACCACCUCUUCAUCUUCAGCCUUCUCAAUAACACGGUCUCUUGUUUCUUCAUUUGAUUCUUCGACCACUACAGCUUCACCUUCAACAUUCUCAGUAGGCUCUGAUG